CGCACUGUUACCCUACUUGAUGUUGUAAUAAGCUUUUUCAUCCUAAACUAGGGGAAAAUGCCACUAGCAUGCACCUUACAAGUCUUUCUAAACAUUUCUGCAUCUCAUCAUGAGAGUUUUAUGGCAGUGAAACCCCAUCCCAUGCCUCCGUCAGUGAGGAUUCUAUAACAACAGAUUCAUAUAUAUCAUUCUCUAAUCCUUUUCUCUUGUAUGUGAAUAGAACAUAGCUCUGUUUGGAUCCAAGAAAGAAUGACAGAGGAGACCAAAACACUCAAAACACUGAACAUAACUUUAGAAAGUUCAAAGUUAUUUUCAGGAUUUGCCUUUUAUUUCUCCCAUUCUCUCUGAUAUAAAGACAAAACCUAAUACUUGUAGAAAGACACAUGGUUAAAUUUUUGUUGUCAACGCCAACAAAUCCAUGUAAGGUGAUGCUUUUCACUAAGAAGAGACUCUAAGAUUAGAUUCCCAAUGUAUAGAGUGUUUGCGCAGUAAACAAAUCAAUCACUUAUCAUUUAUAUAACAGUAGAAGUGUAUGGAGAGUGGGACUAACCUUGGAAGCAAAGGUCCCCUGAGGCCAGUUGAGCAACCCGGCAACCAUUUGCCCUGUUUGAUUGCAAUCGUCAUCAAUGGCCUAGAAAACCCAUGCCCACAUCAGAAAACAACAAUCCACCAUAAAAAGAGUCUAGGAUUUUCACGGAAUCCGCAAAUUUAUUUUUAAAUCGUUACCAAAAACCCUAAUCUCUGGGCACGAAUUCACAGACCUGUUUGCCCAGAAUAAGGAGGCCAGGCUUCUCCACAUCGACGAGAGCUUUGAGAAGCUUAGCAACUGAAAGUGGGUACAGAGUGGCGGAAGCUUCGACGUGGAUGGCCCUAUCGGCGCCCAUGGCGAGACCCGUUCUGAGCGUGUCGACGCACUGGCUGGGACCCACACUGACAGCGAUAACCUCCGACGCCAGACCCGAUUCCUUGAUCCUCAGAGCCUCUUCCAAACCUAUCUCACAAAAGGGGUUCAUCGACAUCUUGACGUUGCUGGUCUCCACGCCGCUCUGAUCGUGGGUUGGCGAUUGUUAUUGGAUGAUGAUGAAAUUACAGAUACUGAAUAACUUGAGAGUUUGGAUUUGGGUUACCUUGUCGGAUUUGACUCUGAUCUUGACAGCGUAGUCCACAACACGCUUUAUCGCCACCAUUAUCUUCAUCUCGUAUAUGGGUGGUUAUCUUCUCCGGCACAAGGGUAUUGGCAAAUGACUGAUGAUGAAGGACGAGGAUAUUCGCCCGAGCCCUACUGCACGACACCACAUCCGCUUAUAAAAUCUUUUGAUACGGAUAAGUACAAGGGAAGUGGAAAAAAAGGAUUAUUAAGAAAAAUAAAUAUAUUACCAAAAAAAUUAUUUAAAAUUUUGUUCAUGUAGAAAGAACCCGUGAAUCAGAUCGAAAAAAUUAUAUUAAAACUGCUGUAUAGCCGAAAAUUGUGUACAGAAUUUAUUUUAACAUUGUAUUAUUGAAUUUUUUAUUCAAAAAUUGCUUAACGUGAGAUAGAAAUUAAAAAAUCAUUAGUAAUUUUGUCCGAAAGUUGUUAUAUUUCAUGUGUUUUAAAAAUAGAUGUAAUUUAUUCCUAUUUGCAUUUUUAACGUACAUUUAAUUAAAUAACCCAAAAAGUUAUUGAGUUCACAUCAUCUAUGGAGUCUACCUCUCUUUGCUUUUGUUGCUUCCAAAAAUACCAUACUCCCAUAUUUUUUUGGUUCUACUCAUUUUACUUUAUUUUUUUCAUUCCAUUCAUUCCACGUGAAGUCUUCAAUCCUAAUAACAUUUACUAUAUUACAAUUAAGUUUAAUUUUUAAAAAACUUAAUUAGGGUUAAAUUUCCUUUGAGAGAACUUCAUUACAAUUAUUUGAGUUGUACGUUAAGUUUCAUUUAAAAAUAACUUAUUUAAAAAGAUGUUAAGCUUCCCCUAUUUUAUUUAUAAAGUUUAAUAUCUAUUUGAUUUUAUAUUUGAAAUCCAACUAAAACCUAAUAACGAAUUGUUGUAAAAAAACUCCAAUCAAAAUACUAACAAAAAUUAAAACAUAAAACUCUGAUAAAAAAUUGUUAAAAAAUCCAACAAAAAAACAAUCAUAAAAAACCCUAAUCAAAAACAUCAUGGAAGUUUAAAUGAAAUUGCCAAAAAAUAAAAAGUAUAGAAAACCCUAACAAAAAAACAACACCAAAACACCUGACAAAAAACAAUUACAAAUUCUAGCACAAAAACCCCCAAUUAAAAAUAUCUAUAAAGAAAAACCUAAAAAAAACCAAUUAUAAAACCUCCAACAAAAAAUAAAGAGAAAGAUGAAGAAUAUGAAAAAUUUUGAAGAAGAAAGAAACAUGAGAGAACUAUCAUUGAUCUUUAUUUGUUAAUCUUUGUUAUAUGUUUGAACUUCACUAGAAAAUGAGAGAGAGAGCAUAAACCUAAAGAGAGAAAGAGCUGAAAAUGAGAGGAGAAAUGAAUCACAAUGAGGGGAAUGACAAUUUGAGGAAAUAUAGAAGGGUUAAAUCAUUUGAACUAGGUUAACGUUUUUAUUAAAAAAAAAGAGUAAUGAAGGUCCUUGUUCUAAUUUCAAGAGUAUGUCUGUUAAUUACCAAAUGUGGCAACUCUAAAUAAAAUCCUUUGUUAUCAACUAAAACUAAAAGUCCCAUUACAUCAUAUCCAACUUUCAUUUGUUAUCAACAAAGUAAAACUAUAUACAACUAUUAUCACCAUCUCUCCUAUUUUGAUGUUAUUUUCUUAGAUGAAUUUGUAAAUCAAAAUUUACACCACCCAUAAAUUUUUUGAGCUUCCUAUUUAACACAACUUCAAUUUGUUAUACUUUGAACAUCACAAAGAUAAAGUAAUCAACAUUUUGCUUGGACAAGUUUUUCUUCUCUAAAGUUUAGAGUCCUAUUUCACUUCCCGUUUAUGGGUUGUUAGUUCAUCUAAUAUCUCACCAUCAUCCAUUCCAUGUACUGUGUUUCCGAAAUGAGUUGAUUCCACAUCCUAAAUGUCUGUGCAAAUUAAUAAGGAAUGUCGAGUUACCAAUUUUCUUAAAAGCUUAAUCUUGCAAGAUUUGGAUUCAAAAUGCAUAUCAUGCUCUCUUUAACACCCCUCCCCCCUCUCACAUGUAGCCCUAUACCCACACGUAGAGAAAUAGACUUAUAGGAAAAUUGGUAGUUUAAUAUAGUAUCAGCACUUGGUUUGGUGGGAGGUCUCCUGUUUGAGUCACCUCUCCACAAUUUACAUUUCUCCUAUUUGUUUAAUUUACAGUUCUUCCCUUAAUCUGUAAUUCUUUGGAUAUAAAUUUUCCCCCUAAUUUGUAGUUUUGUGGAUAUGAAUCUCUCUUCCAUGUUCAGGUAUGGGGCCACACAUAAGAGAGGGUGUUAAAGAGCAUGAUAUGCAUAUUAAACCCAAAUCCUAUAAGUUAAAACUUUUAGGAAAAUUGGUAGUUUAACGCUUUUAGGAAAAUUGGUAGUUCAACAUGUGUACACCCCAUUUUGGGGACUGCUAUUGCUCCCACUUCUUUUUGUCAAAUGGUGGAGCUUUUUAGGAGCACAUGUUGUAUUUGGAAAGGCUAUUAGAAAAUGGCAACAUGACUGUUAAUGGAAGUAAUGAUUUUCUAAAAAGGCAACCAUGGGAAGACACAUAACAAAGAUGUUUGGGGAGGAGGGAGAGUGUGCAUCAAGACUACUCAUGAGGGGUAAGAAACAAAAAAAAAAAAGUGUCGAAGAUAACUAAAAAAUUGGAGAAACAUAAAGGAAUAAGGAUUUUAGGGCUAUGGAUGGUGAACAAGAGUGAAUUAUGGGUGUCUAGGACAGCUAGGAAUGGUGAGAGGAGUAGGGAGCUGUAGAAGGUGAUGAGCUAGGUAAGAUGUAUUUUCGAGAAAGAAAAGAACCAAAGAAAGAAGGUGGUGAAUUAAGUGAGACACGUCUCAGAGAAGCAGAGAAAGUUGGCUUGAAGCCAAGCAAACUUUUGCUUGAGAUGAGCAUUGCCUAGUAAGAUUGUUUCGAUUCAUCGAUUAUUACUGAUCAUCAUACUUCUCUUGUCUUAUAUUCAUGUGAUUAUUUUACAUUGAUUGUGGGGUUGCUUUGGUUUGGUUAUUAUGGCUUCAUCCUCUAUUUCUUUAGUUUUAUUCAAGGAUAAAUCUAAUUGUGCUUUGAUUAGUUAUUCCAUAUUUGAAAAUCUUUGUGUAUUUUGGGUUUUUUCUCUUUAGAUAUUUUCUAGAUUAAUCCACUGACCUUUAAACCCACAAAUAAAGAAAAAUGAAAUGAGUUUUUUCAUAUUUGUUGGGUGUUUGGCCCUUGUUUAUCUUUUUUUAAAGCUUUAUUCCUUUAUAUUCUCUAUUUCUCCCCAUUUUGUACAUGGGUGUUUCAAUCAGAGUCUCUAUUUUGGCUUCCACAUUUGAGAUUUCUUUUAUGAGCGAAGACCCAAAAAUGGAGACUGGCUUCUUGUAAUUGAUAAAAUAGUUAGUCACCCAUUAGCUUAGAUGAAGCAUAGAUGUUAACCGGAUUGUGAACAUGGAUACUCUAUUUUGGGCCUAUUAGGCCUUCCAAUCCUCUCUUAGUUUCAUUAUUCUUGAGGAUAGUGUUUGGUUGUGUCUGCUACUUAUUCUGUGGCUUCGGUGGUCUGUUUGUUUAUUCUUGGCUAUUAUCAAUGCUAACAAUGGGAAAGAGACUGGUUUUGGUUAUGCUCUUACGGAUUUGAAGGUGAUCAAAGGGUCCAGUGAAGAGAAGAUUAGUAGGUCAUAUUAGGUUAAUUAAUUAAUUAGGACAUGUUUUGAGUUAUAUUAAGUAAUACAAGCUCUUAGUGGGCUUAAGUAACUUAAGCCUAGUGGGGAAUGCCAUAAAUACCCCUUAGGGGUUAGCAUUUCCAUAGGUUUUUCUAGAGAGUCAUCUUUCACCUCCAAAGAAGGAGAGUCAUAGCCUUUACCAUUUUUUCCAUCAUUAUCGAAGUGUGUCAAGAUUAAGGUUUAAGUCAUUGAGCGGAAGACUCCAGGUUUAUGAGACUUCAUACAACUUCGUUUUUCAUUUUCAUCAAAUGGAAUUAAUUUGAAAACAUUUGAAUCUGAAGUAUGGUUUUUGUUAGCAUAUUUCGAAUCCCUUUAAAGUUUAAAAAUGCAAAUUUUCCACUAUGUAUAGGAUUUAAAAUCGCUUAAGAUAGUUAAACAUGUUCCCCACUUGAUCUGAAUUGGGAAACGGAGAAAUCUGAUAUUUUCCCAUCACAAGGUAGGAUAAGAACUUGUGAUUGAUCUUUAUGGAUUGGACUAAUUAAUUAAUUGGAACCUAAUUAGGCUAAUUAAUUAAUUAAGACCUAAGCAAACUAGUUUAAGUUACACAAGCCUAGGAUGGACUUAAGUGACUUAAGCCCAUGGGAAGCUUAUAUAAACUCCUUUAGGGGUUAGGGUUUCAAACUUUUAUCAUCUAGUCUUCAAUUCCUUAAAGAGAAUAGAACUCGAGCCAACAACUCUCCUAAAGGAUUCUAUUGCUCCGUGUCAAGAUUCGAAAAAAAACUAUUUGAUGGAAGGUUGUUAUGUUUAUGAGAUUCGUUAUGUUUUUUUACACCUUUUCACUAAAUGGAAUUGAUAUAGGAAUGUUCAUAUCUCAAGUGCAACACACUUAUUCUCUUUAGAUUUAUAUUGCUUAUGGUUUUUUUUUUUUUUGUCAUGGUUUUCCGUUAAGAUUAGAUUAAGAGAGCCCUAUGUCAUAGAAUGCUUCAAAUGAGCCUCCCCGGGGGUUUGUAUAGAGCCCAUGAAGCUUCUAGAGACUCCUAUACUUAGCCAUUGGUGGGAAGAGUGUGAAAGGUUCUACAGAUGUCUAGAGAUAUUUACACAUCUCUACACUAUGGUGGAAGGCAUGAGAGGAGUCUAAGGCAUUCUAAAGAAUUAUAAAGAUCUCUUAUAUAUUCUUGUACAUAGGCUUGUACAUAGAAUUGUGUAGGAAGUUAUAGAUUAUUCUUGAGCUGUAAGGAACCCUCCAAGGUUCCAGAGAGUUCCAUUGGUGCCUAUAAAUAGGUGAAUGCCUCAUUUGGCCAAGACACUAAGCAAGUGAAUUCCAAAACACUUGUAAAGCUUCCUUUGAAUAAUAAAAGUUUCAAUUCUUCAAGAGUUGCCUAUUAUGCCUUCUAAAACUUCUAAGUCAUGAGCAUCUUAACCUAACAAGUUAAGCAUUGGGAGUAAUGCUAACUUAGCAAGAUCAAGGAUCUUGACUUGUCUAAGUGUUGCACGAUCUUAGGAAAAGAUUAAGUUUGUGACAGUUGGUUUCAAAGUGUGACUACGAAGUGAGCAUAGUAAAGGAAACAUGUCGAGCUUCAACAUGGAGGAAACUAGUGAGCAAACCCGUGGGAAAGAAACCGAGCCUACUGCAUAGGACAGGGACAUGAAGGAUAAAUCUCGUAAUGCCAUAGCCAACGUGGAGGCAAGGCUAGCCAAGGUGGAGCUAGCCAUGGCAGACACCCGGGAAGGGGUGGACUUAAUCGAGCAAGGCAUGGAAAAUGGCUUAGAGGAUCUAAAUGAGCAUAUCCAAGACCUUCAUGAGAGAGUGCUAGGCUUACAAGUUCGGCCGAUGUCAUAUGAGGAGUUCAUGUCCUUCCAAAACGAGGUCAUGAGCAUGUUUGCUAGCAUGGAGUCGAAGGUGGAGGCCUUGGCUGCACGCAUAGAGGCCCAAGACCAAGAGGUUCAACAAGAGCUAGCUAUCUACAAGACUGUCUUAUCAGCACGAGUCAUGGCCACUCAUGAGGCACUAAGGGUGGAAGUGCCCAAACCACACACGUUCAAUGGCAAGAGGGAUGCCAAGGAGUUGGACAAUUUCUUGUGGCACAUGGAGCUCUACUUUGAGGUUAUAACACUAAUAGAUGAAGCCACUAAGGUAUGUACCACAACCCUCUACCUCACCAAUAAAGCUACUCUAUGGUGGCGUCAGAGGUUUGCCAAUAUAGAAAAAGAAAUGUGCACCAUAGACACAUGGGAUGCCUUUAAGCAAAAGAUCAAAAAACAAUUAUACCUUAAUGAUGUGGCUUACCUAGCAAGGAAAAACACAAAAUGUCUUAAGCACACAGACUCGAUCCGUGAGUAUGUCAAAGAAUUCUCUACACUUAUGCUUGAGAUACCCAACAUGUCUGAGGAAAAGCUACUAUUCAACUUCAUGGACAACUUGCAAAGCUGGGCCGAGCAAGAGUUAAGGAGAAGUGGUGUCCAAGACCUAGCCACGGCCAUGGCGGUAGCGAAGUCCUUGGUGGAAUACAAAAAGGGAGACUCUUUUAAGCCCAAGCCACAGUCUAAGGGUAAUCAUGCUAAAGGUGGGGAAACAAGGGAUCAAGGAGGUACACUCCUAAGGAAUGAUCAAGCAAGACCUCUGGUGGCAAGGAUGGUAAGGGUAAGGAUAAACGGAAAUAGUUCACGCCUAAGAUCAAUUGCUUCCUAUGUGAUGGUCCACAUUGGGCGCGAGACUACCUCAAAAGAAAAGCCCUAAAUGCCAUGAUCGAGGAAAAGUAGAAGGAAGACAAUGCUCAUGUGGGAUCAUUACAACUCUUAAAUGAUAUCAAGGCUAAGUCAGUGCUUAAGACACCUCAAAGUAAAAGUCUAAUGUACAUAGAAGCCCUUGUAAAUAGGAAGGCUACCAAGGCUUUGGUGGACACUAGUGUCACUCAUAACUUUGUCUCGAAGGAUAAGACAAAGAACUUAGAGCUCCAAGCAUCUAAGGAAGGAGGUUGGCUCAAGGCAAUUAAUUAAGUUUCCAAGCCAUCACACGAAGUAGCACGCAGGGUGGCAAUGCACAUUGGCUCAUGGGAAGGAAUGGUCGACUUCACAGUGGCACCCAUGGACUACUUCAAGAUGGUACUGGGAAUGAACUUCCUAUAGAAAGACAAGGUCAUGCCACUACACUUCCUACAUUUAAUGGUUAUCCUAGAGGAUGAAAAGUCAUGCAUAGUCCUUACGGUCACCGAAGGUUCACCCAAGACCCCUAUGAUAUCGGUUAUGCAAGUAAAGAAGGGAUCAAAGAGGAAAGAGGUGACCUACCUCACCACUCUUAAGGAGGAAAAUGAUGAUGAGUUGGGGGAGCCCAUGCCUAAGGAAAUCAAGAGAGUCUUUGAUGAGUUCAAGGACGUGAUGUUGCCUAAGUUGCCUAAAAGACUCCUUCCUAGAAGAGAGAAAGAUCAUAAGAUCGAGUUAGAUGCAGGAACUAAGCCCCUUGCUAUGGGGCCAUAUAGGAUGGCACAACCCAAGCUGAAAGAGCUAAGGAAACAACUUAAGGAGUUGUUGGAUGCAGGGUUUAUCCAACCAUCCAAGACUCCCUAUGGCGCACCGAUUUUAUUUCAAAAGAACCAUGAUGGGUCCCUACAGAUGUGCAUCGAUUACCAAGCACUCAAUAAGGUAACAAUAUAGAAUAAGUACCCCAUUCCACUCAUUGUUGAUCUAUUUGAUCAACUUGGUAAAGCAAGGUAUUUCACUAAGUUGGACUUGAGAUCAGGCUACUACCAAGUGAGGAUUGUGGAAGGAGACAAACUGAAGACUACAUGUGUGACCCGAUAUGGCUCAUAUGAGUUCUUAGUGAUGCUCUUCGAUCUCACCAAUGUACCAACAAUGUUUUGGACACUCAUGAAUAAGAUCUUCCAUCCCUAUUUAGACUAGUUUGUGGUGGUAUACUAAGAUGACAUAGUCAUCUACAAUAGCAUCUUAGAGGAGCACGUGGAGCAUUUAAGGAAGGUCUUCAAGAUCUUAAGGUAAAACGAGUUAUAUGUAAAGAAGAAGAAAUGCUCAUUUGUUAAAGAGGAUGUGAGCUUCCUAGGGCAUCGCAUCAAAGAUGGCAAGCUGAUGAUGGAUGACAACAAGAUGAAGGUCAUCUAGGAAUGGGAUCCACCUACUAAGGUACCUCAACUAAAGUCUUUCCUUGGCUUGGCUAACUAUUACCAGUGGUUCAUCAAGGGUUACUCUACAAAGACAGCUUCACUCACUAAUCUUCUUAAGAAGAACAAGGCAUGGGUGUGAGACAAAAGGUGGCAACAAGCCUUUGAAGAUCUAAAAAGUGUUGUGAUUGAGGAGCCAAUGUUGGCAUUACCCAACCACAUGAAGGUUUUUAAGAUACACACAGAUGCCUCAAACUUUGCUAUUAGGGAAGUUCUGAUAAGAUAGACAUCUAAUCGCCUUCAAGAGUUGCAAGCUAAAUGACAUAGAGAGACGCUACAUGGUACAAGAAAAUGAUAUGACUGUCAUUGUCUAUUACUUGCACACCUGAAGACACUAUCUUCUAGGGUCUCACUUCAUAGUGAAAACCGACAAUGUUGUCAUUAGUUACUUCUAAACACAGAAAAGUCCUAAGUAAGCUAGGUGGCAAGACUUUCUGGUUGAGUUUGACGAUGCGCUGGAGUAUAAGACAAAAAGUACUAAUCAUGUGAAUGACGCCCUAAGCCGUAAUGUAGAGCUAGCAUUCAUGACGAGCCAGCCCCAAUGAGACAUAAUAGAUCUUCUAAGAGAGGGGUUGCAACAUGAUCUAGUGGCUAAGAGCCUUAUUACCUUGGCCCAUGAGGGAAAAACUAAGUGUUUUUAGGUAGAGGACGACCUACUCUACACUAAGGGGAGACUACUCUACGUGCUUAAGUGGGGGAACAUAAGGUAGAACUUGAUUAAGGAGUGCCAUGACACCAAGUGGGUUGGGCACCUUGGGCAACGACGCAUAAAGAGCACUACUCGAGUCAGCUUACUACUGAUCUUAGAUACAAGAUGAAGUUGAGGCAUAUGUGAGGACUUGUCUUGUGUGCUAACAAGACAAGGUAAAACAACAACAACCUAGAGGCUUGUUGGAGCCACUACCUAUAGCAGAGCGUCCAUGGGAGAGCAUCACCAUGGACUUCAUCAUCGGGCUACCUAAGUUGGAGGGCUAUGGCUCGAUCAUAGUGGUAGUGGAUAUGUUCUCUAAGUAUGUGACCUUCAUAGUAGCCUCUACUGACUGUACUGCAAAGGAGACAGCAAGGCUAUUCUUGAAACACAUGGUCAAAUACUGGGGGUCGCCUAAUUACAUCAUCAGUGAUCGCGAUUUGCAUUUCACUAGGAAGUUUUGGACAAAGCUCUUUAAGCUUAUGGGUUUGAAGCUUCACUUCUUCACAAGCUUUUCACCCGUAAACAGAUAGGCAGAUUGAGAGGGUGAACGCCUUAUUAGAGUUAUACUUAUCCUUCAUGAGUGUCAACCAAAAGGAAUGGACUAAGUUGCUAGAUGUAAUCCAAUUUUCAUACAACUUGCAAAGAAGUGAGACAACCAACAAGAGCCCGUUCAAGCUAGCCAUAGGGCAGCAACCAUUGACUCCUCACACACUACCAAUAGGCUAUACGAAGAGAAGUUCAGCGGCUUUGAAGUUCACUAAGGGGUGACACGAGCCAACUGACAUAAUAGCUCAUACUUGGAUAGGGCCGCUAGAAAGAUGAAGAAGUGGGCUGACAAAAAGCGACAUCACACUGAGUACAAGGUCGGAGACAUGGUCUUUGUCAAGCUCCUUCCUAAAAAAUUCAAGUCACUAAGGCCGGUACAUAAAGGCCUUAUGAUGAGGUAUAAAGGACAUUUCCCCAUACUUGGAAAGGUCGGCAAGGUGUCCUAUAGAGUUGAGUUACCACCGAGGUUGAAGAUUCAUAUCGUCUUCCACGUAAGUUACAUAAAAUCAUAUCACGAAGACAAGAAUUAUCCAAGCCAAGGGAUGUCCUAGAUGACACCUACAUCGAUUAUGACCUUCUAUGACAAGGAAGUAGAACACAUCAUUGCAGGCUGAGUCAUCAAGAGAUGAGGCGUGCCUCCUGCUACGGAGUACUUGGUGAAAUGGAAGGGACUACCAGAGAACGAGACUAGCUGGGAGCCAAUAGAUGCACUAUGGCAAUUUCAGGAGCACAUUAAGUGGUUCUAGGUGGAAGGUGCGACAAGGACGUUUACGGUUUAGGUAGGGGAGAGUGUCAUAGAAUGCUUCAAAUGAGCCUCCCCAGGGGUUUAUAUAGAGCCUAAGAAGCUUUUGGAGACUCCUACACUUAGUCAUUGGUGGGAAAAUGGUGGAAGGUUCUAAAGAUGUCUAAAGAUAUCCACACAUCUCUACACUAUGGUGGAAGGUAUGAGAGAAGUCCAAGGCUUUCUAGAAAAUUCUAGAGAUCUCUUGUAUAUUCUUGUACAUAGGCUUGUACAUAGAAUUGUGUAGGAAGUUUUAGAUUAUUCUUGAGUUGUAAGGAACCCUCCAAGAUUCCAAAGAGUUUCAUUGGUGCCUAUAAAUAGGUGAAGGCCUCAUUUGGCCAAGGCACCAAGCAAGUGAGUUCCAAAGCACUUGUAAAGCUUCUUUUAAGUAAUAAAAGCUUCCAUCCUUCAAGAUUUAUCUACUACGCCUUAUAAAGCUUUCAAGUUGUGAGCAUCUUAACCUAGCAAGCUGAGCAUUGGGAGCAAAACUGACUUAGCAAGAUCAAGGGUCUUGACUUGUCUAAGUGUCGCACGAGCUUAGGAAAAGACUAAGUUCAUGACACCUAGGACUAGUAGCAUGCACCCUAAGUAAUCCAAGGCUAGAAAUGAAAUGAUACAAGGAUUCCCAACACUUGACUUAAUUCCUUAGAAAUUGAAACUCAAUAAAAAACAUUAGUGUCAUUAACCUCAUUUUUUUUAUUACCAAUACUUAAUUAGGGGAAACCUUGAGCUAACAACCUCCUCAUUUUUUAUGAUGAUAAAACUGUACCAUCUAAAGAAAGCUUUCCUUAAUGUAUGCAUAUUAUAAGCAAUUUAAACAUUCAUCAUAAAAGAUGGAAAACAUAAACUCAAAUGGAGACAUGGAUAUAUAGAUAUAAGAGACAUCAUAAAGGUUGCAACAUGAUCGUAUAUCCGAAAUAGCAUCCAAAAGCAUGUCAUCCAAAAAAAAAUCAACCAUAAUAACCAUGUUCAAAUUGUCCCAAAAAGGAAAAAAAUAUAUAUAUGAAACAAAAAGUAUUAAAUAGUUUACUAAAUGUUAUGCCCUAGAUACCUAAAGAUAUCUCCCCCUUAGGCAACAUCGAAACAAUGAGGGAACUAUAUGGCUCAAGGUUGAGGUGGUGGAAACAAGGAACAUAGGACAGCUAUUGAAGAAGCUAAAAUUCUUCAUAAAUGAUUGAAUUUUAUUUCACCAUGAGAAACAAUACAAAGAGGGAUUUUUUUUUUUUUUUUUUUUUUUUUAUCAAGGGGAAGACCCCUUUCUCUUUACUACUUAUCCCUUUUAAUAAAAAUUCUUCCACAUUUUUCCACUUUAUUUUGCCAACAUUCUUUCAACCCCUUUUGCACAAAAAUGCCAAAGAUAGUAUUAGGAUAACCUUUUACAACCAUUGCUAACUUUUGACACAAGUUGCUAAAAAUUGUUGAAGAUUUGCUUUUAAUGUCAGGUAGGAUAGCAGAUUGGUUCUAAUUGAAGGUCAUUUCUUGUGGAGGACCUUACUUAUAAGUGAGAUGAUUGUUCCUAUCUUCAUGGUUUUAUGUUGUAUAGUUAUAGAGACUUUUUAGAGGCUAUCAGCUUUAGAGCAAAUUUAUGUUGUUUGUUAGGGAUUAAGUAUUUUAUUCAAAUUGGGUGAAUGGUACUACCUCUUUACUUGAGAUGGCUUUGAGAUUGGGUGGUUGAAUAGUAGUACUUUGGAAUGGUCUAGUUUUUGUUCGCUUUAGCUAUCAUUUUCUUAUGCUGUGUCUAUAGACGAGUGGAGACGUCAUUUGGAAAUUGGUCAAAUUGCCCGUGAAAUUGAUCAAAUUGUCAAGUUGUCAUCCUAAAAUUGACUAAACCUAGUUUGUAAAAAUGAGAAACGACCGUCACUAGCGACUAACAUCUUCUCAAGCUAAGUAUUAAUAGAUCCAAUCUGAGCAUAAAGGGCAUCUUAAUGUUGCAGGUUCAAUGCUCAUGAAGCAUAAUAUUUUGGAUACUUGGUGUGAGACACCUCAGCAUAAGUCUAAUCCAUAAGGAUAGUCUCCUCAGGAGGUUGAGAUGUGGGCAAUUGAAUGGUGGCAUCCAUGCCCUUGGUUUGCAUCUCCUGUUGAACAUCCUCACCCCCUAAUCCUUUAUGGUCACCCUCAGUCUCUAUCUAUAGAAUCUCUGCCUCUUACUCAACCCGGUCUUCAUUCAUAGCAGGACCCUUUCUUUUUCUUUCCAAUGAUCCAUUAGGCAAUUUCUCAAACAGCAUUCGGUCUGGAUUUUACGUUAUAGGUAUCAUAGGAUGAGGCCUGAAUGUUUUUUUCUCUUCUUAUGUCCACAUUGAAUGCUUUCAGGAUUUUUGUGAUCAGUCUUCUUCCGUUGGCCACUACUUUAGAAUUGCUUUUACAACAGUUUUUCAUGUGUUGAAAGAUGAUAAGGAAACCUUAGAAUGGAUCGGAGUCAAUAGAAAAUGCUACAUAAUAGGACACCUUGUCUCUAUGUCCACCCUUAGGUAGAAAAAUAUGUUUGAUCAUGUGGUGGUGCACCCUAGAGAUAAUGCUCAAGGCAUGGGCAUGGAGCUUUGAAGUCACUGUGUCGAUGGGUAAGUUACAUAUCCUCUAGAAAGCCCUACCUAGGUUAAAACUAGACACUAUAGGCCAUCCCUUCGUCUCAAAUAAACAAAGUCCCCCACAAAGGAUCUCCAAAAUAUCACAAAGCAUAUCAAUAUUUAGUUUAAUUCAACUCCUCUAACAAAUGUGCUAAUUGGCCUUCAUAUAUUUUAGGUUCAAGUAAAAUACCUGAACAAGGUUGGGGUAUGUAGGCUCUCUUGAUGAGAUGGUAUUGGUGAGUAUUUUUUUUUCUUCAAUACAAAACUAUUACAACACUUGGUUUUUUUUUUUUCUAAAAAAAAAAGAAAAAUAAAAAUAGUUUUAUAUUAUACUUAGUUUCAAGAAAAAUAAUAAUCAAAGCAAAAUGAAAAAAAAAUUCUCAUAUUGGUUUCUCGUGAAAAAUAUAAAAGCAAAUAAAAUACAAUUAAAAUUAAUUAAAAUCUUAUGUAUUUUUAAAUUAUUAAUUUUUAUAUAAAAAAUGAAAAAUAGUAUAAUGAAUUUAGAAGAAUAUAUAAAAAUAAUGUAUUAACUUUAAAUCUUUUUUUCUUUAUAUAUAUAUUUUCCCUUCAAUUUUCUAAUACCAACACAUAAUAAGGUUAAUGUCUUCUAGCCAACCAAUUGUAAGUCAAUUUUCAUAGAGCUUUUUUUUUUUUUUUUUUUUACAUGCCACCAAGUAGUUAUAUAAGCAUUUUUGCAUGUUAUUGUUAUCCAACAUACAAUAACUAUAACAUCCAAUUAUUAUGAACAUGAACAAUAAAAUUAGAUGCAACUAACUAUUUAGUGUAUAACAAGAAGUUGGUGAAGUAAUUCAUCCUAACAUGAUUCAACAAUUUUUGUUUAUUUUUCAAGAUUAAUUAUAACAUACCCAUUCUAUUAAAGUUGUUGAGAUAUUUGAGCAAAACUAAAAAUCAACAUUAAUUCAUUUUAUACCCACAAGAGAAAUAAGAUUUGUUUUUUUGUUUGAUAAUAAAGUAGUUGUAGUUAUUAAUGAUAAUUUUGAUCCUAAUUUAAUAGGUAUCCAAAAAAAAAGGAAAAAUGCAAGUAAACCAAUUCUUAUCUAACACAAUUAUUACCACCUUAAAAUCCUGAGGGGUAGCUCAGUUGAUCAGUUCGAGUCCCUUUAGGACCAUGAAAAGCUUACCCGAUGGUUCACCUUAAGAAAAGCAAAGCAUUUAUAUAAUUCAACUGGUAGUUGAUAAGUCUUAGAAAGGGUUUUGCCAUCAUUGGCUUCUCAGUAAAGGGCAAAUUUGGGUUGUGGCUGACAAUUAUUGAAUUUGUGAAGAAAUAUGUGAAGAAAGGAAACAAAAAGAGUUGAGGACAGAAUUCUUCAAUUAAAAAAUGGUUAGCCCAUGAACCCAUUCUUCAAACAGUAAGCCAAUGAGCCAAUGAGCCAAAAAGAAAGAAGAACAGCUGGUUUCAUCUUUUUAUCUUAAUGACUUUGACAACCCAUCUUUCUUUUAAAUACUUGUGACUUUGGAAUAUAAUUAAAAUGAAACUUUGGAAUGCCCACAUCUGAUUCACGGCCUUUUUACCUGUUUUCUUGUUUAACAUUUUUUUAAAUAUUAUAACAGAUGGAAAAACAUGAUUCUAACAGGCUGGAAAAUAGUGGAAGUUGGAACACCAACCAUAACCAAACUAUACCUUCCAUCUUUCUCCAACACUCGGAAUUAUUGAUACAAGUUGGUGGUUUUAUGAUUGUUUCUAUUGAGGGGACCCCUCUCCAUUUCCAAUUUCAAUGGAAAGGUUCUUCUUUCCCUACUUUUUUUUUUUGUUUUUCAAAUUCUUGUAGUUUUGUCUGUCUCUCUCAACAAAGCAAACUGCAAUCACUAAUUCAAAGAAAAGGAAUCCUAAAUGAAAAGAAAAGAAAGGAAAGGAAUGGUAAUUUAGGCUAUGAUGAUGCUCCUAUAUAAUGGCUGUAAGUCAAUAACAACACACUGGACCCGCCUCCUAUCUCAAAAGAUCACAAACCCAAAUAUCAUAUACUUCCAAAUUUCAAUUUGGUUCCCUGUUUAUAUCACAAUCUGUCCUAUAUCCUCUUAAUACAUCUAAAAUCUCUCUAUAUCAUAAAAAUAAUGAUGGAAAAAAAAAUUAAAAAGAAAGAAGGAAAAAAUGACAAAAAAAAAAAAACCUUGGUGCUGCUAUGGGUCCAUAGGAAUUGGCAGGACUGCACUUCUGGAUCCCCUUCCAUGGCCAAAAGAAAAGAAUGAUCUUCGGAAUCUGCUGCUGCAACCUUCACUAGGGCUGAAGUCACUGACAGGCCUGUUCUGUUGCAAAAUCUCUUGAAUUGCUAAAUACAGCUGCCUGUCGUUGGAUGAGUCCAUUGAAAAAGACCUCCUGAUGGGUUGGAUUGAGAACUGAUCAUCUUUGCCUCUAGUGUCAAUGCACUCAUCACCCAUGCUUGCAACAUGAUGAAACUUCCUUGCCUUUUUAGGCACAAUUCUCUGCUCUAGCUUCCUAGGUGAUGGACUAAUUGAUGGCGCAGAUAACUCUCUGGAAUUCAGUCUUUCUGGUGGCCUAAGCAGUGAUGAAUCAGCAGAACUAUCAUUUCCCAAUUCAAUUACUACAAAAUCUUCAUCCCCUCCUAUGUAAUUAUUGGCGUAGGGGCUUGGAUCUUGGGGGGAAGAGCUAGGAGCAAUGAUUUGGUGAACAGGAAACCGGGGUGUGGUUGAAAUGCUUGUUCUGCAAAGUGGGCAAUUAGCAUUGCUUUGAAGCCACACGUCUAUGCAAUCUAUAUGAAAUAUGUGACUGCAGUUUGGUAUGAUUCUUAGCUUCUCUUCUUCUUGAAACUCAUUCAAGCAAACCGCACACUCGCAAUGGCUUCUUUCUCCAAACUCUCUGCCACCUCCUUUCCUGAACUGGAAUAUUGGGAUUGAUCUGAUGACUGACUCGUCCAGGCCUCGACUCUCGAUUGCUGGGGAGUACACCAUUAAAGGGUCUUCCGGGUGCCGACUCCUUGAGAAAGAAAAUCGUCUCAGCAGAUCAAUCCGGUGCCAAUUGAGGCAGCAUUUGAUUACAAAGAUGUAGUAGCUCACCAGCAAGAAAGCAGUGGCCAGGAUUCCUAUUACGGCAAUGGCUAUAAUGGGGAAACUGGUGUCCGAGGAAUGAGAGGGAGAAGGAAGCACUGAGCUCGCCUGGCUUUUGAUGGGAGAAAAGGCUUGUGAUCCAUGGAUGGAGGAGUCUGUGCUCACAAGAUCCAUGAGAGAGGCUAUGAAAAACAUUUAGAAAUGAGUCUAUUCGGAUCUUCAAUUCACAGAAACAUGCAAAUGCUAGAAUAAAAUCGACAGACACUCAGAUAUAGACCCUACAGUUGUAAUGCAGCAUACCAUAAAUGUGAUUGAGUGAGUGAGGCUGAAACAGCAAAUGGGUCACUUCAAGAUCUCAACAAGACAGAAAACCCAUGUUGAAUUCACCAGGAGAGUAUUGAAAAGGGAAAAAUUAAGGACAUAUAGCUGUAUUGAAAGUUGAAACAAAUGCAGAAACAUAGAGAAGAGAGAGAGAGGGAGAAAACCCAGGAGGGUUGAAUGAGAGCGCUGCUGGGGAAGACAUCAAAACGCUUCAAAUUCAAUGAGAAUCUGUUGGGGACCUCUUUAAGAGGACUGCACAAAGCCUGAGCGUAGGGUACGUGGUUGGUUGGUGAAUUUCUCGGCUUCCAAAAGAGAAAUUUGGUGAGAAAAUUUUCAAGUCUCUUGAUUAUAGUAACGUAGCGUUUAUUUUAAUUUUAUGUAACCGAAACUAAUGGGCUGGUUCAAAAAAAUAAAAAAUAAAAAAAGGAACUUUCUAGGAUAGGCCAGCAGUCCACCGUUGGUCAUGUGGUUUCUUUUGCAUGUCCACAUCUUCCAACUAGUGGAGGUCCCUGUCACAACAGUAAGAAAACACCCAAUUGAAUAAAAGUAUGAACUUUUGGCUCCCAAUAUUACUUAUGCCCUCAUUCAAUACCUCAAAUAAAGCAGAGAUUUUGUGUCCCAACUUUUAUGAUUUCAUUUCAUCUUACUUCAAAUGCUAAUGACAAAAGUCCAAGUAUAUUCUGUAAUCACCCACACCCCAAUAGUUUUGAAUCACACUUGAAAUAGUUCCCAUGCUUUCUUAAUAAUUUAGAUAAUUAUUUACAGAAAAAAAAAUUCAGAACAGGAUGAUAAUCAUUUUGUGAUAGCAUGGAAGAAACUUUACUAGCCACUUUGGCCCCAUGAAGUUGAGUACUUGAUGCCAAUUAAUGGCAGGGUGGAAAAUAGAGAAAAGGGAUCAUAGUCAAAUCUAGAGUACAAGGCAUUGAAUCUUUGUUAAUAAUUAACAAAUGGGUAAAGCAUGGGUCACAGGGUCUACAGUUUGGAUUGCAAAAACCUCAGGCUUCUAUAAAAAGCUCAUCCAUUAUCAAUCAUCAAUCUGAAAGCCAGAAAGUCCAAGGCACAUGCAACCCACGACAGGGGUAAGAUUUCUGCAUCAUGUCCCUGAGUUGCAUUCACAUCAUAUGUUUCCCUCCGGGCCGUUCCAAUUUGAAAUCUCAUGGAAAUCUUCAAGAGCAAGGCUACAGAGUUUAAGAUAAUACUAGGGGUGGGUCCUGAUGGGAAAAGAGGUAGUGUAGGAUAGUCAAUAAAGGGCAUGUGUCUCUGGUGUGAAGUCAAAUCCAGUGUACCAUCCUCAAUGGAAAAUUUAGAAAUAGAACCGACACUCUACAGACUGCCGUGUUGACAGAUUAGAGAAAGACAAACCCACUUACACUUGCCUCAAAACCCAGUCCUGCCAUUUCAAAGGCAAAAAAAAAGGGUUUCUUUUUAUAGUCAAAGGUUGAGGCCUGGCCUGGCCUAGCAAAGAAACUUCACCUACUCUUUUCUUAUUUUUCAAAUUAAGGCCAUUCAACUUUUCCUGUUUGCAGGCUUGCUGCCAUAUCUUACUCCAAAAAAGGUGAAAACCCAAAAGAAAAAGAGUGUUUGCUUCAAUGGAAAACUCAUGUUUAAUAAAUUCACCGCACGAGUUUUGUUCCAGCUUUUCCUAUGAAAGCUGUGAUGCGUUUGGUAUGAAGUUGAUUUUGUUCCUAAAAAUUUUGAUCUUGGCGUGGAAGGCAACUUUUUCCUUUUCCCCCUUUUUCUUUUUGAAAAGUUCGGCAUUAGUUACCAAAUGUCCUUUUACUUGCAUGUAGGACAGCGGAAGCAUUACACAUCGCAGCAAAAUCCCAUUUACCCGAAUUUUCCACUAACUCUUUUUAUUUUUUACCAUCAUUUUUUAAUAGAAGUGAUGCACUCUUCAAAUUACAUGAAGCUUUUAAGAAGGUAAUAACCCGUUUCAAAGCGAACUUAACCUACAGAGUAUGUUUUAAAAAUAUUUAGGUAUUUGAUAAAAUUUAAAAAAUAUUUUUUAAAAUCUUUAAAAUGAUUUGUAAUAUUGAAAAUUUAUUUAUACUUUUUUUAAUAAAAAAACAUUUUAUAGGUAAUUUUUCUAAAAUACUUUUAGAGAAAAUGUCUUCCCUUCACUAUAAAUAUUAUAUACUAUCAAAUACACUUUAAAAAUCUGUUUAACAAUAAUUUUAUAAAGUGUUUUUAAUUUUAAAAAUAUUUUUAAAAACAAAUUAAAUUUUUGAUAAAAUUUAAAAAAUCUUUUUAAAAAUUUUGAAAAAUAUCUCGUAAUAUUAAAAAAUAUAUAUAUUUAUAAUGUUUUUUAUAUAAAUACUCAAAAUUCAUUUAAUAGUGAUUUUAGGAAAUGUUUUUAAUAUUUCUAAUACUUGAAAAUUUUUUAUCAUUUAAGUAUUAAAAAUAUUAAAAACACUUUAUAAAAUCACUUUCAAAUGGACUCUUAAUGAUUUUACUAAAAACACUUUUCAUAGAAAACAUUUAUAAAAAAUAAUUAUGAAAUACACUCUAAAUUAAGUAAAAGUUGUUUUUAACAUUACCACUAUUUAUUAAUAGUGCAUUUGUUUAAAAUAUUUAUAUGAAAAAUUCAUUAGGGUGGGAUAUAAAUAUAGAAGUGUUUUUCUUUAUAUAUUUUUUAUAAUAAAAAAUGAUUUUUGAAAUUAUAAAAUUUGAAUUUAAGAAUCAUUUGAUAAUAAUUUUUGUUAAAGCACCUUUAAUACGUGGUGCUUCUAUUGAUAGCGCUUUCAUUUCUAUGAAUGGCUAUAAAUUAUAUUUGAAUAAAUUUUUUAUAAUGUAUUAUAUAAUAAAAAAAAAGUCAUUUUUAAAAAAAUUAUACAUUAAAUGAUUAUUCAAAUAGUAUUUCCUAAAUUUUAUUAAACAUUUUUUUCAAAAAAAAAAAAAAAGUUUUCAAAUACUAGAAAACGUUUUUAAUCUCUCACACGAUCACAUCCAAACAAGUCCUAAUGCUACUCCUAGAAACACUCCAAAACAAAAGUCUUCCUCUAUUAAUGUUCAUAAAAUCCACAUAUAUUCUUCCAUCGUUUUUUCAAAAUUCAAAAUCAUUUCUAAAACAUCAAAUCAUGUUCUUUGGAUUGGCUGACUUGUUUUUUGAAAAUAGAAGGCUCAUUAUUGACGUCCGUUGACUUCAUAACCCAGUCUUGAUCUCUUGAUGGAGGGCAUAAAUGUAAAUUGGACGAAACCCUAGGGUGCGCUAGAGUGUAGAGGAUGAAAGGUUGGAAAAAGGAUGAGGUGGGGGUGUAAUAAAGAGGAGGGUUGGGAGAAUGGGACAUGUGUAGGUGAAGCAUUAAAUUCAAGACUAUGCUUACCAACAACAUAUAAAUAAAUAAAUAAAUAAAUAUAGGAACAGCACAUGGGGUGAGUAGGAGACAUCAGAAGAUGUGAACAACCCCUUGUCAGUCCAAUUUGCGUCUUUUAUCUACUCUAUUAUCUAUAUCGAUUUUCGUAUUUAUUUAUUUAUUUAUUUAUUUUUACCAUUUGAUUUUGCAUGGAUGUCGAAGGGUUUAUUGGCUGCCACGUGUAGGGUUAUGGUCAAGAUCACGUGGGGUGCCUACAUGGGAGUCACGUGAGUGCAUGAGGCAGGCUUGAAUUGCAGGAGGAGCAGGAGCAGAGCAGUGGCUGUUGUCUUAAGACUUUGCUCUCUUGGUGGAACUGCAGCUUAAGCAGCAUCCACGUGUUGUCACGUGCAAUGCGAGCCAUCCACACCACCAGUUUCUUUUUAGUGAUUUUCUAAAGUCAGUUAAGGUUGCAGUCAAUACCUUCAAAUGUUGACAGAGUUAGGGAUCUUUGUUAAAUGGAUUUUAUUAAGAUAUUAGUAAGUUAAUUAAUUGAGGGUCAACAUAACAGAUGGGUCGGGUUGGGUUGAAUCUGAAUUUAAAACGAUUUAAUUUAUGUUUAAUCAAAUUUAACAUUUAACUCGAAGCACUCAACUUAAGUUUAAUUGAAUCUUAGUUUUCAAAACAUUAUUUAAAUUUGGGUCAUUUGGAUUAAAGUCAAAUGGGUUAGAUUAAUCGGGUUAUAUGGUUCAAAAUCCACUUACCUUAUUUUUUAUACAUUAAUAUUAAAAUUUAAAUAAAAAAUAUUAGAAGAAAUUUCAAACUUGGGAUUAGUUGAUUGUAGCCAUGCAUUUGGAUGUUGGUAUUCUUGUUUCUUGUCUUGUUUCCAAAUACCCUUUCAAAUCGCUUUGUUAUUCAAUAGCAUCCUCCCGAUCAUUUAAAAAUUUAAAGAGCAUUGGUAUGAUGGAGGAAUUCAGAAAUUUUAGUUGAAUAAGUAAAAUUUUUCUCUCAUAAAACCAAAUAGCCUCUAUAGCUCAGUGGUAGAGCGUCAGUCUUGUAAACUGAAGGUCUGUAGUUCGAUCCUGCAUGGAGGCAACUUUUUAUAUUUCAUGAUCCAUUAUGCUCUAGUGAUUUAGUUUUCAUUAUAAUUUUAGAUUAAAAAAUUACAUCAACAUUUGAUAAGUUGGUUAUGACUUUGAUAUAAGGAUGAAACUAUCAAUAAUAUAUAUAAAUAUUUUGACACAAAAUAUCUAAUAUAUUAAAAAAUUAAAAAAAAACUCUAAAAAACAUUAUAAAAUUAUAUAUAUAAUUUAUCAUAUUUAAUAAUAAUAUCUUCUACCCUAAUAAAAAAUAUAAAUUUUAUAAGCAUACAUUUAUUAUUACAUUGUAUUAUAUAUUAUUUUACAAGAAUAUUAUGAUAACAUGUCUAAUUUUAAAAUAUAUUUAAUAUUAAAAUUAUCAUCAAUUUUAAUUUAAAUGUAUUUAAUGAUAUCAAAUAAUAUAUAUAUAUAUAAUUUUUUAAUAUUUAUAUAUUUUUAUAUUUAAUAAAUAUAUAAAUUAUGUAAAAAAAAAAGACCUAUUAAGAAGAUUAUGUUUUUAUAUUUGGAUCAAAAUUAAGUUUUUCCGAUAAAAUAUAUGAAACUAUUGAUAAAUUAUUGAUUGAAACGUGAAAAAAAAAAUUCAAAAAAUAGAUGAGAUAUUAGUAAAAUAUCCGAAAAUAUUGAUUGAUGAAUAUAUCAUUUCAAAUUUUGCAUCAACAUCCACAUAUGUUGGAUAUAUUGGCCAAAUAUAUUUAAACCUUGUUUCCAUGAGAAGUCUUUCCUUCAACAAUUUCAAAAGGUUAAUGAGGUGGUUUCCAAGAGAUGUGUGUAGGGGUCUCCAACGGGCGGGCCGGGCCAGCGGGCUUUUUGAAAUAAGCCAAAAUGGCUUUCAAAAAAGGGAAGGGAGAGGAUUUAAACCCCUUCCUUCAUGCUUAAAUUUCAAGGUUCUAACCAAUUGAACUACAUUCCUUUAAUGUUUAUUAAUUGAGUUAGUUAUAUAUAUAUAUAAAAAUAAAGUAUAUUAUUUUUUAAAGGGGCGGGCCUACGGGCUGGGCCGGGCCGAAAGCGGGCCACGGGCCACGGGCUUUUUGGAGACCCUUGGAUGUGUGCAAUCACAUUUGGUAUUAUAGGUGACAAAGUUUGAUAAAUGAGUAAUUAUUAGGUUAACUUAUAAAAUCCGAAUUUGAUUUAAAUUGAUUCAUUUAAUAAUCCCAUUUAUUUACCCAAUUAAAACUUUAAAUUAUUUAACUUAUAUUUAAUUUAAUUAAAAUUUGUUUUUAAAUAAAUAGAUCAAUUAAAACAUAAACAUAUUUGAUUGAAACAUUAAUAAUAUAGAUUUAAAUAAGACCUAAUUCAACCUAACGAUCAAAUAGAAAUAUCUAAUUAUUAAAUAAAUUAAACAUGUUACUUGCUUAAUAAUUAUGUGACAUUUGAAUUUAUGCUUUUGAUAUAAUUAUUAUUUAUAUCAGGUUUAUAUAAUGAAAUAUCUAGACUUUGACACCAGUCAACAUUGUCCACCAAUACAGAUUGCAACUCUUAUAUGCUACAUCACAUCAUGUUGAAGGAAGAGGAUGACGUUCAUUGGCAGCAGAGCCUCCAAUCAUAAGGAGCUUGAGCAAAUUCAAUCUCAACACUGAAAUUCACUAGAAAAAAAGUUUAUUAUUGAUACUUCAUUUGUGUAAAAGCAUUAUAUUUCUUGCAUCAAUCGUAAAGCAUGACAUUCCAGUAGGUACGGAAGAGAAAAUUUGUUAUGAAUUGAAAAAUCUGUCAAGCUUAAUUUGGAGGGCCCAAAAUUGACACGUUUAAGAGCUCUAUCAUUAGCCCAAUGAUAAGAGUCCAUUUCUUGAGUUUCAAGGAAGGCCCAAGUUUAACUUAGAGGGCCCAAUCUUGGUACCUUCUAAAAGGUGCAAACUUUGGCCCAAUUAUAAAAGCUUAUCCUUGCUUCCUAAGCAUCAAUGAUAUAUUUGAUCGAAGUAUUCACAUAACUAUCACGAAAUGAAAUGAAAUGAAAAUGUAUAAGUAAAUGAUGAUUUUGAGUUAUUUACUGACAAUAAAGAAUUAGGUGGUGUUUGUUUUUUUUUUUUUGGCUUUUUACUAAAAGCAAUUUGUUUUCAGAAUUUAGGUUAUUUAUUUUUCUAUUUUUUCAUGACUUAUUAUAAACUUUUUACUAAAUAAGAAAAUCCAAAAUAUAUAGUUUUUUCUAAAUAGAAAAAAUAACAUAUUGGUUUUCUUUUUUUUUUACUUUUUAAUAUUUAAUAGAAAUAAAAUAUUAUAAAAACAAACAACCUAAUAUUUAACACUAUUAAGUAUUAAGGUUUUAUUUAGAAUUAAGUAAAAAAACAAACACUACCUUAAAAUGAAAAGUAUGUAUAAUGACCUUAUACAAAAAAAGUCUCAUUAUUUUCUUCCAAAGAACUCAUACUUUUGUUUUUCAACUAUUACUUUGUUUUUAUUUUUUAAAUAAUAUUUCAAGUUUUUUUUAAUAAUACCUUUCUCUUUAUUAGAUAAUUUUAAUGACUUUAAAAGUAUUUUAAUAUAUUAAUUUAUUAUAUAAUUUUAAUGAUUUAAAAAUAUUUAAAUGUUGAAAUAUUUAUUUUCAAGUCUAAUUUUAAUUAUUUAUUUUUUGAAGUAUUUAAAUAUAUAAUAAAUGUGGGAUUAUGUAAAUCUAGUUGUAAUUAUUUAUUUCAUUCUAUUCAUGUUUUUAGUUGAAUUUGCUCAAAAUUUACACCUCUUUAUUUAAAGAUCAUGGAUUAGUUAGGUGUCUUGAGAUUUUUUUUCUCUCAAGACACUACUUGUUACACUAGAAAAUAAUUUGUGGCUAUAUUUUUUAGGCAAAAAGAAUUAUAUGUUAAAACUUCCUUUAUUGACUAGUUUAUCAUAGGGUGUAGAGGAAAGUUUGUGAUGUCUUUUUAUGUCAACUUUGGGAGAAAAAUAUCACUUUAGCAUUUUCCUUAGAAAAUUUUCAUACAUAAUUGAUUUUGGAACUAUGGAGGAGCAUAAGUAGGGAUAGAUAAUUCGAUUUUGGAAAAAUUAUAAUAGCUUUUCAACUUGGUGUUAAUGAUAUAUUGUUUAUUUCUUAUUUUUUUUCCAUUUUAAUAUAUAAUUGGGGAUUUUAAACUUGUAGAACAAGGCUUUUUCAAUUGAAUUGACACGUACAUAUGAAAGUUCUCUUUGGUUGCUAAUCACAUUUUUUUUUCUUUUGCUUUUUGUUUUUAUCAUAAUGAAUAUUGAACUCGAAAUUCAGUUUUUAAAAUCUUAUGAUGUUUUAAAGUUUAUAAAUAUUAUUGAUUUUUAUAAAUGAUGUUAUUCAUAUCUUGGUAAAGACAAUAUUUUCAUAUCGGUCAAGAUGAUUAAUAACAUAUAAGUUCAUAAAGAAAAACCUAUUGAUUAAUGGAUAUUUAAUGAUUUUUAUUAGGAAUGUUUUUUAAUUAGUUUCAAUACUCAUCUUUUAGAGCAUACAUAUAGGGUUUUAGAUGCUACAUUGGUUUUCAGCUUGUGAUUUAAAUUAUUGAAGCAAAAAAUGAGGGUUUUGCUUUAUGGAACUAUCUAAAGGGAGGUGAAUUAGGCGGUCUUCCUUUUUAAAAUCCAAAAAUUAGAUUUUUAAUACUUAUAUUAGUUAUACAUGUGUUCAAUAAUUAAAACAAAGAACAAGUCCAUAAUUUACAUGUGAUGUGCAUGGAAAAACACCUACAAAUUCUCUCAAAUACUUUACAAAUGAAAAAAAAAUCAAGGAUCGAUCAAUCACAGAGCAACUUCACUAAAUAUGAAAACAUGACUAUACAAUUUUACUUGGAUGAGGUGCUACCUUCUCUUAAGGGUUUUUACACUAGCCAACAAUUACACUCACCUUCACUCUCACCAUGCACCUCUAUUGUGCUCCAUAGUAAACACUUUAAUGACUGUAGCAAGAUUGCGAUAAAUUACUGCGAUUAAUUUGAGAGUGUUGAUAAUGAACAAAAAAUAAUGAUAAUUAACUAGAGAGCAUAUGAUUUUGUAAAAACACCAAAAAGAGGCAUAGUUAUAAGUGAAAACUUUAAUGGAUUGGAUUGAAUAUAUAAUUGAAGUAUGAAUGAAAAAUUACCAAAACAAUGUUCAAAACCGUGCUAAUCAAAGCACAAUCACUUGAGUACUCUCAUGGGGCACUUGAAUGCUCCUUUUAAUCACCGUAAUGCUGAAAUUAAUAAUUUGUCUCAAAUUGUUUUUCCAAAACAUAAAGCAAAAUAUUAUAAAUUUAUAUAAUCAAACCCAAUUUCAUCUUAAAGCUAGCCUACUUAGUCUUAAUUCAUGUCCAAAAAUACUCAUACUUGUCAAAGAAUGAAUAUGGUAUAAACAAAUUCUUUAUUUUCAAUUAUAUUCAAUUAUUGAAAGAAUAAAUCGGUUUACAUACAUUUUGAACAAAGGUAUAUACACAUAGACUAAAUCAAGGAAAUGAGGAAAUCAAUCACAAUCAAAUCAAAAUCAAAUGAUAGGUUGAUAUCUAGGAGAAGGUUAAGUUAGAACCAACUCAUGUAUUCAAUAUUCCCCCUUAAGAUGGCAUAUGGAGAUCAUGAAUAUCAAACCUAGAAAGUAAGGGAUAUGAAAUAUCUAUACCAAGGGAUUUUAUGAAAUAUCAACCAAUUGUUGUUGUGAUUAAACAAAUUGAAUAAGAAUAAUUUCAUUUCGAAUCUUUUCAUAGAUCAAGUGACAAUCAAUUUCAACGUGUUUAUUCUGUUCAUGGAAAAUUAGAUUAAUAGCAAUGUAUAGAGUUGUAUUAUUGUCACAAUAUAGAUGCAUUGACCAAGGAUGAUGAACUCCAAAAUCUAUAAGUAAAUAUUGCAACCAAUGCAAGUAGUAAUCAUUAAAUAAUAUUUCACUUUUCUUCAUGAGUGUUAUAUCAUUGAUUGCUUUUUAGAUCUUCAAGAGAUUGAUAGGCCACCAAGUAAAAUACAAUACCCUAUAAUUGAACAUCAAGAUUAUGCACAAUAGGCAUGGAGGAAGGCAAAAGAAUUCCUUGACCUAGACGAUUUUUUAAAUAGUAUAACACUCAUGUACUUGUGAGAUAAUUGAGACUACAUUGGCUUGUCAAGAAUUUGAACAUAAUUAGCAAUAUUAAGCCCUAUCAUUAUGAGUCAAAGUAACUUCCCAAUCAAAUGCCUAUAAUAAGAAGCAUCCAACAAAGGUUCUCUAUCUAAUUUACUCAAUUCCAAAUUUUGUUUCCUAGGAGUUUUUAAAGUUACAUGUUCCAAGAAAACCAAAAUCUUUUAGUACUUCUAGAGCAUGUUUUCAAUAACUUAAAUAAAUCUCAUUCUUAAAAUAUGUCAUUUCAAUGAUGAUGAAGUACUUUAAUUUUCCAAUCUCUUAGUUAGUUUGAAAAUGCUAUAUAGGUUUUCCUUGACCACCUUAAUUCCUUUAAGAUCAUUCAUUGUAAUAAUUAUAUCAUAAAUGUAAACAAGAAUGAUUGUGAAAUAGUUAUUUGAGGCUUGAGCAAAUAAGAAGUAAUAUGUACGUCUUGGCUUGCUUGUAAACCAUAAACAUCAAUGUGAUAGAUAAUUUGGCAAACCAUCAACGUGAAGCUUGCUCAAGGCCAUAAAGGGAUUUUUUAACUUUGCAAAUCAUAUUUUUGGUUCUAGAUUUCCUACAAACUUGGUGGAAGCUGCAUGUAUACCUCUUUAUCUAAGUCUUCAUAAAGAAAAACAUCGUUGAUGUCAAGUUGGUGAAGAUGUCAAAUUCUAAUUAUACAAUAAUUAGGGGUGACAAUGUGUCUUAUCGUGUUGAGGUGAGAAAUAGUGAAAAUUUACUUAAUCCGACUAUGACCCGUUUGAUAAUCGUGUCAAAAUAACCUAACAUGAAUACAAUUAGUUUAUUUCAUGUAACAUGACCCUUUUAACAUGUUUAAUAAAUAUAUUAACUUGGAUUAUGUAUUAAUUGACAUGAAUAACUCAUUAACUUGAUUUCAACCCCUUAAACUCAUUAACACAAUUCCAACCCAAUAAACUCGUUAAUAUGAUUUAACUCAUUAAACUUGUUAAUAGGAUUAUAACCUCUUUAACCUAUUUAAAAUUUUAAAUUUAUAAAUAAUAAAAUACUUCUAGAAAGUUUAAUUUUUAAAAUUUGAACUAUAAUACAUGUAUGCACCAAUUUCAUGAAGUCCUGAAAAAUUAGCAAAAUUAUAGAAAAAUAAUAUAAACAAAAAUUUGUAUUAAAAUUAAUAAGUAUGGGCUACAAUAUUAGUCAUAGUACUGCUUAUUUCUGAAUGACUUUAUUAAAAAGCGAAGAAUACAUGUGUAGUUCUUAUGUGAUUUCUUAAACUUGUAAGGCGAUUUUAUAAAGUUUUUUUUUUCUUUGUGAAACCUCUUUUUCUAUGUGAAAUUGUUUUGCCGAUUUGAAAUCUUCAUUAAAGGAAGUUACUAUUAUUUAUAAUUGAAAUUAGAGAAUGAAAUGUGGAAUCCCCAUGAUUUAGUUGCUUAAUUCAAGGAAUUUGAUUAAUUGAUUUUGGUAACUUGUCUCAUAAAAUUUUCUAACAAGAAUAUUUAUUUUUAAUCUCUUUUAUUUCAAUUGGAAUAUUUGUUUCCUUUGUAAAUUUGUCAAUAGAAUAUUUAUUUAUUUAUUUAAUUCUCUUUUGACUACAAUGAGAAGAUUUGAUUUUGUUUGUAAGACUAAAUUUUAUAACCUUUCAAAUUUGGCCAAGUGACACCUUUUGAAUAUAUGUCACAUGUCAAAUGUGUGUGACUCAUUAGUUGUUGAACCUAAAUUUUCUUGAAUUAGAAAGCUAUACUUUUGAAGACUAAUUUAGUGAUAAUUUAAUUCAUUAAAUUUUUUUGGUGUCUACAGUAUAUUUAUAAUAUGAAAAGUAAAUUAAAAUUUUAAUUUUUUUACUUGUUUAUUAUUUUAUUUAUUAUUUAAUGAUAAAUAUUUUUAUUCUUUAUUGAAAUAUAUAAAAUUUUAAUUAAUAUUUUAAUUUUUUUAAUUUCUAUAUAUAAAAUAUAUAGAUUUAUAUGGUCUAAUUGAGUCAUUAAAAUAAAUAGGGUAAAUAACUCACACAUAAGUGAUGGAUCAUUCUAACAUGAUUAAAUUAACAAGUUAGAUGAAUUGAGUAGUCAAAUACAAACAUGAUUUGUUUAUUAAAUAAGUUAUAUGAAUUGAUACGAUUAUGACAUCAACUCAAUUAAACUUAACUCAAAUAAGCUUUGUCUUUUAUUUUAAGUUGUCUAGUUGUUCACACAAAUUUUCUCAAAAUAAAGAAAUUAUAUAUAAAAUUGUAAAUUUGAUUAUUUGAGGGGACCAUUUUCAAUACUCUUUUUUAAGUAAUCUGGUGUUUAAUUUUGAAUCAAAGGGGCUUUCAUUAACAAAUAAUAGACUGUAGUUUUCAUAUAAGAAGAAAUCUCAAGCCUUUUUUUCUUGAAGGAAUCUUUAAAUUUUCUUUGAUACUUUAAAAAAUCAAUCUUCUUUGAUUUUUUAAGAAAUCUUUGAAUUUUCUUAAAGUCUUCAAAAAAAAAAAAAAAAAAAAAACUGAGUUUAAGGAAUUUUUUUAAUAACUCUCCAAAUUUCUUUGAUAUUCCAAAGUGUCCUUUAGAAGGGGACAAAUCCUCUAUUUACAGGAUUGAGAGUUUUAUUUUAAUAUUAUCUCUUAAUUUUUAAGAAAUAACUCUCUUAUUUAUGAUAAUUACUAUUUAUUUUAUUUAUCAUAAUUAGUUGCCUAUGAUAAUUAUCAUAAUUAAUUUUUCUAGAGAUAAAUAAUUAUAUAUAUUUAAUUAAUCAUGAUAACUAUAAUAUUUAUUUAAUUUUUUAUUAAAUUAUUUUACAUAACAUAUCAAUAUAUAUUAUUAGUCAAUUAUUAACACCGAAAAUUAAUGAGUUGGCAUAAAAUUUAUCUCUCUAUAAUAGUAUCAAAGCGAGCCUUAAUAAUAACAUUGCUUAUAGUCAAUUUCACAUGCCAACUUUUUACUGGGCAUUGGCGAUUUCAAUUUUGAUAGUCCGGUUAGAAAAAGUAGGUAAAGAUUAUUUGAUGUGGUAGGUCAUUUCUUUCAUAAAGACGAUGGCGGUGAAUUCAUGAGACAGGUGAUAAAGGAGAGAUUCUUUCUUUUGGCUUUGGAAUUUUAAUGAGGUCCUCGAUCCUCAUCCAAAAUACACCUCUCCAAUUAUAAAAAUCUUAUUAAAAAAAAAAAGAUUUGACAUGUGCCUUUCGAACUGCUGGUUUUCUGUUCCAAAAAUGAGAAUGGUUUCAAGUGGAUGAAGGAAGGUGAAGAACCCUUGGUUUUGUUAAGCGAAAAGCCACAUGAUUAAAUAAACAUAAGGCGGCAAAGGCUGAAAAUUUAAAAUUAUACUAAGGAACCCACCCCACAGGGCGACUACACUUUUGGUGAAGCCACGAGAAUGAAAGAUAUCGAAGGUGACACCAAGACAUUAAGCAGCACCAAGGUUUCGAUAUAUUAUAAGAUGGGAUCUUAUGAAAGACGAUCUCUAAUCUCUCUCCAAUCUCUUCUUUAACCUUUUCUUACUUAAAUCCAUUUCCAUGGUAGGGCACAUGUCCAGCUGACCCUACCCCCUCACCUACCUAUACUGCUAUACCCUUUUGUAUAAUUUGAUAUGGAUUGGAAGCCACCCCAACAUCUUUCUAAUUGCUCGUAAAUGUUGAGGUGCCUUUCCAUUUUGAGGCUGCCCUAAUGUGUGGCUGAAGUACGUAGGAAAAAAAAAUUGUGAUACAUGCACUGACGAAUCAAAUCCCAAUGUCAAAUUAUUAGACUCACCUGGUUCUUAAAUUAUUGUGAAUGCCGCUGGCCAUGGAUAAAUGGAAUUAGUGCGUGGCUUAAUGAAAAUUUAUUUUGAAAGGGAUAUUAAUUUGAGAGAAUUUUGGCUGAUACUUGGAGUUGAACGUAAGCAUAUAUGACCUCAUUUCGGGUGUGAUAUUGUGCUUAUAACGAACCUUUCGUUCUUUCCAAUUCCAGUGGGUAUUAAAUAAUUAAAGAAUUCAUGGUUCGAAGGCGAAAGGUAGAAGACCAAAAAGGGAUUACAAAGCCAUCGGCUUGACCAUCCAGAUGCAAUGGAUACAAACUUUGGACUCUAUCGAAAGUUCUUUGGGCACGUGCCCAAGUGUCCUACCCAUAUGAUAAGUUACACGUGGCUAAUUGCGGACCGGUUGCUCGUGCUAAACAGGGUACUUUUUCUACGCAUAUAAGAUGUUUCACUAGUGGGGCUUCACCAUGCAAACUCAUGGAUGAAGACCCUGAGGCCAAGAUGAAGGAACAGAAAGAAGGCGGAGGAGAGGUUCGGUAUCGAGGCGUUCGGAGGCGGCCAUGGGGGAAGUUUGCUGCGGAGAUACGUGACUCGACUAGGCAUGGAGCGCGCGUCUGGCUCGGGACUUUCAAUUCUGCGGAGGAGGCUGCAAGAGCAUAUGACCGAGCUGCUUAUGCCAUGAGGGGUUCCUUGGCGAUUCUCAACUUCCCUAAUGAGUAUCAUACACCCGGCACGGCUAGCUCUUCAGCUUCAUCCUCAAUGCCCGAAGGUGAUCAGCAGGGAAAACAAGUCAUUGAAUUGGAGUACUUGGAUGAUAAGCUGCUAGAGGAUCUUCUCGACUCUGAAGACAAAAAGAACAAGAAAACCUGAAGUUUCUGCUGCCUCGAAUCCCCUGAAAUCUAGUGCUUCAUCGAAAAAAAAUCCCCUCGCUCCUGAUUAACAACAUUUUUAUUUUAGUCAAUGAAUGUGUUCUCGGAUCAUUAUAAGUAUUUCUGCCGAAGUCCAUUGAUUUUUGGAGACUGAAAAAUGUCAGAAAAAUUGGUGCGAACAGGUUUACUCCUUUCUAAAUUAUGCAAUUGAAGUAUUUGGAUUAGUGCGCAGUGUAAACAUCAAGGAAAGCAUGAUCCACUAUUUUAAGGAGCCUAAGUGCUUUCCCCUUUACUCUUUUAGGAUGUCUUUUCAGUGAAGAAAGUUGGGAGACCACCACUUACCCUUUUGAUUGGUAUAUAACUGCCAACUAAUAACUGGACUAACAUUUGGCCCGUCUGGCCCUACUUCUUUGACUUUGUUGUUAAUUUAUAACUUUAUGUGAAGUGGGGGCUGUUUGGGAAUGUGUGAAGCAAGGAUUUGAGCCGACUUCGCCUAAUCUGAUUCUCCAUAAGUGACUUCAUUUUAUCAUAUUGGUGUUUUUUUUCUUCUUCUUUUUAAAUGGCUGGGGAGGAGGGGAUUUGGGAGGGAUGCAAUGCCAUGGUUGCAUGCUGGAUUAUCCUUCCAAAUGAAACAUCCAUUUGGUUUCUAGUAACUAAUUGCAAACAAUUAAAGAGAAUAAAAUUUUAAGAUGAUUAAACAAUAAGUACCUAUGUCCAUGAAAAGGAGAGAAGUUCACUCAUGGGUGUUCAUGAAAGACAUCACAAAGAACCAUCAAUAUGAGAAGAAUCCUGAUACAAUUAACUUUCAUGCAUAAGAAAAGACGCUCAAAAAAGAAUAAUGCUUACAAGGAAAGAAUCUCACUACGAUCAACUGAAAAAAUAUUCCAAUUUAAUUGGAAAUCCUUACAUGGGAAGAAUAUCAAUAAAAUCAACUAAAAAAAUAUUUUAAUUUUAUAUCAAAAUAUUUGUGAUUUAACCCGUAUCAUUUCAUCAUGACUUCUUAUAAAUUUUGUUCCUUUUUAUCAACACCACCCCUUGAGUUGGAGCAUAAAUAUUUAUUAAGCUAACUUGAACAAGAUCUUGAGAAAUUUUGUCGCAGGAUUUGUUUGCACUUUUUUUUUUCAAAUAAAGUCAUAAUUAACUUUAAUAUGUUUAAUCAUUUCAUGAAAUACUAGAUUUUAAGCAAUGUUGAUAGCAUACUUAUGCCUGAAAGCUUUAUCCCAAAUCACAUGAGUACAUGAAGUGAUUGCAUCAUUAAUGGUAGUAUUAUUACUUUAUAUUCAACUUCUCCACUUGAUAGGAUGCAUGAAAGCAUUGUGCUUUCUUCUGUUUCAAGUAAUAAAGAUUAUCACCAAGAAAGGUGCAAUUAAUACCUAGUAACAGAGUACCUAGUGGUAGCAUGCACCUAUCCACUGAACUUGUACUCGACUCUAUGAGUGUACGUUACAUAGUCCUUUUUUCGAAGUCUAAAUGUCCCUUGAUAAAACCUUCUAAUAUUUGAGGUUUUGGUAACAUUCAUGUAUCAAUGAACAAAUUAAUUUACUAGCUAAACUUUAAAAUUAGGCAAUGUUUUUCAAUGGGUGAUCAAGAUCUUGGAAUUUUCAAUGUUGUUUGAAUAGCUUCCACACACAAGCAUAUUUUCUCCUAUUUAGGAAUAAUCCCUUUUUUGAAGGUGUGAUCUUUAUGCUCAAAAAAUAAAGAUACUCAAAAAUUUAAUAUUGACCUUCUCGUGAAGGAAAAGCUUUAUAACUAAUUUUUUUUGUGCAUUAUAUAUAUCCUCAAUAUAGACUUUAAAAAAAAAAGAAGUAACUCCCUCUACAAAGAGUGAAGAGUCAAUUAAACUUUUUUUUUUUUAAAAAAAAGGAACCAAUUACUCGUAAAAGUAAUGAUUAUUUUUACAUACCAAACUUGAGGAGAUUACUUAAGAUCACAAAAGUUUUUAUUAAAUUGCAAGCUAGAUGCAUUUGAAACGAUCGUUGAUGUCUUAGCAACACCUUAUGUAACUCAUCAAUCUUUAUGUAAAAAUGCAUUUUUAACACCCAUAUAAAAUAAUGAUCAAUCCUAAUUUAAUAGAAACAAAUGGUAAUACAUGAAUAUCAUUCAUAUUAAUGAGAAAAGUAAAUAUUGAUUUAUAAUCAACUUCUUAAGUUUGUGUCAAUGCCUUAAUCAUUAGUUUAACUUUGUCAUUCAAUGAUACCAUCAUUACGACAUUUAAUUAACUUAGAUUUGCGUAAAUCCCUUAAUCACUAGUCUAGCUUUAUGUCAUUCAAUGGUACCAUCAUUAUGGUAUUUAAUUGAUCUUAUACCCCCAAUUUGUAUACCCCAUGUUUUUCUUAAUUUACCAUACAUCACUUAACAAUGUUCCAUGCAUGGAUUUUGUUAAGUGCCUUAAGUUCCUUUUGCAUAGCCUUUCUCCAAAUUGGAUGAGGAUUGGCUUCAUUAAUGUCAUUAGACUCAUGAUAUAUGGAACUCAAACAAUUGUUAAGUGAUUUUGUAUAUAUAUAAAAAAAAAAUUGUAAUUAAUGUGGUAGGCAUAAAAAUCUCACAAAUGAGGAUUGAUUAAUUGUUAUAAUUGAGCAACAUGCUUGAGGCUUAGUCACAAUACUAGAACUUGAAGUCAGACAUUCUCUUCAAAUAAGGACGUAUAUACAUUAUAUUGGAUCUCCAUUAAACAAGUAAAGAACUAUUUAGUAGACAAUGAAACCUCAUUGAUCAAUGGUGGUAGAGAGACACAUGAUGACCAGACUAUUCCCCUGGAAAUGAGAAUAAAAAAUAUCAUUAGCCGCAAAAAUCUCAAAAAAAUUUAGAUAAUGGGAUAUAAAGAGUUUAUGAAUUUUACAAUCAUAACUCUUAUACUGGUUUAAGUGGUAGAGUAAUCAAGAACACAAAACGAGUUUGAUGAGUGGUUGAGAUAUGAACAAAGCAAAGAUUUCCAAAGACACCAAAAUCAGAAAUCUCAAUUUUUGGGCUAAGGAUUUCAAGAAGAAAUUUAAAAUUAACUACAUGACUAGAAAAUUUGUUCAUCAAGGAAAUAGAAGUAACGAUAUCAUAACAUCAUAAUUAAUCAAUAUUUUUAAUAACAUGCAUUUGGAACAUGAUAUACCGGCUUUCUAAUAAUCAAUGAUUUUUGGUUCAACCACACCAUUUUGUUUUGGGAUGCCAAUACAACAAGUUUAACGAANNNNNNNNNNNNNNNNNNNNNNNNNNNNNNNNNNNNNNNNNNNNNNNNNNNNNNNNNNNNNNNNNNNNNNNNNNNNNNNNNNNNNNNNNNNNNNNNNNNNAUGUAAGUGCCAAAUUAGGUAGUGUCGACAAUGAAAUGGAAAUUUUGGAAUAUAGAAACAACCUCAUUUUUAUGUUCUAAUAAGUAAACCUAUGUAGCAUAAGAAUAGUCAUUAAAAAAAAAGGUAACAAAAUGUUGAUUUCCAUCCUAUGGAUCAAUUAGGACACAACCCCAAGGUAAACUAAUUUGAAAGUUGCAACAAAAAUGGAAAGAGAUGAAAAAAUAAUAGAGGAAUUUAAGGUUGUUUCAAAAUUUCAAGACAUGCUAAGAAACACAUGAGAUUAUAGAUGAUUAGGUAACAACCUUGGUUAAGUAUAUUCAACAUAUAUAUCCCACGAGGAUAAAUAUCUUCACUAAACUUUUCCUAUUAUUCAAUCCCCUAAUACCAUACAAGUGAAAAAUUAAUGUCACGGUCAAAAAUUUUAAUAAGCUUCCAAAGAGAUAAUAAUUUUGGGGAAAAAAACAACCUAAGAAACCUAUGAAUUGAGAUAAUUUAGGAAAAAACUAAAUGUUCGUUAGCUCUAGAAGGGAAUUGAAGCUCAUCAUCAAUAAAGAUUGUUGCUAUCUCGAAUAAUAUCAAGUAAACCAUUAAGAUCGCUAUUAAUGGUAUGAUUAGCAGCACCAAUUAUCGACAAAAAAAUUAUUAAAAAUAUAAGAAAUGAGAGCUUUAAGAUUAUCUAAUUGAUUUGUAAACCUAGGUAAGUGAAUCAGUAUUACGUUUUGUUAAGGAAGCUUAGAUCCAAUUGGUAUCAUUCACCAAGUUAUUGGAUUAAAUUACACUAUCAAACUUUGGCUUUAAAUGAGAAUGAAGAAUCUAACCACAAUCCUUAUUGGGAUUAGAUAUGUUAUUGCAAUAAUGUUUACAAUCGGAUGAGUGCUAAUUUCUAUUGAAAUCAUGAAGCAAUCUCUGAUCAUUGGUCUUCUUUGUAGAAACAUGAGCAUUGAAUUUAAAAUUAAUAAUUGUUACUUGGGAUUCAACCUUCAUAAUCAUUGCCUGGGUUUCCUAAUCACUUUCAAGAAUUACUUAUAUAGUGAAGGCACUCGAAACUAAUCAAAUUUGUCCUCUUAUAAAGUUGUCAUAUUCAAGCUUCAGAAUAGCCAAUAAUUGAAAAACUUAUCAUACUCCGCAAUUUGUUGAAGAAUAUUUGGGUCUAUUGAAGGGGACAAUAUAGGGAAUAUUUGUCCCAUAUGCUCAAAAUGUUCAAUUAACAAAGUGUUCUGUAUGUUUAGGGAUUUGUUAGCUUUAAUUACACAAAACAUUAGCAGUUUUAGAGAAAAUUAAUUUUUUUUUGCAAUCUUAGGUUCCAUGAAAUUAAAAAGCCAAUAACAAGUCAAUAUGGCUUGAGACCCAGUCAUCAUAUUCAAAGUCAUCCAACUUAGAAGCAUUCAUUUUGCCACUAACAUGUGCUAAUUUCCAUUUUCUAUCUUUCAAGAGAAAAAGACUGCUCUUAACCAUGGCAAAUAAUUGAACCCAUUAAGAAGAUUGAGGAAAGUAUCAUAUGAGGGUUGUCAUUUUCCUCCAUGACAAAGAAAAAGCAACAGAGAAAAACUCAUAAUAUUAGAAAGAGAAUGAAAGAAAUUGAGUCAUAGAUACACACAGAAGAAUCCAAAAAUAAAGCAAUAAUACAACCACAAAUAUGAGAAGAAGCUCAAUUACAAAGAAAGGAACUCAAUACAAUCAACUAAAAAGCGUUCCGAAGUUCAUACGAAAAUAUUCAUAAUGUGAAGAUCAUUUCAUGAUUCCUACAAUUUCUUCCUUCUACCAGUCCACUCCAUACAAGGUUUGAUCAACAACUUCUUCAUUGAUUUUCUGGUCUCUCUCCGGUGUAUCAUAGAGCAUUUUUGACAUGUUUCUGCAAGAUACACUUGUUAACUUUAAGCGACAUAAGUGCAAAAAAAUAAGAUCAUGUUGUAUUGCCUGUGCUUCCACUCUGCCUUGUUUAGUACUAUUAUGGAGCAGUACUUCCAUAUAGAACCAGUGAUCUCCAGUUCAUUAUGUUGCCUUCUUUAAACUAACUUUAAUUAUCUAUACAUAUAAAACAAAGUGGUCCCAUCAAGGGGCUAAAUCAAGAAUCAAGUGGGGCGAACAGGAAACAGUGGCAUCAAUUUUUAAGUCCAUAAGCUUUAAUAAAAGGAAUAAAACCAAGGAUAUGAAUAUGUUAUUUUUUCAUUUGUUCAUGCACUGGAAGAUCUUUCCUCUUCAAGCAUUGAACCAGCAUCCUUCUGUGCAAGUUGCUGUCGGAACCUUCUAUAAUUGUCAGAAGUCUGUUUCUGAAAUAUACAGAUAAAACUUUUAGCAAGUCUUGACAUUGCUCAUCACUAGGACAUUGUACUAGGAUACCAAUUCAUCUAAUUAGGGUUAAGUUGGCAUCUCGUACACUAUUUUUUAUUUUUCCUUCAUCUUUUGUUCCCAUUUGCAGUGGAAGUGGCACUUAGAAUAUCUGAUCAUGAAGAAUUAGCUUUCGGUGAGAUGAUACUAGGUCAAUUGCCAUUAUCUUUUUGAGUUACUGUGCGAGCAAUCUUGAAAAUAUUUUGGGAUAAAUAGAAUUUGUGCUUAUCAUAAACAUGCUAAACAUCCAAAUCAAGUGCUUUUACUAUUGAUAUCAAAUCAGUAAUUGAUUUUAACCUUUAUGCUUAUCUUUCAGAUUCUCAAUUAUGUAUCUUGAAUAAUGAUAUUAAGCAGAAAUCAUGAAUUGAAUUGCUUUAAUUAACUGUGCCUUAUCAAGCUUGUCAGCAGUGCUAUUGCUACCGCGAAUCAAAUUCGCUGUGCUUCCCGCCUUCUCCAAAUAAGCCACAAGCCCAAUUAUAUCCGCCCUCCUCCCAUCUCCAAGGGAUCAAAAAAUAAAAUGACUUCAAUCAAUUUUCAAGUUUUCCAUCUUGAUCAGUAGACCACCCGGCAUGAAUGUUACCCUCAGUUUAGGAAUAGGAAUUCCUUUUACUAAUCAUUUGGCACUAAAAACUAUGACCCCUAGCAAUUCAUUCCCUCCAUUAGAUAUCUGGGGGCAUCUUGGCUCAGCCAAAAAUGAUAAGUCAUUGCAUUUCACAUUGCAUUCAUUUGUAUUAAUGAGCUAAUUUUUUUUCACAGAAUGUGAUGUGAAUCGAAUUACUUCCAACCAUGUGUCUCUAUAAGGGUUUAACAAAUGUAAUUUGCAUUGUCUGUACACUUUUUUUUCGGUUUCUUUUCUUUUUUAUGCAUGAUUCAUUAGUCCACGGAUCUUCUAUGCAAAGUGUGCAGGCCAAACACCUCCUUCAAUGCAUUAUUCUAGAAGUUAAGACUCAGUUUACUCCUUAAUUGAUCUGUUCCAUUUACUUCAAAUCAUUUGAUUACAUUAAAUGAAUCUUGAAAUUCAAAAAUGCAUCAAAGUUAAAAGACCUUCCAAUGCAUUAAGAAAUCAUCUGAUACAAAUAUAUGUGAACCUGCAACAACAAUAAUGUCAAAAUGGAAAACUUAGGUAGAAAAUAUUAGAACGGAAACUUACGACGAACUCAAUUUUUGGCGCCUUUCUUCUUCUCAUCUUCUGAUCCAAGAAGCUCUUCCAACACCGUGUCAUCCAAACACUCGAACUCAAUGACUUGCUUUUCUUGCCCAGAAGAGGAACCUCCCAUCUCUAAACUCCUACAAGGCCCAGAAGAUGACGAGGAAGACGAUGAGGAUGGUGAUGGUGGGGGGCGAUGGGAGCCCAUGAUUUCAGAAUAGUACUCAUUAGGAAAGUUAAGAAUGGCAAGAUGACCCCUUAAGUUAAAGGCCGCUCGAUCAUAGGCGCGAGCUGCAUCCUCCGCCCUGUCAAAUGUGCCUAGCCAUAGACGAGCACCUUGCCUAGACGGAUCCCUAAUCUCGGCUGCAAACUUCCCCCAUGGCCUCCUCCUCACCCCUCGGUAUCGAACUUCUUCCUUUUCCUUCCCUUCCUGCUCCUGCUUCUCAUUCCCUUUCGAAUGAUCUUCCAUGCUAAACGUGUCGAUUUGCUAGGCGCAAUUUUUUUGGUUUCAAAUGUGCUGGUUUACGAGAGGCAUGGAUGCUUAUGUAUAUAUAUGGUUGCCACAGUCAGGUCUGACGUCACCGCUCAAUGUAUGUUCCACAGCGUGGGUUGACGAGCUUUCUGAGGGGGUUUCCUCGAAUUCAAAGCAAGUAUAAAAAUUCGAUUCUCCGACCUUUCCAAUGAGGAUCGAACAGGCCUUUUAUUAGAACCGUAUGAUAACUCCACACUGUUUUCAAAUAGUCAAUGUGAUCUAGAUUCUUCGUUAAUUUUUUCCACCUGACUGAUUGUUUACAAUUUUAUUUUUCACCGUCCCAAAUUUAAACCAUUUACGCGAUUCCCUGGAUUGCAUUUUUCUUUAAUGUUGACUUUACGAGGCAAUAGGACCCCCCAGCAACCCCACUAGGGCGACUUCAUGGGAACCAGAUUACUUUUGGAUCCAGAUAUGGUCCAGAAGAAAUAAGACAAAUCAAUUAAUGUCCACUAAAGUUUUGAUGGAACCCUUAGUCCGUGUUUCCUGUGGAUGUAUGUAUUGUAUGCACCUCAAUUUUCACCAAUCCCUGCUACGAGUCCCUUUAAUUUUGACGUUAUAAAUGUUUUUCCUGACAUUAGCAGAGUGUUUUUCUGCCGUCUUUGAGGACCUUCCACGGCCCAUAAACUAAUAAGGAUCGUCCAGUGAAUUUAGUCUUCCCCAGUUAAUUAUCCUGCGAGGGAAACUUGGGCAGUAAGUUGCCUACAUGAGUGGCUCCCGCCUACAUGAGUCAAGGGACCAUACGUCAGGACGACAACCAGUGUGGUCACACCAAAGUGGGUUGCCUGGACUCCAGGGUGGUCGCUUCAAAGUUGUCAAAUGAAGGCUAGCUUGGCAAGUUUUGGAAAACAAUUAUUGAAAAACAUUUUUCAUGAAUAACAGUUUCUAUGAACAGAUUUUAAGAAAGUUUAUUUUGUGAUUUUUAGGAAUAUUUUUAAUUUAAAUUUUUAUAUUUUUAAUUUUUUAUUAAUUUAUUGAUUAUUUAAUAUUAGCUUAAUUAAUGGAUUUUUCUUGGUCCCAAAUUAUUAAUUUAUCAAGAUUUAAUCGCAUCCAUAAUUAGUCUAAUUUCUUUUGGAGUGAGUGUGACAAAGUGCAAAUUUCUAGAGUUUUAUUAAUGUUAUUCAAUGUCAUAAUUUAACUAAUUAUAUUAAUUAUUUAUUAAUCAAAAUAAAUCAUUCACUUGAAAUAUGAUAAUUUAAAUUAAAAGUUUCAAUUAUUUAUUAAUUAGCAAAGUAUGAACUUUUCUUCUUGUUUUAUUAUUGUUAUUCCAUGUAUAUAAUUUAAUUAACUGUUUCCAAUAUUAAUCAAUAAAAAUAGAAUAUAAGCAUGAGAAGAAUUAGUAAAAUUCAUUGAUUUGGAAUUAGAUAGCUAGAGGAAGAACUUCAUCAUCUUCCCAUUACUUAAAUUUGUAUAAAUUCUAAAUAUUUAAACCCCCCCCCCCCCCCCCCCCCCCAAAAAAAAAAAAAAUGGUAAAGAAAGACUCCCCAAGCUUUCUUGGUUGGUGUUACCCUAAAAUUUGUACAAUAAGAUGAACCAUUUGGCUUAAAGCUUGGUGCGAAACCCCUUAUCAAUUGAAAAUAUCAAUGAAGUUGUUGAAUGGUUUUAGAGGACUAUUCUUAUGCAGAGUGGCAUAAGAAGCGAGGAGAUGAAGAGCGGAGAGACGUUAACAUCGGAUGCUGCUACGAAGGUGGGAAUACGGUUAAUUAAUUAGAUUUUGUGAUGGCUUUGAGUUUGAAGGAGUUAGUUUAAUGGGUAUUAUUAGUGAACUGAUAAUUGGAUUUGAUGUAAAGAAGGUUGGUCCAUUGGAUUAGCAAUUGGUUUGGCCUUUUGGGGGCCCCAUUUCCAAAUGCAUUGCCUUUUACAAGCAUUCAACAUCGCUGGACGUAACCAGGCUUGGUUCACCUAAAAGUAUCGCAUGGAUUGAAUUGACUAAGUUUUCAUUGUAGACUAGCCUUGAUUUUCCCUUGACCUGCCCACCAAAUCCUGAUGCCCACGCGAGGGAAUACCUCAAUUUUCUAAUAAUUUAUGCAGUUUCUCUUCAAAGCUCGUGUGAUCACUUGGGUCGGUAAAAUAAUGCAUUCCUCUACUUUUUCUCCCUUCCUAGAUGCAUGUUAUACCAUUAAUUCAAAUGUGAACAUGGGCUUGGCUUUGAAACUUGGUUCAAGGCCCAACAUGUUGACCCACAAUUGAGGUGUAAUUGAAUUUGUACACUUUUCGACUUUGAUACCAUUUGUCAUUACCAUUGACAUUGGGUCAUUGUUGAUUUUGAGUCCACAACUUUUAAGGUUGUUAUUACAAUUUUAAAUUGCGCCCACCCAAUUUAUAUGCAUUAUCCCUUAUAAAUACCGAUAACCUCUCUUUCUUCGAUAAUAUAAAAUGUCACAUAUAUUAUAUAUCUCAAUGUUUUCUUUUACUUUUUUUUUUUUUAUCGAUCGACAUUCUCUCUCAGAUGAUAUGAGAUGUCACAUAUAUUAUAUGUUUCAAUGUUUCUUUUACUUUUUCUCUUUUUCCUCAUGAUUGACAUUGUCUUUCUCAAAUGAUAUGAGUUGUCACAUAUAUUUUAUGUCUCAAUGUUUUCUUUAACUUUUUUUCUCUCUUCUUUAAUGAUCGACGUUCCUUUUCUCAGAUGAUAUGAAAUGUCAUAUAUAUUAUAUGGCUUAAUGUUUUCUUUUACUUAUUCUUUCUUUAUUAAUAAUCGACAUUUUAAGCAAUAUGUGAAUAUAAAGCAUUAAAAUUAUCUCCAUCGUUUUUGGAUGUGGUAUAAAUACACAAUUCUUAUUUUUGUUUUAAAUAUUUCUAUUGCUAUCUAUUGAAAUUUUAUGCAUGAAGCUACCAAGUUAAUUAUACAUAUAUCUUAAGAUUUUUUUUUUUUUUUUUUAUAGGAUAUAUUGUCCAUGAAUAUUUUCUGCAAUGGUAUCUUGUUUGAUUACUAUAAGAAAUAAUAUAUAUAUAUAUAUAUAUAUAUAUAUAUAUAUAUAUAUAUAUAUAUAUAUAUAUUAUAUUUCAAUGUUUCAUAUUUGCUUAAAAUAAAAAUUAUAUUUUAUCACAAUAUUUGGUAUUAAAAAAAAUGAAAUCUCUCUCAUUUAUUAUUACAAAAAAAUUAUAAUUUAUAAUUUUCUAAAUAAGUUUUAUUUAUUUGCUAACUAUAUUCAUGAUUAAAAGAUUUAAAAUUUAUAAAUAAAAAAUAUUAUGUCAUGUCAUUAAAUAAAUAAAAAUAUAUGUAUAUAUUAAAAUUAUGUUUUAUUGUAGCUUUUAAUAUUUUUUUUUUUAUUCUUUUCUUUUUUGAACUACAAUUUUAAUUUUUUUUAAUCAAAAUUUUUUAAUUUACAAAACGAGUAACAUAAAACUUGCCUUUGAACUUUAUUGGAAUGUUAUAUACUACCAUUUGGCUUUCAAGACAUUAGAAAAGGCAUAAGUGUCCCUUUUAUUUUUCCGAAAGGCAUAUUAGACUAUAGUAGGAAGUGUUGUAUAGAGGCAACUAAAAGUUGCCUUUAACUUUAUGAAGUCAUAUACUCCUCUUUGGCUUUGAUGACAUCAACUAGCAAAUUGGAUUUUGUUUCCUUUGCAACAUUUUUCCAUCCAUUAGCCAGUUUUUUUAUACUGUUUGGUGCUUGCCAACAUGGCACACACUAUGGUUCUUAAAAAGUAUUUUUUUUUUUAAGAUACUACGAAAUAAAAUACACGAUUGAAAGAUGAGUCACAAUAAUUUUCAAAACUAAAUUUUUUAAUAUUGUUAAGAAAAUUUGACCACCAAAUGAUUGAUUUUAAAUUACAAAUACUUUUGUUAGCUAAGAAAUUUGUUGUUCUAUUUGUUUCCCUAUAAAUAUGACAACAAUCAUAAAUAUUUUCAUUUUAAGAUAAUUUUCAAAUAUCUUCCAUUAAUAAUAUAAUAGAAUUAGGAAUUUUUUUUUUAGUUAUAACAAUCUAUAAUUAUUUAAGAGUCUUCCUCAAUCUCUAGGUUUAAGAACUUAUUGUUCUUAACAACUAACAUGUCAUCUCUUAAAAUAAUACAUUCUGCAAUAAUUAUUGAAAUAUGAUAUAAUAUAUAUAUCUACUUACAACCAUUUUUGUAGUACCAUUAGAAUUUUUAAUUACCCAUUCUAAAGUAUUUUUAUUCUCUAUUCUUAAACCAUCAAAAUUUAAUUUAAAUCUUUCAUUAAUUGGAUAAAUCCAAUGAAUCUAACAAGUUAAAGGAUUAUGAAUCCGACAAAACAGUUGAUAAUAAAUUAAUAAUGCCAUUAAUAUGAUUUUAAUGUGAAACACAAUUAUCACAUUUAAUACAGUUAGUCCUUGUAUGAUUAAUGUUUUGGAAGCUAAAAUCAAUCUUUUGACUAUAAUAAGAGUUUCUACUAUUUCUAUUUUUGGAUGAUUUUAUAUUUUUCUUAUUGUUUUAGUUUAAUACAAAAAAUAAAAAUAAAAUUACAUUAGUAGAAUUUUUUUAACUUACUCAAAAACCUAUUUUAGUUGAAUGAUUUUUUUAAAAAAAAUAUAAAUAUUUUGUUAAAAGGGAUAAAAUAACCUUACCUUGUGAAAAAGACCUCUUCACCCAAGAUUACUUGUUCAUAAUCCUUUUAAGACGAAAAUGCCCCCUUCCUAAAAAAUAUUUCAUCUUAAACUUAUUUUUCUUUUUAUUGCCCUUUGUUCCAUCCUUCCGGCUUGGGAGAGAAAUUCAUUCUUCUUUUGCGAAGAAAAAUUCCUAUUGCGAUUUUUCAUUUCAAGUGGAAAAAAAAAUUCUUAUUUCAUUUUAAAGAAAUUGUACAUUUUCAAUCUUUCUCUUUGUUCCUAGUUGAGGGUUUUUUUUGUAAUUUUAUCUUAACACUACAAAUUUAAAGGUGAGAUUAAAUCUUAAUGGUUAUUAGUUAAAUCACAUAUCUAACUUUGUUUUUGUCAGGACCUAUAAUAUGAUUGGAACCACCAUCCAAACUUCAUUAGGUGGGAUACUCCCCACCCUCCCCCUCCCCCCGCGAAAUCCUUGGAUUUUAGUUUUGACUUGGAUUUCAAUUGCCCGUAUCAAUUUUUCUUUAUUUAUUAAUUUAUUAAUUUUCAACUUUAACAAAAGCCUUGAAUCAUAUUUAAAUUCAAAUAACUUAAUCCUAAUUAAGUUCUUUUUAAAUAAAAAUUAAUCAUUGAAAAGUUCAUGUGACUAUUAUAAUUGAGAAUUUAUCCCAAGUUGGGUUUUUUGCAAAUAAAAUUUUAUUAUAGGACAUCAUGAUGCAACAUAACAUAAGGUUGUUACUUAAGUUUGUUUUGACCUUGUAAUAUGUUAAAAUGAAAAUGAAGCCAUUGUAACAGGAGAGAAUGAUGAAGCUGUGGAGAGAGCUUAACAAAGCUUGGGUUGGAGAGACUUCACAGGAAGAGAGAGAGAGAAAUAAAGGGUAAAAUUAUCAAAAGAGAAAAGAAAAAAAAAAAAAAAAAAGAAGGUUAUGUCUUCAAAUAAUCAAUAAGAGAUGUCAUUUUUCUAAUUUUCAAAGUUCUUUUGGUCCUUCUCUACAAAUAUCCCUAUAAAAAUAUUAUAAUAUCAAGUUAAUUUGUCAAUACCAAAAUUUAUAUUUUAUAUUAGGGCGACUAAAUAACAUAUAGAAAGAAUUUUAAAUGAGUAAAUCAAAUCAAUUUUGAAACCAAAACUUAAUAAUUACCAAACUUGUAAUCUUAGUCAUUAAAAGUGUACGAUGAAAUCUAAAUUAUUAAGCAAUGAAACAAAAAAUUAAGAUUAAAAUACAAAACGUUAAAAUCAAGAUACAAACUAUUAAAAUGUAAGUGGGAUAUGAGAUGAUAUUAUAAAAAAUAGUGUGAUCCAACAAAAAGUCUAGUACAUCAUUAUCUUCACUUCCAACCAUGUUUAAAAGGUCACAAGUUCUAGCGGUUUCCAAGGACAAUGUUAAAAAUAAUAAAAAUAAAUCCAAUUAAAUAUUAAUUAAUUUAUUUGAAUUUGAGUCCGACAAAAUAGUUGGUAAUAAGUUAAUAAUGCCAUUAAUAUGAUUUUAAUGUGAAACACAAUUAUCACAUUUAAUACCCGUUAGUCCUUGUAUGAUUAACUUUUUAGAAAUUAAUAUCAAUCUUUUGAUUAUAAUAAGAGUUUCUACUAUUUAUAUUUUUGGAUGAUUUUAUAUUUUUCUUAUUGUUUUAGUUUAAUACAAAAAAAUAAAAAUAAAAUUACAUUAGUAGAAUUUUUUUUAACUUAUUCAAAAAACCUAUUGUAAGGUGAAUGGUUUUUUUAUUUUUUUUUUAAAUAUAAAUAUUUUCUUAAAAGGGAUAAAAUAACCUUACCUUGUGAAAAAAGGCCUCUUCACCCAAAUUUACUUGUGCAUAAUCCUUUUCAGACGAAAAUGCCCCCUUCCUAAAAAAUAUUUCAUCUUAAACUUAUUUUUCAUUUUUAUAACCCUUUGUUCCAUCCUUAUGAUUUGGGAGAGGAAGUCAUUCUUCUCUUGUGAAGAAAAAAUUCCUACUGCCAUUUUUCAUUUCAAGUGAAGAAAAAUAUUUAUAUUUCAUUUUAAACAAAUUGUACAUUUUCAAUCUCUCUUUGUUCCUAGUUGAGGUUUUUUUUUUUUUUUUUUUUUUUUGUAAUUUUAUCUUAAUUGUACAAAUUCGAAGAUGAGAUUAAAUCUAUAAUGGUUAUUGGUUAAAUCACUUAUCUAACUUUGUUCUUGACAGAUCGUAUAAUAUGAUUGGAACCACCAUCCUAACUUUAUUAGGUGGGAUCCCUUUUUUUUUUUCCCCAAACCCUUGGAUUUUAGUUUUGACUUAUAUUUCAAUUGUCUGUAUCACUUUUUCUUUAUUUAUUAAUUUUCAACAAGUUCUUUAACAAAAGCCUUGAAUCAUAUUUAAAUUCAAAUAACUUAAUCCCCAUUAAGUUCUUUUUAAAUGAAACUUAAUCAUGUGAAAGUUCAUGUGACUAUUAUAAUUGAGAAUUUAUUCUUAGUUGGGUUUUUUGUAAAUAAAAUUUAGUUAUAGGACUGUGAUGAUCCGUUCUCAACCGUAUAAAUAUUGUUCGUUUUGAAUUCAAAAUAACUUUUACGGCUUUAAAACAUGUUUACAAGAUUAAGAGGAGUCCAUAUUUAUAUAGCUUCACGAACUUUCCCCCCUAUUCGAUGUGGGAUGUCACAAGGACAUCAUGAUGCAACGUAUAACAUAAGAUUGUUUCUUAAGUUUGUCUAACCUUGUAAUGUGUUAAAAUGAAGAUGAAGCCAUUAUAACAGAAGAGAAUGAUGAAGUUGUAGAGAGAGCUUAACAAAGCUUGGGUUGGAGAGACUUCAUAGGAAGAGAGAGAGAGAGAGAGAGAGAAAUAAAGGGUAAAAUUAUCAAAAAAGAAAAAAGAAAAAAAAGAGGGUGAUGUCUCCAAAUAAUCAAUAAGAGAUGUCAUUUUUCUAAUUUCAAAGUUCUUCUGGCCCUUCUCUACAAAUAUCCCUAUAAAAACAUUAUAAUAUCAAGUUAAUUUGUUGAUACCAAAAUUUAUAUAUUAUAUUAGGAUGACUAAAUAACAUAUAGAAAGAAUUUUAAAUGAGUAAAUCAAAUCAAUUUUGAAAUCAAAACUUAAUACCUACCAAACUUGUAAUCUUAGUCAUUUAAAGUGUUCCAUGAAAUCUAAAUUAUUAAGCAGUGAAACAAAAAAUAUAAGAUUAAAAUACAAAACGUUGAAAUCAAGAUUCAAACUAUUAAAACGUAAGUGGAGACGUAAGAUGAUGUCAUAAAAAAUAGUGGGAUCCAACAAAAAGUCUAUUAAUCAUUAUCUUCACUUCCAAUCAUGUUUAAAAGGUCACAAGUUCUAGCGGCUUUCAAGGACGAUGUUAAAAAUAAUAAAAAUAAAUCCAAUUAAAUAUUAAUUAAUUUAUUUGAACAAUAGAUAGGACCAAAAUAAUAUUCUAAAAGGAAUCAUAGGGAAGUCCUUGGACAACCUACGACAUUGAACAAAGGUACAGUGAGACAAUGCACUUAGCCCUUCCUUGUCAUUGCGAUGAAUAUAAAAAGACACCCUGAUUGAGGGUGCCCCACUAAGCCAAGAGUGAUUCUUUUGUAUUGUAUAACGUGAAUAUUUUUGAACUUUGAAUGACCCUUCCUAUAGUCAUCAUUGUCAAAACUAGAAAAUCAGAAAGAUGCGAUGUACGAAGGCACCAUUGAAUAAGAGGCUUAAUUCUCUUUGGCAAUUAGGAUAAAGUUUCAAAAUAGAAAAAUUAAACAAAUGUACAGUGUACGGACACUUGGGCAUUGCCUAUUUGUUUUGUUCUUCUAGAGUUGUAUAUGGUAAAGGUCAUAUUGGGUUGGUUCUAUUUGGUUAUUGAAGUCGGCUAGAAUAUUAGAUUUGGUUUCAAUCUAAUCCCAUAUGAUAUUAGAAUACCAGCCCAUACAGAAUUUUUGACCAAAUAUAAUAUUUCUUUUAAAUAUAAAUAUAGUAAUUAAUUUUAGUCUAAGAUUAAUUAUGUAGUUUCCUAAAGAGACCACUUCCUAAACGGUAGCUAUGUGGAAGUUGGGCCAGGUCCUGCCGAGAAGGUUUCCACGAGCUGAGCCCAAAACUGAGUAGCUGUGAUGGGAUCAUUCUAGCAUUCAGCCUGAAACUUGUAACAUAACGGAUCGAGAGGCCUGAACUCCAAGACCAUGGUUCGUCAGCCCAUUAACUUCAACAGCACGCAUUUUAGAGGACUGGGCUUGCAAGGGGUGAGGUUUCCGGGCCGCGACCCCAAAUAUGAACAGCCUCAGAAGUGAUAUUGCUUACUGGCACGUGAAGAGCGCAAGCGUAACUAGAAGAUUUGUAAUGCCGCUUUAAUUGUUUGAUUAUAGAAUCCCACGCAUUACGCAUGGAAAGUGUAAAAGAUAAAAGAUGUAGAAUUUUUUCUUAGAGAAAAGUUCGUUUGGAUAUAGUUAUUGUUUUUUUUUUAAAUAAUAAUUGUUUUUUUUAUAAAUUAUAGAUAAUCUUAGAAAUUUAUCUUUAAAAAAAUAGUUUUUAAAAAUAUUUAAGGAGAAUAAAAGUGAUAAAAAAAAACUUUACAAUUUCAAAUUUUUAAAAAAUGAAAAUUAUUUUUAAGAAUAUAAGUUAAUCUCCUGCAUUUAAAUCUUAGGUGGUUUUUGUUUUUUUUACUUUUCGCUGAAAACAAUUUGUUUUCAAAAUUUAGGUCAUUUGUUUUUUCUAUUUUUUCAUGAUUUAUUAUAAAUUUUUUACUAAAUAAAAAAAAUCAAAAUAUGUAACUUUUUCUAAAUAAAAAAAAUAACGUAUUGAUUUUUCUUUACUUUUUAAUACUUAAUAGAUAUAAAAUACUACAAAAACAAAAAAUCUAAUAUUUAACACUAUUAAGCAUUAAAGUUCUAUUUAGAAUUAAGUAAAAAAACAAACACCACCUUAUAUUUUAUAUAAAAGUUACUUAUAUUUUGGUUUUUGGAAAUAAAAAAUAUAAAGCAUAUCCAAACAUGAGCUUAGCUAUUUUAAAUCAUAUCAAAAUAAUAAUCCCAAUAAGGUAAAUGGACUUUUAUACGGAGAAUAAUCUUUAAGGUUUUCAUUUUUAUUGGAUUUUUUUUUUGUGGUGUUUUUUCAAUCCAUCUUCUCAAUUAAUUCCUUAAAAUUAUUUUACUGUUUUUUUUUUUUUCAGUUUCUAAAUAUUUGAUUUUUCCAAAAUGCUUAAAUGGAAGACACUAAUUUUUCAAGAUAUUUGGUAUUACAAUUUUCCCUGUUCUCCCUAUUAUCUAUCAGAUUCAUGGCCCUUUUGUUUUUUCAUUGGUUUUCAAUUUAAUUUUCCAAAUAUUACAUUGUUGUGUUUUGAAUUUGUGAAACCAAUUUUAUAUAUAUAUAUAGUAUGUAAGUCUACUUUGGGUAACAUGUACAGAGAGGUUUUCAUGUGUUUGAAACCUUUUACCUCAAAAAUUAAUUAUUUUUAAUUUUAUAAUAAAUCUUUUUUUAUUUUUUAUUUUAUUUAGGAAAGCCUAUAUUUAAACUACAUGUUUGCAACGCAACACCAUACAUACUCCUAGUGGAACUUACCUUAGUGCUUGAGGGGGAUGCAGAUCUUCUUCUAAACCUAACUAAUAAGCAUAAAAUUGUUCACUAAUUAGCAUAUCUAGUAAAUCAUACAAAUUGGCAAUAUUUCAUGUUUUUCAUGUUUUGUCAAUAAAAGGCGUCUUGACCAUUUUGUGAGUUUUGUAAUAAAUAAAAAAAAAAAAAAAAAAAGGGCAAAAGGUGACUAAAAUGAGGCACUUUGGAAAGGUUAAUAACCUAAAAGGAAGAUGAAUUAAUACCCCCUUAUUCCUCUUCAAAAACCAUUGAGAAAAUGCAAGAAAUGCUCUUAGUUGUAUGCUAGGCUAACAGCCUAGCAACCAUAAUACCCUUCUUUGCAAUUGUAAGCAUUUUUUUUUUUUUUUUGAAGGCCAAACAACGUUGCAAACUUCCCAAAUCCCUUCUUUAUUUUUUAUUUUUUUAUUUUUGUUUUUAGAAGGAGAAUGAAUUUGAUGACAAACUCCUUGUCAAUCUUAUCCAAACCACGAUCGAACAGAACUCCUUGUCAAUCUUAUCCAAACCGUGUUCCACCUCAAAAACAUGUGUAGGACUUAAGGCAGCAACUGGCAAGCAUGACUGAUAGGGCCAAGUGCCCUUGUCUCUACAAUCCAUUAAGUUAACCAAGGGCAGUGAACCAUCAUUCUUUUCAAAAGCUUCAUUCCGUGUUGAAAAUGUGAGACUGAAGCAUGGUGCCCCCAAAAAUAACGAUCUAUUUACUAGCAGCAUGCCUGGACCCAUUAAAAAUACUCUACUUUAGGAAUAGAAAAAAUUACAUCUUUAUCCAAUAAUUUUAUAACAAUUCAGACGUUUCAGUCUAUAAAUAAUUGUACAUAGUUGCCAACGUUUAGCUAGUUUCAAAUGAAUAGCCUAGGUUCAUGCACCAGUUUGGCUGGUGGAGGAAAGGGAUUCGAGACAUUGAACCCUCUUUUUAGUGUGCCAAAUAUUCCACAAAAAUCACUACCUUCUCUUUGUGUUUGUUCACUUUUAGUUUAUAUUUAAUAAAUCUAUGUUUUCGAGUAGAGGUUGGGUUCAGGUGCGACCCACGUCACCUCUCGGACGGUCUUGAAAAAGGAGACCGGACCACGUAAUUUCAAAUGUAGUGACCAUCUCACUUUUACCUCCAUCCUUGAAGAUGGUUUCCCAAAUCAAUAUUAAUCUUUUGUUUACGACAAUAUCGAUCACUUUAUGUCUAUAUCGUUGUUAAUUUACCUUUUUUUUUUAGCCACAUUAUUUGAAAAUUGAUGCAAACUUUACCAACAUCUUGGUACCAUUUUAAAAUAUUAGAGUUAUUUGAUUAAAAAAAUAAAAUAAUCUCGAUAACUUGUUUAUAAAAUAAAUAUCUUUUAACAUUUAGACUAUUCUCACGCAUGCUUUAAAAUUGUAAAGAUAUUCAUAAAGUGGAACUUUAGACUUAAUCAAUAUCGAUCACUUUAUGUCUCUAUUGUUGUUAUAUUUUUUUUUUACAACAUUAUUUGAAAAUUGAUGCAAACUUUACCAACAUCCUAAUACCAUUUUAAAAUAUUAGAGUUAUUUGAUUAAAAAAAUAAAAUAAUCCCGACAACUUGUUUAUAAAAUAAAUAUCUUUUAAUAUUUAGACUAUUUUCACCAUGCUUUAAAAUCAUAAAGAUAUUUAUAUUCAUAAAGUGGAACUUUAGACUUAAACAUGAUAAUAGUUUUUUUACAAUAUUAUAAUUAUUUUAUCGUUUUAAUUAAGCCCUUUAUCAUACAUAUAAAUGUAAAUUAAUGCUAAAUUUUUAAAGCAACGUAUAACCUUUUACAUCUUUUUUUAAGAUGGUGCGAAAAUCCUAUGAAAAAUAAUAAAAGUCGAUGCAUAAGAAGAUUGUUUUGAUAAUUCAAUAGAAAAAUUCUUUUAAAAUGAUAUUAAAAAAUACCCAUAGAGCCUUUAUUAAAAAAAUCAAUUAUUUUCAUAAUAAAAAUUAUAAUUUUUUAUUAUGUAUUAUUAUUUUUAAGUAUCUUUAUUACAAAUACUUUUUUUGAGUUUAUGAGAGGAAUCAACAGGUUGGUACAAGCUUAGGCGUCCUCGUACAUGUUCCCGCUGUGCAAGGUUUUUGUCUUGUUUCGAGCUAGUCGGAAUUUACGUGUUUGAUAACGUUUUGUCCUAUUUUUGUAACGCUUUAAAGGGCGGCCCACCGUUGGAACAGUUCAAGCCAUCCAAAUCAGCCCGGAGGGUUAUGGCGACGUGGCAUGACGCCUACCACCUUAGUUCACAUGAACCCUAUGAUCGUACUACCCUCACAUGACAUCUGUGAUUCUUCACCUCCAAACCCUCUUUAACUUGGUAAUGUAUUCAAAGCUUCAUCAAAUCAUAGCGAUUAGCGACCCUCUUCCACCCUAAUUUUAUAAUAAAAAAUAAAUCUUAGUGGACAUUAAAGUAGUAUUUUGUGGGGGGAAAGAAAAACUCUAUGGGCGUAUCCACUAAAUACGAGCCAAGUAUAAGAGUUAUCACCAUGGAAUCAAAUUAUGAAGCAUUGACAUUUUAAUUGUAUUCAGAUUUGAGGAGGGCACCGCGGCACCAGCUGGCCCAGUGUAGUCUGCUAGCCUACCCGCCAUAAUGACCAAAUUAAUAAAGUAAAAAGGAUUACAGGGAUAUUCCCAACUUUAUUCUGGGUCUGAGCUGGAACUUGGGAGUUAUCACGAUCAACGGGAAAGAUGGUGGGUAGGGGACGAGGAUUGAGGGCUCCAUAUUCACAUCAGUGAAAAACGAAAUGUAUUGAGACAAGUCUUCUAAGGAUUUUCUAGCGUAUUAUAUGGUUUAAAUGAUUAUAAAUCUGUAGUUACUGGUAAAGAGUAGAGAGUGAAGACGAAAGACGUUGAGUGAAAAGGAAGGAGGAGAGGGGAUGGGGCCAUCUUACCGUGUCGGGGAGGAUCCAUAAAAGGACUACGUUCCCUGAAUCUGUAGGCAUCAUGCCUCGCCUAACGGGUUAGUCAAAAUACAGUGAUGUGUGUGAGUUGGGGGCCUCACUCCUCAUUUCUUUCCUUCUUUUCACCCCCACCCCCACUUUUUUUUUUUUUUUUUCGAAUUUUUCUUUGUCCUUUUCUCUCACUUGCGCACGCGGGAGAAGGACCACAAACUAGACAAUUCCUCUGCUCACGUGACCCCGAGUUUUUAAAUAUUUGCCUAUUUGGAAAAUAGUCAUGAAUCAUGAUCGUUAACAAACAAUCUUCACUUUAUUUAUUUAAGAUCUAUUUUUUGGAGCUCUAGUUUAGUUUAUUAUUAUUAUUAUUAUUAUUAUUAUUAUUAUUAUUAUUAUUUAGUAACUCCUCUUAUAUUAAUGAAAAAGAGAGGAGGAAUCCAAACUUGUUUAUUCUUCCUCUUUUAAGGUGUUUGUUUUUUUUAUUUUAUUUUUAUGCUUCAUAUGUCUUCAAUUUCUUAGCAUUUGUCUUAUAUUUCUUCUUAUCCGAUUCAUUAUUGCAUCCUUGGUCAAUCUUUCACGAGGAGUGCCUACUUUUUUCCUUUUUAUUAUUUAAUUCACUUUAUCUUUAUAUUUUCCUUUUACACUUUAUUUCCAAUUCAAAACGUGUCAAAAAAAAAAAUUGGUAACAAAAAAAAAAAAAAAAAUCAAUUGUAAUGAUUCUUAUAUAAUUUUAUUUAAUUUUUAUUAAACAAUAAAGAAAUUAAAAAUAUAUAAAUUUUUAAAUAAUUAUUAUAGUCUUUCAUUUUUGUGUAUAAUUUCUUUUGCAAGAAAUAGUGUAGGCUUUCCACGGUCUAAAGGAAAUGGAAUAUCAAAUGAGAAGGUAAUAAUAAUAAAGUGAGUUAUAGAUACUAAUCAAACUAAUCCACUAAUGAAUUAUUUAUUUUUAUUUCACAUGGACAAAUCCUAAAAGUUGGAGUUCUAAUUUACUUUUAUGUUAAGCUUUUUUAAGUAAAAAUCUUUUAUUAUUAUAAUUUAUAGACAAAAAGAAACCCAUUAAUGUGAUGGAUAAAAAAUUUCAAUUUAAAAAAAAAAAAAUUAAAGUUGCUAAAUUUUUGUAUUUAUUAUUUCAAACUCAUUUAAAUAAUUUAAAAAUAUGUCUUCAAUUAAUUUUAAUGAAACAAAGCAUGAUUUUUUUUUAAUUUUUUUUUCUUUACCAAAUAAAGCAUUAUUAUAAUACGUUGAUUAAAUUUUCAUCAUGUCUCUCAAGAUUUGGAUUAAAUAUACUUAGUUGUCAUAAAUUUGAAAUUUUAUUUAAUGUAUUUUUUAUUUUAAAUUAAAAAGAUGAAUGCAAAUAAAAAAAAUAUGUAUAUUUUAUAAAAUUUUAAAUUAAACGAAGGAUACGUGUAUUUAACCAAGGUGAAUGAAAUUAAUCCAAAUACUUUUUGGUAACUUGCAAAAUAUCUUGACGAAAUCAUUAUGGCAGGCAUCGUACAAGCUCAACCCUUGUCGCCUUGCUAGAAAUAGAGAAACAAAAAGACCCCCAAAUUGGGUUGCAUCCUAAAUAUGAAGAAGUGGUAACAAAGGAAGAAAAAAUGCUGUGUUAUUGAAUAGUUAAUACAUUGAACAUGAUAUGUUACAUAGAGAGCCAGAUUAAUCCUAGUGGAAUUCCACUGUCACGAUGGUAACCUAGGGUUAUGUUUGGUUAUUGAAAAUACCAAGAAAAGAAAAAAAAAUAUAAAGGAAAAUAAUUUUUUCAUUUUUGAUUGUCUUAUAAAAGAUAUAAAAAAAAAACAAAUAUAAUUAAAACUAAUUAAAAAUUUAGGUAUUUUUAAAUUAUUUAAUUUUUAUAUUAAUGAGCGAAAAUAAAUAAAAUAAGUUUAAAAUAACAAAAAAAAUAAUUUACCGAUUUUUAAUCUAUAUUUUAUUUUACUUUUUCUUUGUAUUUUUUUUUUCUUAUAUUUUCCCUCAAAUUUUCUGAAUCAAACAUAGCAAAAAAGGAGCUACCCCUUUCGAAAGAAACUCCCAAGAAUUUCAAAGAAACCUGCUGAGAUAAUGAAUGAGGGAUCACUGUCGGUAAACAGUAUCCAUUCUUUUGGGAGGACUUUCAAACUGAGAAGUUGUUUUCAUGACUUGGAAACAAAAUUUUGAGCUCUAAGGGGGUCUGUAUUUGGGCCCUAAAAUUCAAUCCAUCAAUCUGAAAAAUGCUUAGGAUAAUGAUUUGAUUUAGCCACAAUCACUAAACAAAUUCCAGAGGAAAAUUUCGCUACUCAUAGGUGGCUGAUUCUCAUAAAAAGACAUCGUGGUAGGGUGUCUCAAGUGCAGGCUCACCAUCAACUUGCUGCCCUUUUUAGAUUAUUGUAAAAUGAUUUCACAUGAAGCCCAAUGCAAAACUUUGAAAGAAAAGGUUGGUGGAGACGUGAAGAAUAUGUAACCCAUAGGCCAUAACUAGUACCGAAGAUUAUUGAACAAACAUUCAAGGUUUUUGUAUAGACGAAACUGAAAAGAAUGUGUACCAGACUCAGGCGUUCAGAUCAGAUGAUGCCGUAAUGUGGAUUGUGGAGGAGCAUUGUGCAGACAGAUAAUGAGAUUCUGAAAGCGAGGCCACUGAUGGGCCCUUGGAAGGGGGGCGUGCCUUCAAAAUUAUAUAUAUAUAUAUAUAUAUGUCAUUGAAAAUUGGAAGCAACUUUUCUUCUUAAGUUAUUUUAAUCGAAGAAGAAACAAAAAGUUAAAAACAUACAUUAUUCUUCCUUCUUACGAGGUUUCCGGGUCUAAAUUACUAUGGUCUCUGCAACUGGCGUCGUUUUCUCUCCCCUCUCUCUAUUUUCCCUUUAUUUUUUCACUUUUAGAAAGAAGCAUCCCAUCAAGAAUCUACUACAACCCUACGCUUCCAUUUUGAUUUAGAAAGUUAAAAAUAAGUUUAAGUUAAAAAAAAAUAUUUUCUUAUAUAAUUAUUUAAACUUAUUUCUUUUCCUUUUUAUAUAAAGAAACAAAUAUUUUGCAAAUAAAUAAAUUUCUAAUUAUUUUCAUUAACAUAAUAAUAAUAUUUUUCAUAUGACUUUAAUCACAAUUUUUUUUACCACUUGUCCAAGGCGGUGAGAGGUGAUAAAAUGUAUUAAAAAAACGAUUAAAUUGCAUUAGGUAUAGAAGUUUUGUGCUUCAAUUAUCACUUAUAAAAAUAAAAUAAAAAUAGUCAAAUUUGAGUGUGCAAGUUGGUAUUCGUAUGUAGAAGGAAUUGGGGGAUUUGGGGGUCCUAACAAAUUUGAUAUGAUUGAUGGAAGGAAAUGAUUAUUAUAGGAUAAAGUCCGAAUGAAACGCUGACGAGGGGGGAAAAACAACAGUGGCAAUGCACUAUCCACAGAUCCAUGAUUGAUUUAUGUUAGCAAUAAUGAAUUAUUUUGACUUUGAUAACCUUGGUUAAGAGAAUUUGGUCUUGUUAUUAUCAUUUUUUCAAAAAAAAAAAGUGUAGGUAACUAGGUAGUUGAUUUAUUAGAAUUUAGAAAUGAGGAUCCCCUCCUCCUGCAAGAGCCGUGACAGACAUGCCUGCUUUCUUGCCAGAUUAUACCAAUGUGCCCAAAUAAUCCCCCAUCUAUCAUCUCUGCACCCUGGAACACGUCACUCCCUCCUUUGAGCAAUAAAAUAUCUCUUUUAUUUUCUUUUGAACCACUCUUCUAUUUCUUUGUACCAGACUGGACCCAUUUAAAUUCUUCGCUACGCUGUUCCCAAGGACUACGAGAAUCAAAAUAGCAAAAUUCUUGAAUCAUUUUAAUGGGUUCAGAAACCACAUGUUUCUCUAGAUCAUAAGAGGAAAAUCUUUUUGGAUGGUGUUUGUGUUGUGUUGUGUUCAAUAUUAAAUACUCAAUUAAAUAAGCUAAAUCAAAUAUCACAUGAAAAAUAAUCAAAUUAAAAAUAGGGAGAAUUAUGUUUUGAGGGUAGAUGGACCCCAAAUUAACAAAAGGUUCAUGUAACUCUUCAAAUUGAGCCCAGACCCAAUGAAAAUAUGGAAAUUGAGUUGAAGUAUAUCAUCAUUCAGUAUUUCCAAAAAUGUCCUUUGUUGAUUUUGAGAAAAAAAUUAAUAUUUUUGAAAAAUAUUUUUAUGUAAUUUAAUAUUUUUUUAAAUACUUUUAUUUAAUUUAAUAUUUUUAAAAAAUAAAUUUAUUUAAUUUAAUAUUUUAAAAAAUAUUUAAUUUAAUAUAUUUUUUAAAUACUUUAAUUUAAUUUAAUAUUUUUGAAAAAAAUUUUAAUUUAAUAUUUUUGAAAAAAAAAUUAUUUAAUUUAAUAUUUUUUAAAACUAUUUUUAUUUAAUUUAGUAUUUUUGAAAAAAAAUUAUUUAACUUAAUUUUAUAAAAUAUUUUAUAUGUGUUCUUAAAGGGUAUAUUUGUCCGUUACUAUUUCAUAUCCUUCAACUCAAUUUAAAGAGUUAUAUGGACCUUUUGUUAAUUUGGGGACCCAUCUACCCUCAAAAGAUAAUUCUCCCUUAAAAAUAUAAAUUUAAAUAUGACAUAAUUAUUAAAUAUGUUAGAUCUUGUAUGAGUUUAUAAGAUUUAUGUUUCAAAAUAACAUGUUUAUAAUUCAUCUAUUGAUUUAUAAUCAAAUUUUAAAUAAAUUAAAGUUAUUCAAGUUAAUAAAUAUGAUUUAUGUUAUAAAGACUAACUAAAAAAUAAUUUAUUAAUUAAACGGAUCCUGGUCAAUAAAAAUUUGAUUUAAAUACGAUCAUACUUAAUCAAAACUUAGGUCAAAUUGUAUUGAUAAAUUACAUCAAAACCUUGUUGUGUUCAAUAUUUUAUAUUAAACUAUUUUUUAAUAAAAUUAUUUUUAUAAAUAUAAUAUUACAUCAUUUGGAGAAACAAAAUAGUAUUAUAUUGAUUUUACAUAUAAAGCAACCAGUUAACCCCUCAUUAUUUUGAUCCAUUUCACAUCCAUAUCAUUCUCAUAAUUUUUUUAUAAUAUAUUAACAUGAUGGACGGUAAUUGAGGGUAGAAAAAAAAGAUGAGAAGAAUAAAAUAAUGUGAAUCCUCUCUAAAUGUUACAUCUUCUGACAAAUGAAGUCUAUAGAAAUGUGUAAAAAAAAAAAAAACACUUAAUUGUGAGGUUCACUUGAUUUAGCAAAAAAUUAAUAUUUUAUUUGUUGUGUGAUUUAAAAAUAAUAUUUUAUUUUUAAAAAUAAAAAAUUAUUUUUAAAGUUUUUUAACACUAUUUUACUAUUGUUCUUUGAAAUAAUUUUUAAAAUUAAAAUGAAAUAACUAAUAAUUUUUAGAUAAUAAAUUAAAGUUGUUUUUAUUAGAUUUUAAAAAUAAAAGAAAAAUAUAAAACCAUUUGAUCAAAUUUUUUUAAACUUAUUUUUAAAAGGUUUUUUUUUUUUUUUUUUUUUUUCUAUCCUAAGUUAAAAGAUAAAAAAUAAUUUUUAAAGAUAGGUUACGAGCAAAUGCCACAAACUUUUUUCUUCUCUUUCCCUUGUUCGGAUAGAAGUGAAAAAUAUCCUCCCAUGGAUCGACAUUACGUGAGCCAUCACCAUUCCCCAACUGCAAUUCAACCGCCAAAGCUGAGGUGUCAUUAUUAGUUUGAACAAAAGUCAGCAUUGUCCACGUGGUGACAAGCGGAACUGACCCAACUUGCAAGGCAAAAAAAUAAAUAAAAUAAAAUGAAAAAAUCAGAUCACCAUUAUGACGUCAGUCCAAUUGCUGACCUGGCCGCCGUCCCCCAUUUGACCCACGUGUUCAUUUAACCCAUUCGCCGUAUGCCGUGGCUCCCCACCCAUAUGGCCAUAUCUGCCAUUUAUUUUAUCCGUUGCCUCCAUUCGGUUUUUGGAUUUUACCCAUUCGCCCUCGUCUAUUCCCAUUUCCGUAUUUGCCCACCAAGGAAAUUCAAUUCCCAUGCUUUUGUUUUACAUUCAAAUCCUCCCCCCUCUAUAUAAAGGAGGGAGUAGGGCUUGAAAGUUUCUCAAGCCAACAUGGACUGUUGAGAGUGAAAGACAGAGGAGCCACAAACAAAUAUCACUCACUCAAACCAAAGCCAAAACCAAUACCGAAUUCAAUUCAAAUGACUUCUUUCUCUCUCAUCAAUUCCCUGAAUUCCGAUUCCGAUUUCAAUUUGUUAUCGGAUUCUUUUUCCUGGGAAAACUCCCUACCUUUCAAUGAAAACGACUCCCAGGAGAUGCUCCUCCUGGGCAUGCUGGCCAGCUCCACUCAGGAAACCUCAGAAACAGUUUCUUUGAAUCGAGUGAAGGAGGAAGAAGUGACUUCCCAGGAAAAUCCCGAGAAGGAGAAGUCAUACAGAGGCGUUAGGAGGCGGCCAUGGGGGAAAUUCGCAGCAGAAAUAAGGGACUCGACCAGGCAUGGCAUAAGGGUGUGGCUGGGAACAUUUGACAGUGCAGAGGCAGCUGCUCUGGCCUAUGAUCAAGCUGCUUUUGCGAUGCGGGGCCCUGCGGCAGUCCUCAAUUUCCCGGUGGAAAGAGUGAAGGAAUCGAUGCAGGAGAUCAAGUGCAUCUUGGAGGAGGGGGGCUCACCAGUGGUGGCCCUCAAGAAGAGGCACUCUAUGCGGAGAAAAAGUCCUUGCAAGAAACAUAAAAGUGAAGAGGUGAGGUUAGAAAAUGUGGUAGUGCUGGAGGAUUUGGGUACUGAAUACUUGGAACAGCUCCUCACUUUCUCUGAGACCUCUAGUCCUUGAUCAUCAUCAUCCAUCACCUGGAUAGCUUCUUCUCUUUGCUCUGUUUCUUACUUUUCUCUCUCUCUCUCUCUCUCUCUCUCUUUUUUUUUUAUGUAAUUUUUCUUAAUGUAUUUUUGGAGAUGGCGGGGGUGUAGUGGUGGCAAUUAUCCAUCUAGAAUUUUUCAAAAGAUAUGUUCUUUUGUUUCUUUGUAUAAAGUUGAAAAGUGGGGAUCAAUUGUGAUGGUGCUCUAUGUUCAUCCACCCAAUUUAUAUAAUCAAGGUGAUUAAUGUUUUUUGAUAUCAACAAUUUGUGAAUGACAUAGAGAGAGAGAGAGAGAGAGACCUUAUUUUCUACACUCAUUACGGUGGUUUCCAUUUGGGGAAGGAAAAGGAAAUGGCUAAGAAUGUUACCAAAAGAAGUGGGGUGGCUUUCAUAUGCGUGGUGGCAUACUUGCAUACAAACUUUUCAAUUGUGUUCUGCAUGCCACUCGGGUCAAUUUCAUUUCUUUUACUCCUAGUAGCCUAAUUGGAUUUCCUUUUUCUCAUGAGACAUCAAAUAAAUUUCAUUUUUUUAUAUUUAAAUAGUUAGGUAAGUUUGAUAGUGAGUUAUAUUUUAUACAUUAAUUCAUCUUUUAGAAUGUUGUCUACAAUAUAAACAGUGUAAUUAAUUUCAUCAUUACAGAACAGUCAUCUUAUAAAAUAACAUAAAAAUUAUUGGAUCACUUGUAUGGCACCACUGAUUUGGACUUGGUAUGGCUCUGUUUGGCUUCAUAGAAAAAAUUUGGACCCAAUUUGAAUGUCUUGCAUAAAAAGAGAUACGUCCCACUUUGAAUGAUAUUGAAGAAAAAAAUUUCUGAUGAAGAAUAUAUUGUUGGCAGGGUCAUGCAGGCCAAUAGGGAAACGAUAAAUUCAGAAGAAUGAGUCCAAACCAGUGGGCUUGAAAAUUAAGAAGAGAAUUGCUGUAUAAAACAAUCAUUUCUUAAUCGAGUUCACUUUCUGAAUAAUCGUCACUUUGAGAAUGCAUACUUAGGAAGAUGAUGAUCCUUAAUGGGAAUAAUCAAAGGCAUCAAAAAAUUGUUCUGGAACAAUUCUUGAUUGUCUCCAGUAAAAUUCAAAGUCAAAAGUCAAAAGUCCAGUCGGUCAACACCAAACCAGGCCAGUCCAAAAGACAUUAAUUUGCAAUCUAGAAUCUAUGAUGAGGUGGCGAAAUCAAACCUUGGCUUUUCACCAGGGAAUGGUACUCUGAAUUUGGUCAGUUCACUGUUUCGAGUGAAUAGGGUGUAGUAAUUAGUAAAUCAUAUUUUAGAUUUGUGUCACAAGUUACAAGGGAUAUGGGCUGACGUUCAAUUUUGGCGACAAUUUGUGGGCCCGUAUAUUUGUUGAGAUGUGGAAAUUGGGUGUGUGCUUUUUUCUGCUACCACAUAAAUAUAUUUCUUUGAAUUGAAGAGUGUUUCAGACCAUUUUUUUUCAAGUCACAAAUGGACAACUGAUUGAGAUUGUAUUGGUGAGAGUAGGAGUUUAUUUUGGGCUGGUUGAGCGAAGUUGAAAGUCGAGUUGGACCUAACCCUUGAAUUCAGCAGACUACAGUCCGAUCCUGUAUUUUGGAUUUAGGGAACCUUCUUUCCCAGAAGCUUCGUCUGGGUUUUAAAGUCUAAAUGUGGCUACUCUUAAACAUUGGAGAAAGGAUGAGCGUUCACAAGCAAAUGGGUAAUUGUGGAUGGUUCAAGGACCUGGCCAGCUGGUCUUCAAGUUUGGAUGCCGGUUUGGGCCUGAGAGAGUCUUUGCAAAGUGACUUCACUUCAGCCUAUGAGAUCAAGAUAUCAUGGUGAUGUCCGAUCACUUAGGUUUCAUUUUCACCUCGGAUUACCGUUACCAUGUUCAUGAAUAAAAAUAAAUAAAUAAAUGAAGCCUUAUAGAGAAAUUAAUGAAGUGAGCUAUACAAGCAACUGGGCCAGGAGCCUACAAGGCAGAAAUUCCCUGCCCUAGACUAGGCCGAAUAAAUUAGAUGAAUGAAUUGGGGAAACCUGGGCCAGCCACACAUCCUCCUGAAGGCUGAUGUCGAACUCGCUUACGAGGAAUGGACAUGGGAGAUUGGGCUGGGACCAAAUAACCAAUUGACAGCCCUAUCCUUGUGGCAAGACGUCAGUAAAAUGGUUCAUUCUGAUUUUACGCUGCCAUUCAAUUUAAUUUUAAUUUUUGUUUAAAGCGAUGUACAAAUUGAAUGGUGUCUAGUCACUUAAAGAGUGGUUCAUAAUACACUUAAUUUAAACAAAAAAGAAAUUAUUAGAUAGGGGAUUCUCCAAUAAAAACCACCCCAUCUUGUCAGCAAGUCCGGAAACUUCCUUCACUUAGGGCGUAUUUGUUUUUUUAACUUUAAUAUUAAAGAAAGUUGGUUAAACCUUAUGACACUUUUAUAUUAUUUUAUGAAUUUUUUUUAAUUUUUAUUUUAAUGGAAUUUUAACUUUAAUACAAGUUGGAGUAAUUCUUAUCUUAAAAACAAAUCAAAAUUACUUUAAUUUUAUAUAGAAAUAAACUUACAGUAAAUUUACCAUGAAAAUUUCUAAGUCAAAUACACCAUAAGUGCUAGUAUUUUAUAAUAUUUAGAAACAUGUUAAAUUAUUAUUAUUAUUUUUUAAAAUUAUUAGUUUUCAUAUUAGUUUUAGGGAAACUUGUGCUUUAGGUCUUUUAUUUGCAAAUAAUAUGGUUUUCAAAUCCUAAGAAUAGAAAAUAUGAGAAUCAACUGUUAAUGUGGAAAAUAAUAUCAAUUUUGUGCAAUCUCUAUUGACUCAUUUUUUUGUGCCUAGAUUGCCUUCACCCACUUCCAUGUCAACAACCACAUUAAUAGAUUGUUUUUUUUUUAUAAAACAAAUAAUUAUUAUGUUUAAAAUUUUGGGGAAACUCUCUAUCUCUCUUACUUCUUCACUACAUCCGAGACCCAUCUUCCUUAAACGUUUGCCUCUCAUUUUGCCCUAACCCCAAAUCUCAUAAAUUUCUCAUUUUCUUGCCUCAUUUGAAAUAUGAAGAUGACCGAUUCUCAAACAUCUCUGUCUCUCUCUUCACGUUUUGACCAGUCUAAUUGGAAACCCAUUUUCCAAAAACCUUCUUUCUUUCAUUUUGCCCUAACCCCACUAUCUCCCUCUUCAAGACCUAAUCACCCAAACUCGAUAUCUAUCUUCCCAAAACCUUCAAGCAAACUGAACUAGACCCAUAUCUUCUUUUUUCAUCAUCAAAGGUGAAAUUUUUUUAAGGCUUUUGGAAACCGAAUUGGAGCUUUCCCUUCUUCUGGGAUUAAUCAUUCGCAAGUGAGUUUUCCAUUUAAGGCUUUGUUUGGCUGUUGAAAUCUUGGGAUCAAAGGUCUUUUAUUUUCAGGUUUCUUGUAUUUUGCUUUAUUUUCUUGUAUAUAACAAUAAUCAUUGUAACAUAUGCUAGUAGUUACCCUUGGUGCAACUUUACAUUUCCAAAUACCCUAAAGUCCAAAGCUUUUAAUUCCCUUUUCAAAGCUUUCAACUUUGAAAGCAGACUAAACCAUAAGAACUAUGAAACUUAUAUCUCUAUCACCACUAAUUAAGCAUGUCUAUGAAUCCUUCCACUUUAAGUCACUUAUUCUCAAACCAAGAAGGGCUCCUCUCAUUCUCACCCCACCUCAUCUAAAUGAGGGAAAUGAUCAAUUGCAGCCAUGCUUUGCACCAAAUUAGAGAAGUGAUCCUCCCAAUCAUCCAUUACCAAAAAUUGAUCAUGCUGAUGAGAUCAUAAGAGUCUAUUCGGAACUCCCAGUUUACUUGCCUCUUAUCUCAGGAUCCUCCAUUACCCCCUGUCUUUCCAACAUCAAAUCAACUUGCAAACAAUUCCUUUGUAGAUAAAAUGUUUUUAAUAUUGCAAAAGGGGACUUAUCAUAAUGGUUGAAUCGAUUUAUUUGAUAUAAUCACUCAAAUUCAAGCUUAAAAUUGAUCAUAAUAAAAUGUUUUUAAUAUUGUUAAAAGGAGAUUAUAAUGGUUUUAUUUGAUAUCAUUACUAAAAUUCAAGCUUUCAAACAUGCUCUACAAAGAAGUUCUAAAAGACUACAAGAAAGAGUUUCCACUAAAGAAAAACAAUGAAACCAUUUCUACUAAAGACAAACAAUGAAACCACAGAUGCUUUGUGAAAUAUGUACCCGCACAAUCCAACAAACUUUAGAAAUUCACAAACACUACCUAGAAUUUUUGCUGACCAGCAAAAAAUUUAUGCAAUUUAAUUCUUAUUGUUAUUAUUAUUUUCAAUGUGAACAAAUAUGAUUGAAUUAUGAAGUAUUUGGCCAGAAGAGGAUCUUGCCUAAUUAUAGUCAUUAAACAACCAUUUAUACCAUAGCCUCUAGACUUUAAAAAGUUUAUAAAACUCAAGGGCUUCCACCCAAUUUCUAGAUAUCUCCAUAACAUUCUUCUGACUAUUAGAAAGCAAUUACCACUUUAAUUUUUCAUUUCAUGAGUGUUCAAUUCAGAAAAAGACCAGGAUCGAACUUGCGAUCAUGCAGUCGAAAAUCCACCUGUGCAUGAAACUAUUGCCUCACGAUUGCAAACUCAAGUUGGAGUCCAGUAACAACUCUAGGUUUGCUGAUGUGCUCCAUUUGAAAUAAAGGAACUAAAGAAUACUUUAUAAAGAUUAAUUACCUUCAUAUUUUAGGUUGGGGUUAAGGCAAAAUGUGAUAGAUUGAGAGGAAGAAAAUAUAUCUUGUUCAGGAAGCCAAUAUUUUGGAGUUCACCUUUCCAUUCGAGUCCACUCUGCUAUAGCAAAAUCAGAGUCACAACUAUGCCUCUUUAAGCUAUCCUUUAAUUGGAUGAAUUGCAGAUUUGGUUGCUGAGAAAGUGGAUAAGAAAGAAAAAUGCAUACUGUAGCUUGAGAUUAAGAGUUUGUUUUCUAAAAUGAGAGAAAGGGAAAGAGAAAAAAUGCAUAUUGUAGCUUGAGAUUAAGGGUUUGUUUUCUAAAAUGAGAGAAAGGGGAAGAGAAAUGUUCGACAACUUUGAGAUGACAAAUUUUUAGAUUUGGAAAAUUUGAGAUGAGUCUCAGGUUUUUUUUUUUUUUUUUUUGUCUUUGUCUUUGUUUUUUUUUUUUUUUUUUGUUUUUUUCCCAAAAACAACCUGUUAAUGUGGUUGUUGACAUAGAAGUGGGUGAGGGCAAAAUGGGCAUAGAAAAAAGAGUCAACACAAAGUGCACAAAACCCAUAUUAUUUUCCACAUUAAUGACUGAUUCUCAUAUUUCUUGUUCUUGGGAUUUGAAAACCAUAUUAUUUGCAAAUGGACCUCCCAAAGCACAGGUUUCCCUUAGUUUUAUGUCUCCAUCUACAUUUUACAUAUAAAUAGAUUAUUUUAUAAAAUUUGUUUUGUAGAUAUAUUAGUUAAUAAUUAUAUAAUUAAUGAUAUAGAAAACAUAUAAAAAUCAUAUUUAAAAAAGAUAAUUACAUAUUCCUCAACAAUCCAUCCCAAGAAUUCGAGGUUGAGUUGAAAACAUGUAGAGUCUUUGAUGUUAUUAUAAUCAUAUCCAACACAUAUGAUUAUUGUUUAUGAGAUAUUAUUAGAAAGUUUGUCUUAAAAUAAUUGAUUUAUUACCCACCUUUAGCAAAUGCCCAUUUUUGCGUCUUUCAAAAUUUUCAUUUUUUUUUUGUUUAAAAGAAGUAUUGUAAAGAAUGAUGAAAUAAGAAAUUUGUUGAGAAAGUGUGAGUAAAUAAUUUUACAUAAAAAGAGAUUUAAUACUUGAUAAAUAAAAUAAUAAAAUCAUGAUUUCUAGUUGUAUAGGGCCGGGUGGAUGGAGUGGCUAAGAUGUAAUUCUUGAAAUAGAGGAGACAACAUCAAUGUAUAAAAGUUUAACAGAGAAGGAAAGUGUGUUUGAAUGACUUUAUUUUCUUCAUUUAAAGUUUUGACGAUGAGUGUUUAUACAAGAUAAAUUUUCAAAUGAUAGGACUCCUAUUUACAUGGAGUUUGUGAUAUACUAUGAUUAUACAAAUUUAAAAUUCAAACAGAUUCAUGAGUUGAUAGGAGUCUGCUCAAUACGCCCCUUCAAAAUGGUGGGAGAUAGCACACCAAUCUUGACUCGAAGGGCCUAAACUCGUGCAGAAGAUGAGGGCUUUGUUAGAGCAUCGACAAGUUGAUCCGUGGUUGACAUAUGGGACACCUUGAGCUCACCUGAUUAAACCUUGUUUCAAACAAAAUGAAAAUCAAUCGCCGAUGUGUUUCAUGGAGAGUGAAACAUGGGAUUUGCACAAAGAUAUGUUGCACCCACGUUAUCACAAGAGAUAGGAGGUGGUGAUAAAUUUGAAACACUAAGUUUUGAGAGAAGAGAAUUAACCCAAAGAACCUUUGAGGCUGUAGAGGCCACGACGUGAUAUUUCGCUUCAGUGGAAGAGCGUGCUAUGAACUUUUGUUUCCUCGAUGACCAAUACACAAGAUUGUGACCAAGAAAAACAAUGGGAGCAUUGGUGGAGGAUCUGACAUAAGGAUUCCUUGCCCAUUCAACAUUCGAAUAUGCAUGUAGAUUGAUGGGCGAUUUCUUAUGCAAGAACAGACCAUGCACCAUUGUGCCGACUAAGUAUCUAAGCAAUCUUUUAACACAAGACCAAUGUGUUGAUGUUGGAUGGUGCAUAAAUUGAGAUAAUUUAUUCAUCAAGAAGGUGAUGUCAGGGCUAGUAAGAGAGAAGUAUUGAAGGCUUCCAACAAUUGACAUAUAUUUAGUGGGACCAGGAAAAGAGGUGUCAUCACACAGAUUUGGAACAUUGUUGAGGAACAUCAAUGAUUGAACUGGUUUGGUAGCCACCAUUUGUGUUUUCUUAAGAAGCUCUCGAAUGUACUUGAGAUAAAAAUAAUCCUUUGGAAGUAUGUAUCAUUUCAACACCAAGAAUAAAAGAUGAAGUCCUGAGAUCCUUAAUGGAGAAUUUGACUGCUAAUUGAGAGAUCACGCGAGCACGAAAAACAUUAUUGUUACUUGUUAAAAUAAGAUCAUCAAUAUAAAUAAGUAGGUAAACAAUGAGACCACUCUUUUUAAAAAUGAAGAGGGAUGUCUCGGUUUAGGAGUUGACGAAGGCUAUUGAGAGGAGAAAUUGGCAAAGUUCAUGAUACCAUGAUCGUGGAGCUUGUUUAAAGCCAUAAAAAGCCUUACAAAGUUGGCAAAUGUGAUGAUGUGUGUAUUCGUGAACCCAGGAGGUUGAAUCAUGUAAACAUCUUCAUGAAGUGUCCUAUGCUAGAAUGCAUUAUUAAUGUCCAAUUCAUGAGUUGAUAGGAGUCUGCUCAAUACAAUGUGGGAGUGUGAUUUCAAAAUUAGGGUAAUUUCGAAAUGGAUUUUGUAUUCACAAGUUGAAUUUCAAAAUUAUUUUGAAAUGGUCUUUUAACUUUAAGCAGUUGUGUUCAAAAGGUCAUAACUUCUUCGUUUCAAUUUUGAUUUACACAUUGUUUAAAACAUUGGACUCUUUACUUCCCGAGCUUCAAAACGAUAUAUAGUAUGCUCAAAAAUGACAUCAGGAUUGGUUCAAAUUUCAUCUUGAUAUUAGAGUACAUGUUGUGAUUAGAUUUUGAGUUCCAAAUUUCCAUGUAAACUUGAUUGCAUUUGCUUCAAACCUCCUUCAUUAUGGUUGCUUGCCCUCUAUCUCACUUUGCAACAUUUGUUACUAGUAUUUUAUGUCCAUGACUUACUCAUUUCAACCUUUCUUGGAUUCUUCAUGGUUCACAAAUUAUGGAUUCUUCAUGGUUCACAAAUUGAGUCUUUCAAUUAUGCAUGUUUAACUCCUAUUUCCUUGGUUGAUAAUGACUUUUACACUUAUCAUUUUCUUUUAUUCUUUAAACCUGAAUUUAGACUUACAAAAAAAAGUUAGAUCCAUAACUAGGGUCUUAGCAUCAAUUUGAGUUAAGUUGGAUGAUUUGAAAAUUUUAUAUUACAUAAAUCAUAUCAUACAUGUGCCAUUGGAGUGCACAUUUUGGCUCUAAUCAUGUUCCAACCCAUUGUUUUACUCUUGCAUGAAGUAUGUGGCCAUUGAUUUUAAUUUUAUUUGCGAUUAGGUUCAAAAUGGUGCUUUUGUGUUGCUCAUGUGUCAUCAGAAGAUCAACUAAUGGAUUCUCUAACAAAACUACUACAUCAUAGUCAUUUUUUUUUUUCUUAAGACCAAGAUUGAGAUCUCCAAUCGGAGCCAACUCCAUCUUGGGGGCAUGUUAGUGAAAGAUAAAAUUUAUCUUUAAUUUAAAUAUUAAUAUUUAUCAGUUAUUAGUUUUAAUUAGAGUAAAAGAUAGAGUUUAAAUUGGAGUAGGAGAUAAACUUGUGUUUGAACUAGAAUAGAAGAUAAAGUAUAAAGAUUUAUGUUUGAAUUAGAAUAAAAUAUAAAGUUUGAAUUAGAGUAGAAGAUAAACUUGUUCUUUAUUUGUAUAUAAAUAUUCAUCAAUUCUUGAGAAGAAGAUUAUUUCAUAGUUUUUCUAUCUUCUUUUUUCUUCAUACAUAUCUGCAAGAAAUUGAAGAUUUCAAGUAAAAUAUUUUCUGUUUUAAAUAGUGAAAAAAGCUAGAAAUUCACUUUGUUAUCUCUUGGGGUAAAUUGACAAGGUUUAACGUUAAGAAGGUGAAUUAUUUUUUCAGAAAAACUGAAGUAGCUAGGAUAUCUGGCCAGUUGUGAUCGAUAAAAAAGUUGUAAAAUCUCUCAUAUACUAAACAGGUUUUGGAUGUUGGUAUGGUAAAUCCAUCUGCAGUCAUUCGUCAUCUCAUCUAGUGAGAUGUUUGGGAGGUGGUGACCGCCGGAUUGGGUUUCAUUUGGUUAAAUCUGUCAGUGGGUUGGCUACUACCCGAGCCUCUUGCUUUGGGGGAGGUGGGUUCUAGAUAUAAUGUUCAAACCAUUUUAGUUAUCAUAUGCAUGACAUGUAAGCAUAAUCUCUUUAUCACUUCUUCAAUGGGAGUUCAUGGUUAGGAAUUGACUUCUUUUCUUCUGGGAUGCUUGGCAUGUAAUGGACAAAGUUACUUUUAUAUCGAUCGAAUUUCUAGUAUUAUAGUGAAGACUUACCCUUUUGACAUUUUAUAUCGAAUUAUAGAAGAUGAAAGGGACAUACAUGCAAUCGACUGACGCUUUAGUGAAUAUGCUGAAAAUAUGCUGAUGCUGUGGAGAUCGUAUGAGGACAGAGGAAAAAGAUAGAAAUGGAUAUAUAAUUAGACCUAGGUUUUUAUUAAAUGAGAUGGGGAACAUAGAGUGAGGGAAAAUCAAAAUUUUUGGCUGCAGUUCACAUUGGUGAUAUUUUGGAUUGACAAAGACUAACGACUUUUCUAUUUUUCUUUUCGGCCUGACUGGAUAGUUGGACAUGGACAAUACAGAAUCCACAGAAGGAUUGUUGGGACCGCUGAAAAUUAGCUAGAAGAAGCUGAGGAAGUAGUCUACGUAGUCAAAUACCAAACACAAAGAAAGAAAGAAAUGGAUAUCAUGGAUGCCUAGAGUUAUACUCCUAAUACCGUCACAGGUAUUUUUCUUUCCUCCUUUUUUUUUCUACGAUAAUUAGAGCAUUUCUCCUCCUCCUCCUCCUCCUCCCCCCACCCCACCACCAAAAAAUAAAAAAAUAAAUUAUUGCAAGUAACACUUCAAAUAUUAAUUUAUACAUUCUAAAGUAUAUAUUCAUGAAAUAACUUGAGUAUCAUACAUUAGUUCUCAAAAAAAAAAAAAAAAAAAAAAAAAAAUUACUGGAAGAGAAAAGUUUAAGAAAACAUAAAAAUAUUCAACUACUAUUUUAAAGAGAAAAUUUAAUUUUUACACUAUAAAUUUGAAGAGAACUUUUACAUGCAUCUUAUAUAAACUACCAUUUUUUGCUAAAAGGCUUAAAUUUGUCAAAAAUACCCCUUAGGUGCUUAACGUUCUGGUCAUAAUAUAAUUGGCAUCUUUUCUCAAACAUAAGGCCUGUGUGUGGGAACAAGAUUUAAUGUUAAUGAGCUUCGCCACCGACAUUUAGUUCCAGAAAUCAUUAUUUUAAUAGAGUGGGCUCAAUUUACAACUUUAAUUAAACUCUAACCAACUGCAUUGUGAAAUGAAUAUGUUUCUUUCGUGGUGAAUCCAAUGAGUUGGGAGUCAAACUUUGCUUCAUUGUGUAUAGAUGAAAUGUUAAGACUCCAUGUAACCUCAAACAUUUCCGCAAUNNNNNNNNNNNNNNNNNNNNNNNNNNNNNNNNNNNNNNNNNNNNNNNNNNNNNNNNNNNNNNNNNNNNNNNNNNNNNNNNNNNNNNNNNNNNNNNNNNNNUUCUUUCGUGGUGAAUCCAAUGAGUUGGAGUCAAACUUGCUUCAUUGUGUAUAGAUGAAAUGUUAAGACUCCAUGUAACUCAAACAUUUCCGCAAUGAGCGGGAGUUCUAAAUUUAAUAAUUGAAAUUGUCAGUGGAACCAGUGGACAAGAGUUGGUUUGUGGUUGACAAACUUAUCCGUUUGAUCUUUACUUGAACAGUUCCAGUGUGUGGAUGGGUACUGAUGAAGUGUGCGCAUUUAUUUUGAGAAGCCUGCUUGUUCGCAUAGAUUUUAACGACAUGAACAUUGUGGUAAGGUUAGAGAGUAAUGCGAAUGUAGGAGCUUAUAUUAGAAAUGACACAAACACGUAAAUAGAAGUAAUCUAUAUAUGAUAUUACUCAUGGACUACAAGCAAAGAAGUACAAUACAUGGAGUAAGUGAUGAAAUGAGCAUUCCUCACUACUACUGCUUGACUGAUGGAACAUGAUGCACGAGAUAGCAUAAGUAGUAGUAGGAAGCAGCUCUUAUUUGUGGCGUCGGUAUACAUCAUACUAGGUAGAUGGUUCAAUUGGCAUGGAUGGGUGGUGGAGCCUUGAAGUGCUUGUGAUGGGGAGCCCACGGCUUCUUCUCAGGAGUUGGUGGCUUCUUGUAUGGAGUUGAUGGAGGUGUUUCUACUGGAGGGUGGCCAGGGUAGUGACCCUGGGGUGGUGAAGGUUCUUUUGUCGGUGGUGGCCUCACUAUUAUUGGCGGUAGAGUUGGUGGCUUGGGCGUUGGCGGUGGUCUCACUACUCUUGGGGGUAGAGUUGGUGUCUUGUGUUUUGGUGGUGGAGGUGGCUUAACAGGAGUUGGUGGCUUGUAUUCUGGGGGUGGUUUCUCCACCGGAGGUGGCUUAUAAACUGGAGUUGGUGGCUUGUAUUCUGGGGGUGGCUUCUCCACUGGUGGUGGCCUGUAAACAGGGGUUGGUGGCUUAUAUUCUGGGGGAGGCUUCUCCACUGGAGGCGACUUAUAAACAGGGGUUGGUGGCUUGUAUUCCGGGGGUGGCUUCUCUACGGGAGGUGGCCUGUAAACAGGGGUUGGUGGCUUCUCCACCGGAGGUGGCUUAUAAACGGGGGUUGGUGGCUUGUAUUCUGGGGGUGGUUUCCCCAGUGGUGGAGACUUGUAAACAGGAAGAGGUGGUUUGUGCUCAUAUGGGGGUGGCUUGUGGUCAUUAGCAAGUGAGGGAGUGGUGAGGACCACCAAUCCAAGGAACAACACGAGUGAGCAAGCAGAAGACAUGUUUGGGCUCUGGUGAUGCACAAGUAGAAGAAAUGGGAACCAUUUAUAAUGCUUCGAGACCUUGGUUAGCACCAAAAUAUGUCAAAAUCUUGAUUACUUCAUUUCAUACAUAGAUUUAAAAUUAUUUCAAUCAACCAUGAUCCUUAAUUUUCUGGGUGGUCCAUAAAUGUAAUGGGGUCAAUUUGGGACCUAACAAGCUGAGAAGUUUGACAAUGCUGCAAGGCUUCAUCCGAAAGUCCGGGGAAGAAUAUUAGGAGUUACACUCCGUUUCCUUUUUUGGGUGCAUUUUUCUCCUUUAACAUUCUAUUCCCUUUUACAUUAGCAUUUGAUCUUAGCUCAUUUCAAGUACAAGUUUCUUGAACCCUAUACCAUUGUCAAAGUUGAGUAACCAUCUCUACUUUGCUCAAGAAACAUAAAAGACAAUGACAAUAAAGAAAAAGGAGAGAGACCAUACGUGACUUGGUUUAUAGGUGGCUUUGUGUUGACAUUUGAGUAUGGAAGCCGACAUGCAUCUUAGCUUCGAUUUUAAUUAAAUUUGUACAUUAGUGUCUGUGUCAUUCAUUUUGGUAUAAAAGGUCUCUUGAUUUCGUAAGUUUGGUAAGAACCGUUGAAAAUAGCAGUAGCAGCACAUGGUCCACUUUCUUUCACAAAAUAAUUUUAAAAGUUUAGAAGCAUAGGAGGUAACAUUAGUGGCCUUGUGGCUCAGCCACGAGUACUAUGUGGUGCUCGAGAAAUUGAGUUUAAUUUCCUUCCGAUAGUUCAUGAUAAGGUCCGUCACUGUCCUGAGACAGAUUGCGUUUUUUCUUUUUUCCUUUUUUAGUGUUUUAUUGACUAGCUAGGUGUGACUUUUCCUACUUUAAGGCACGAGGCAGAAAAGAAACUGGGAUUUAGUGCUUAAGAAGGCAAAUUUAAUUCGAUUUGGAUCUAAAAUUUGCCAGCAACAUGAGAUUUUCCAGCCUAUCGUUGCUCCACAUAUAGACAAGGCACUUGUAGAAGUGGCUUGUUUGUAGCCAUUCCCGAUAUUUGGACUCACUUGAUUCACCGGACACUUUGAUAAAAUUUAAUAUUUAUUAUUUAAUAAUUUAAAUUGAUUUAAAAUUAAAUUAUACCGAAGUUGUGAUUUAAAAAUUAUUAUUUAAUUCUUACUUUUAAAUAUGAAGAUUAUUUGAUAAAAAUAAUUUAAAAUUUAUUAUAAAUUAUCAAAUUAACAUAUUUAUCCUUAUAAAUUAUAAUUAAAACAGAAAAGGUCAAAUGAUUUGAGUAUCCAUAGAUGUGGUAAAAUAAUAAAAAAGAUUAUAAAAACAAUUAUGAUAAAUAAAGAUAAAAAGUAAAAUGAAUAUGUGAAUUUAAAGAAUAAAUUAAUUAUUUUUAUUUAUUACUUAAAAUUAUUUUUGACUUUAAAUUAUAUUAUUAAAUUAUUUUACCAAACAUACUUAAUUUAGUUAAUAAUUUAAAUUUAAUUUAAGUUAUUAAAUUGAUUCACCAAAUACCCACUUAAUCAAAGACUGAAGUAUACAUUAUUUGGCCAAAUGCAGCUAUUGAAAUUUAACUUUUUCCAAACUUAUUCAUUUUGUGGAAAUAUUUUUAGAAAUGAUUUUAAAAAUGCACUAUUCUGUGUGUUGAUUUUAUAUUUUGGCAUUAAUCCAACAUAGAAAACGGUUCUUAUUUUCGCUGUUAAAUAGGUACCAGAUCCUUAAUUAGUGCCGUGAAUCCGGCAGCUUCCAAUGAGUAAUUUGGACUUGGGUAUUGACAAUGUGUGGCCAUGCUUCUACUAUUUUAUUAUUCUUGAAACAUAUAUGAUAUAUUGGACUUUAUACAGGGAAAAAAAAAAAAAAAAGUCUUCACCAAAAAUGAUUCCUCCUAAAAAAUAGACUCCACAAACUAGGUUUAACAGGAAAAUGAUUCUAAUCUAGUAGUUUCCAGCCACAUGAGCAUUUACGUAACAAUAGUAUAGUUGAUAACGACUUUUAUUUUAUUUAUUUUUAAAUAGUUAAAGGGAUAAUUUUUGAGCUUAAAUUUUAUUUUUUUAUUUAGAAACAUUUUACUUUAUUUUUUAAUCAUAAUUCUAUUAUAUUAAUGUUUUAUUUUCUAUUUUUUAAUAUAUAAGGAGAUACUAAAUUUAUGUGAUUAUUUUUUAAAAAUUUAGUAUAUGAAAUUAAAUAAUUGGAUAUAUAUACAUAUAUCAUAUAAUGUUUUUUAAGUGUGAUUUUUGAACUUUUUAGUCAUUUUAUAAGUUUAAGCUUUUGAUUUUUUUUUUUAAACUUUGGUAUUUUUUAUUUUAUAUAAAACUAUUUUGAUUUAAUUUUAUUAAAAAAUAUUGGUAUUAUAAAUUAUUGUAUUAAUUAUUUUUUUAUAUUAUAAUGUAACUGGUAUAUACUAAAAAAUGUAUGCAAGUUCAAUUUAAGUUUCAAAUUAAAAAAUUUCAUUUAAAUAUUUAAUAACUUGUUCAUAAUAAAAAAUUAAACAACAUAAUACAAAUGAAAAGAAACAUAAAAGAAAAAGGAAAAAAUGGUCCUCUCUGUGUGUCACAUUACUAGGUCAUCCUCUUUUUCUAUGACCCUUACAAUAGAAUGGCAUAUUUGUCAAAUCUACUUAUGAAAGUUGGAAUGUUUCUACAUGUGUAGGGUCCAUUGGAACUAAUGGAGGAAAGGCUUAACGUCUAUGUAAAUCACAACGUUGCCUAGGUGGGCAUAGAUCUAGUUGUGUAACAUGAGAUGGUGUGAGAGUACAAUAUAUGCAUUGUAGUCUCUAUGGGAAGAGAGAUAGGUAAUGGUAGGGUGGUAGACGGUAGGGUGAUCUCUAAUAUAAUGACAUUUGAUGUGGUGGCUUCUAAGAGAGGAGAUAUAAGAGAUGGUAGAAUGACAUUUGGUGUAAUGGUCUCUAGUGCAAUGACAUGUGAUAUGGUGACCUAUAAAGAAGAGAUAUAGGUGAUGGUGAAGUGGUAUGUGGUGUAGUGACCUUUGAGAUAGAAAAUAGAGGUAAUGGUAGGUUGGCAGGUGGAGUGGUCUUUGGUGUAGUGACAUCAAUUAUAAAUGUCUCCAAGGGAGGAAAUAAAGGUGAUGGUAGGUAGUAAAUGUUGAGGUGGUCUUUGAUAUGUUAUGCUCUAAGAGAGAAGGUAUAGGUAAUGAUAAUAGGGAAUUUGACAUAGUGGUGUUGGAAAUAAAAAGUGAAAGUGACCGUAGAGGUGAAAGGGCAAGUGUAAAAGCCUCAAGUACGAAUGGAGUAAUUAAUGUGGAUGGUGCUAACAUAGUCUUAGGUGGAUACACAAAUAGUCAUAGUCAUCAACUAGCUUGCCCACCAUCUGUCUUUCUGCUAGUGAUAGGUUACAUCUUAAUAGUAAUGGCCAACAUAAGUGGUGUGGAUCCGAUUUUUUUACGUGUGUCCCCACUCAAUCGACAAGACUUAUUUUUUAUUAGUGAAAAAUUAAUUUUGGAAAAGUUGGAGUCACCACUUAUUUUAUUUUAUUUUAAAAAGGAAAGUAAAACAAGAAAGAGAACUCUAAAGAAGUGACUUCAUAGUUUUGGAAAAGUUAGUCUUAAAAAAUCCAAGUCUUGGUCCGGAGAUCAGGUUACUUAUUGGGAAGAUACCUCUAAGAGGUAAUACCCCUCUAAACCCUAAAGAAGUCUCUAAUGACUAAGUUGAGGAGAAUGUGGUAAUUAAUUAAUUGAUUGAGGGUACCUAGGUAGACUAAGGUGAUUUCAGAAUUAACAUACCAAGCUAGAAAGUCCAAUCAUGAUCAUAAAAGAGAGUCAAAGUAUGUACCUGAACUGCUUCUCAAACGCUAUCAUAAAACAUCAAAGUUAGUAUAGAAAUAUAACACAUAAUAUUUGUUUUAUCCAAGCAAAUAAAGCAUACAUCUAAGCACCCAAGAAUCACAUCAAGUAUGGAUAUAGUCAUCAAUAGCAUACGUGUCCAUAGAACUAUCGAAAGUAAAUGUGGAGGAGCGUAUCUGGACAACAUAGAUAACUUAUAAUGUGCUUCCACAAGACAUGGGGGUUAGAUAAAAGUUAUAAUAAUAAUUAGUAAAUGAAAGAAUUCUAGCAUGUUUGGUAUCUAAAUAACAUAGCAAAAAUGAACAAGAGUACACGAAAACAUCAAUUAUCACACGAGUCAUAUUGGCUAGUAUUUAAUCAAUAAACCAACAAUAAAUGACUAUAAACAUAUAAAAUGACAUAUUCAAAGAGACCCAAACAUAAAGAGCCUAGAACACAAGCUUACACUAAAUUUAGAAAACUAAAACAUGGAAUUUUAAAAGCAUAAAUUAGCAAACAAAUUGAUGGAAACUAAAUUUAGAUAACUUAAGAAUAUUUUUCUUAUCCUUCAAUUUAAAUCAGUAAGCCAACAAUAAAAAAUUAUAGAAACAUGGAAUAUCAAGAUCAAUGGGAUACCUAAACUAUAAUUUUUAAAAGAAAAUAAACUAAGCAUAAUAUCUACAAAGCAACUAAACUAACAUUUUUUUAAAAAUAAAUUAAACAUGACAUUAAUGGAGUAACCAAACUAAAUUAAAGUAAACUAAAAACAUUUAUGAAUUUUCAAACAUGGAAUCAGCUUUCUUAGUAAAUUAAAAUUAUUAAAAUAAAAUCUAAGCUUAAAAAUGAAUUAAAUACUAACUAAAGCAAAUCUAAAACCAAAUAUUUAACACAUAGGAUCAAUUAUAUUAACAAACUAAAAUUUUAUAAGAACACUUAAACCUAAAGUUGAAUUAAAAACUAACCAAUUUUUAAAACUAGAUCUUUAACCCAUAGGAUCAAUUAUAUUAACAAAUAAAUAAUAAAUAAUAAAUAAAUAAAACUCAAACCUAAAGAUGAACUAGAAAUGUACCAAAGUAAAUUCAAAACAAGAUCUUUAACACAUUAGAUCAAUUAUAUUGACUAACUAAAAAAAAAAAAAAAAAACACUCAAACCUGAAACGAUGUAUUAGAAACUAACCAAAGCAAAUUUAAAAUAGAGUCUUUAACACAUAGGAUCAAUUAUAAUCACUAACUUAAAUUACAAUUUUUGAAACAUGAACUAAUUAGUGUUGGAUUAAUUAAACUAAUUAACUAAAAAAAACUAUAAACUAGAAUACGGUGAAUCAAGAAUUCAAAUCAACAAACAUAAAAUAUGGGUACAAUGAAAUGAAAAUCUAUUAAACUAAUAAGACGGAAAUAUGACAAACUCAUGAACCCACAUUUUGAUCAACUAGGAAAUAGAAAUUAAUAGACCUGUAGCAUGGAUACAAUGAAAUGAGAUCAGUUAAAUUUAUUUGCCGAAAUUCUAAAAAACACAUACACUCAAAUAAGAUCUAAAUCUAAGACCAAGCAAAACUCAAACUUUCUCAAUCUAAUGCAAUGAAUCAAAACUAAAAUUAAAUAGAAAUCAAACCAUUUUUUUUUUAUCUAAUAUAAUAAAUCAAAGCUAAAACUAAACAAAAUCGAAUUUUCUUAAUUUAAUAUGAUGAGUCAAAGCUAAAAUUGAACAAAGUUCAAACCUUUAUAUAAUGGAUCAAAGUUAAAUCUAAAUGAAAUCCAUACUUCCACAAUUUGAUAUAACAAAUCAAAAAUAAAACUAGAUAAAAAAAAAGUCAAAGCCUUUCAACUUGACAUAGUGAAUCCAAACUGAAACGAAACAAAAUUUUAACUUUUCCAAUGAAACCCAAUAUAGAAAAAAUUAGCUUACCUUCUUUAGAAUAUAUGUAUGGGCCAUAAAGAAGUCACCUUGGUGCAUGUGUUCCUCACUUUGACGCCAAUGGACGACUUUCUAUGGUAGCAAAUGGAGAUCCUUUUUGGUGGUAACUUGCGUGUGGAAACCUAUGGUACAACCAAUGUCAUCUUUUAUUGUGCGUGUGGACCAAUUUCUUCUCGAGAACUCAUGUGUGUUGUGCUCAAAAUAUGUUGCCUGUGAGAAUCUAUUGGUAUACCCCACAUAUGGUUUCCUUGAGAGAAUCUGUGGUUGUGUGUGGGCGUUUUCUUCAUGACAGCAUGUGGAUGUUCCCAUCUAUGGUAGAUUGGUUGUGAUGCUUUAGUGCAUGGUCUCCAUAGGAAUAGUGUGUUAUGGAAAUUUGGUUUUUUUAUUGGUGCAUGUUGUCUAGACUUUCCCAUAUGCGUGGACUGUGUGUUCAUGCUUUUCUUUUCGGAUGGUCGCCUGUGUUAAUGUGUGGCGGUGUCUACAAUGAAAGAUACAACCCUUUCUCUCCUUCUGCGUGAUAGAAAAGUCAAUCCCCCAUGGUGCGACUAUGUUCCCUCGUCCUUUUUGAAAAAUUUUGGUGUUUUCCCCCCAAAAAAUCCCCUCCAAAAAUCUAAUUAUAAAUGUCUGCUUUGGCCUAAUGUGUGUGCUACUUUUUUUUUCCUUCUUUUUAUGGUUGUGCGUGCUUUUCUUGAUACGUGGCUUAUUUCUUAAGGAUAUGAUUCGCUCCCAAUUGGUGUCUCAGCUGAUUCAUGUCCUUUCAAUGGUCCCUGACAGUGGUGCCAUUUGAUUCGUGUCCAGCUGGUGUCCCUUGAUUGUGGUCCUCAGAAGGGAGUAAUCAAUAAAAUUUAUAACCUAUUACACCAUGUAUUAGGAUAGCCUUAGCUAGCAUAGCAUAGUGGCUCUAGGGUCGUUUAUUGGGAUGAGUUUUCACUUCACAAUUGAUAUUAAUUCAAGAGCUGAAUUGGUGCCUUUUCAUUUCAAGGUUAGCUUUAAAAGAAAACAUAAUCUUUGGUGGAAAAAGGUUUGGUUUUAAACUAACCAAAAAUAGUAACUGAUUUUACUUACAAAGAAAAGUGUUCUUUGGAGUUUAGAUCACUAGGCUCAGGUUCCUCAUACAAAAAGGAGAGUUCCGAUCAUUUGUUUCUUUUCCUCGCAUUAGAGAAUUAACAUAUAGUUAAUUCUCUAACCGGUGCGGUACAUAUGCUUCCCAUUAAUGGGUUCAAACACUAAAUACCUCUCACUGAUGCACCUUGCAAUGGCUCGUGCCUCUCACCUAGCAUUUAUCAUUCAAGGUGAUCUUUAACCUUGGAUUACCCAUCAAAAGCUCGCAAGAGAUAACUAAAGGAUGUCUCCUUAGAGUCCAAAAGCUUACCAAGUGUUGGUUAUUCUAGAAAAUCCUACCUUCAAACCACCUCCCAAAGGCUCGCAAGAGAUAAACAAGUGCAUCUCAAUGGAUGAAGAUCACUUGCCUUACCAAGUUUUGGCCCAGAUGAUUUAAUGACAUUUUAAGUUAACUAAAAAGAUAAAAACCAUUAACGGGUCACACUUUCUCUUCAUUAAAAACUAAAACAACAAAACUUCCAAUUUAUGCAUGAGGAAACUUACCUGGCUUUCUUCACUUCAAGAGAUGAAGAGCCUAGCCACUCAUCAUUUGAGGAAAAAUCCUCAGAGUUUGAUUUGCUAGAAAUAAAAAUAAUGAGAAAACAAAAAUAUAUAUAUGAAAAACAGAGCAAGUUCUCUGUAAUAUAUUUUUCUUCCUUAUACAAAAGGUUGUCUCUAAGAACAAGUUCCCGAGAUCUAUCUGAUUGUAAAUAAAAUUACAACUAUAUAUAAGAGGUUAUUCACCCCUUUGUUCUUUCUUAAAGACUAAGGAAUCCUAUGAUAGGUGGGUUACAAGGAGAGUUUGGGGAUUUAGACAUCAAAUAUCUAAAGCAAAAUAUCUCAAGAUGUUAGUCGGAAAUAUCAGGAAGCUUCAGGAGAACACCGCGACACUGUAUACUGAGAGAAAAACUCUCCGGGUAAGCUCUAUCAAAGGAUCCAGACAUGUCUGACUGGGAAAGUUGAAACGUCCUUCUCUCCCAUCCGGAUGUGAGAUAUCCGGAGAAAGUGAAAUGUCGGUCGGACAGAAUUCUUUCCCCGGGUGGAAUGAGUUGUGUUGCGCGUCGCAAGGGGGACCGUCUGCGUGUACAAGUUGUAGGGACCCCUCUCCCGGAUGACACCGAGCGCGUAAGGCUAUCCGGAUCAACUCCAUUCGGAUUCCCCAAGAGGACAUGUGGCGUGCUCCCCUAUCAGGACUCCCUUAGGGAGAAGCACACGACACUCGUGAACAUCAUACCCGGACGAUAGCAUGUCCUAUCCGGAUGUGUUGUCCGGAUCAUUGACUAAAGUGAGCAAGCCUUGCUACGUCAUUCGGACAGCUUGCCACAUACCAUGUUCCGUCGCCAUCUGAUGGUGUGUCCGAACGCCUUGUCCGGACAUCUUUUGCUCCUUGCAUUCCGGAUUUGCUUAUGACAAAGGACUUCAAAGCUUCGGUUCUUCAUGUUUCUGAGCUUUCCAUUGCUUUGCCAUGGAUUCCAAAGAACUCUCCUUAAUCACGGAUUGCUUUGGUGAUCAAAAAGUUAUCAAAACACAAAAACUUAACAUAGUUUGAUUAGAAUUGAUUGCAAGGGUUCUUAAUAUGUUAAUUGGGUUAAAAGGUGAUAACUACUACUCAAAAGUGUUUAUAAGAAUUAAUUACAAGCUAUGAAAUAACACUUUUUGAGUAGUAAUCAGGAUACAUCCUAGUUUUUCAUGGAAUUGAUAGUGGGUUGUUGUGCAUGAAUGCCACCAUUUCAACUAUGCUGUUGUUAUUUUUAAAAAAAAUAUGGAUUAUGCGCGAGUGGCAAUUCUCCACUAUGGAAAGUGGAUUGCUCCUUCAACCCAUGCAUGGCUACGUAUUCCUAUGUCUUUCUACUUGUGUUUGAUCCUCCAAAAAAAAUUUCGGUUUAGUGCUAGUAGAUUUUAAGUGGUGGAUCCCCAUUUUUUGAAAAUGAAGUGGCAGCCUCCCAUUUCAAGACAAAAUGGUAGCCUGCCUUUAAUCUUUGGAGAAAAAUCUGUGCAUGACCUUUUUUUUUCCCAAAAAAUCCGUGCAUGGUGUCCUUUAAUAUUUGGAGAAAAAUCUAUGUUGGAUCUUUUCUUUUCUAGAAACAUUUGUGUGGUCUUUUUUGUUAGCCCAAGGGUUCUUCUAAUCAAGUUUUGAUGAUAACAAACCAUGGUUAAGUGACUAAUUGGUUUAAUGAUUAAGAAUCUCAAACAUAAAAUCGAAAAUUCAUCAAAGGACCAAAUGGAUACAAGAUCGAGACGCUUGGAAGACUUGUAAUCAUAGGAAACUAAUGUAAGAUGAAUGCAUGAGUGCACUUAGGAUUUUCACACGUUUCAUGCAACUUAGAAAACCCAGUUUAUUCUUUAAAACUUCAUCCCAGUUUAUUCUUUUUAUGGUUGUGUGUGCUUUCCUUGAUACGUGGCUUAUUUAUUAAGGAUACAUCCCAGUUUUUCAUGGAAUUGACAGUGGGUUGUUGUGUGUGAAUGCCACCAUUUCAACUGUGCUGUUGUUAUUUAAAAAAAAAAAAAAUGGAUUGUGCGCGAGUGGCAAUUCUCCACUAUGGAAAGUGGAUUGCUCCUUCAACCCAUGCAUGGCUACGUAUUCCUAUGUCUUUCUGCUUGUGUGUGAUCCUCCAAAAAAAAUUUUGGUUUAGUGCUAGUAGAUUUUAAGUGGUGGAUCCCCUUUUUUUGAAAACUAAGUGGCAGCCUCCCAUUUCAAAACGAAGUGGUAGCCUGCCUUUAGUCUUUGGAGAAAAAUCUGUGCAUGACUUUUUUUUUCCCAAAAAAUCCAUGCAUGGUGUCCUUUAAUAUUUGGAGAAAAAUCUAUGUGGGAUCUUUUAUUUUCUAGAAAAAUUUGUGUGGUCUUUUUUGUUAGCCCAAGGGUUCUCCUAAUCAGGUUUUGAUGAUAACAAAUCAUGGUUAAGUGACUAAUUGGUUUAAUGAUUAAGAAUCUCAAACAUAAACUCGAAAAUUCAUCAAAUGACCAAAUGGAUACAAGAUCGAGACGCUUGGAAGACUUGUGAUCAUAGGAAACUAAUGUAAGAUGAAUGCAUGAGUGCACUUAGGAUUUUCACACGUUUCAUGCAAUUUAGAAAACCCAGUUUAUUCUUUAAAACUUCAAUUUCAUUAAAACCCGAGUUUUUAACUAAUGUACCUUAGGCAAAAUGUUUUAUAAUUGGCUUAAUAAUUCACCUAAAUACAUUUUCUAAGUGUUAGAAAAGAAAGGAAUUAAAAAAAGGUUUUCGGGGCAAAAAAGGCUCAACCGGUCGAGGCUAUGGUCAACCGGCUCAACCGGUUGAGGAACCAAUCGAUCGGUUGUGCUUGUCCGAUCGAAGACCAAUCGAGGGAUGCCAAAAAAUUUCUCUCUCUCCUAGUGGCCUUCUCUUCCCGGUCGAGGUUCGGUCUAGGCAACGGUAACAUGUCAAGCAUUAAAUGCUCCGACGACUAGUGAAUCGGUCGACCCCUAGCCCGAUCGGACGAGGUUGCCUUUUGCUGUUUUUGACUCCCGAGCUUAGAAACCUAUAAAUUGAGAGCUCCACUUCAUUUAUUGAUAAAAGAGAACACUUGCAUUCAAUAGUCUACCUACCUUUUCUUGAUCAAAAAGCUCUCAUUUCCUUCAUAGUGCAUUAAAUCAUCACUUGCAUAUCCUUUAGUGCACUAUUGUGUGUCAUCCUAGCUUUGUUUUGUAUUUGAGCUAUCCUUAAGCUAGGUUGAGGGAUUAUUUCUUAUAAAAAUCUGAGUGUUAAAGCCUUCAAGAGAUUUGAAUCUUGAAGAGAUUGUGUAAGAGCCCAUUGGAGCCGGAGUCCAAGUGUAAGAAGAUUGGAAGCUUGGUUGAAGCUUCAAGUUAGUGGAACCCUCACUCGGUUAGGAGGUUGAGGAGAGUGGACGUAGGUAAGGAAGUGUCGAACCAUUAUAAACCCGAGUUUGAAUUCUCUAACUCUAUCUCUUUAUUUUGCUUAUAUUGUGUUUGAAUUUGUUGUGAUUGAAAAGAUUUUAAAAACCUAAUUCACCCUCCCCCCUUUUGGGUUUUUUUUUCUUAAUUAAGCAUAACCUUUGUUUUCUAAUUUUCUUUUUAGGAAAAUCCAUGCGUGGUAUGUCCAAACUCUCCAAGUGGCAGUCUGCCUUCUUCUAAAAAAUUUGUUUCUAUUUCUUUAUUCGACUACCUUCCAUGUCUUCCUAAUGAGUGCUUGUGCUCAAUGGUCAAUCCCUGGUGGUUGCCUCCUUUUCCCAUAUAUACGUGUUGCAAAAUCAACAUCCCACUAUAUGUGGGUUGCCUCUAUGGCAAGUUCACAUUUCCCACAUGAAACCUAUGAGUUUCCACCAAAAAUUGCCAUGAAAAAGUCUUUAUAUGCAUCUCAUGCAAUAAAAAGUCAAGCCAAUACUCAUCUUAUCUCGAAAAAUAAGUAACCAAAAUCAAGAUCAUGCCUAAGUGAACUAUGCCAAAAGAAGUGUCCAAGUGACCUAUUAUGAAAAAAGUGCCUAAGUGACCUAAGGUGAAUGUGUGUAAGCUGGAAGGUGUCUAGGAUGUUUAGGACAAUGCCUAAGCCUAAAAUAGGGUUGCCAAGGGUCACAAUGGGGUUAGAUAAAUCUCUCAAUCAGAGUCUCCAAGGUGGCUCAUAAAAGAUAAGCUACACGAGUAAUGAUGGGCCACCAGGGAAUUAUUGUAAAGCACCAAACGAACACAUAAUAGGACAUGUGUUAGAAUGAAAAAAUGGAGGGUUUACAAGUGGUCUCAUGGAUGAGCUUGAUAAUUUAAAUGACUCACAUAAUGAACGUAUGUGAUGUUUCUCUCCAAUAACAAGCAAAACAUCACUAGCAAUAUGAUGAAUGUCUCCUAAAUCACUUGAAGUAGUCCUAGCAAAUCAAUUAGAAAAAUCACACAUAUUGCUCUAAUGUAAUAUUAUAUACAUCUGUCAAUGAAUGGGAGAACUAAUGACACAACCAUCAUGUUGAUAUCUCGAACCCUCUAAUCUCAUAUGUAGGUGGGAUCACACUUAGAAACUCAUAACACAGUAAUGACCAAUCUAAGUCAAAAUGUGUUGGUGAUCGGAGGCCCAUGAAUAUGAAGUUCUAGGAUGAUAAUGACAUCUUAUAAAGUAAUGAUCAUCUCCUUAAUAGAUAGGUGAAAUGUGUGUGUCUUAGGACACCAUCUCUCAACAAGACUUGUGAUCAAUCCCCAGUCUAGUGUAACAUGCCUAUUAUGACAUCCAUCGUAAAAUCUAGACUAGAUAAUAUAAGGACAAAUGUGAGGGUUCAUCUCCCUUUCCCACAUAAAUUUAAAAAAUUAUUAUUGACAAGUUAAGACCAAACUAAGUUGCAAAAUAUAAAUAAGUCCAUUAGAUAACAAAUUUAUGUUUUCUCAUUUUCUCAUUUUUAAAGAGAUAUUAUGUGCUUCCAUGUACAUACAUGCUAAAGUCAAUUAUACGAGACUUAUAUCCAUCUUGUAGAACCAAAUCGAACCUAUCUAAUAGAUCCAGAUUAGAAGUAUGUCCUCUAUACUCCAUAUUUAUAACACAUUUAUAAAGAUAAAUGCUAAAAAAAUGUUAAAGAUAUAAAUUUAAUGAACCAUACUUUAUGAUUUUAAUUCUCAAUUAUUGUUCAUAUUUAUAAGAGAAAAGUUAAAAAAAUUGAUAGAGUUUUCCCUCUAUCAUGGACAUUAUCCCAAAUAAAAAUAAAUUGAUUAUGCAAAUUACAUUAAUAUUUGUAACCAAAUGAUCAAUAACUAUCUUGUAUCAAUUUAGUAAAUAAAUUUAAGUAUAUCUUUUCAUUUAUGACUAACAAAUAACUCAUACUUGUCCAAUAAAAGCCACACCUAAUUUCUAAAAUUUUGUCUUCACCUCAAGUGAGUGUUACAUUGAGAAAGAAAAAAUAUGAAAGAAAAAAUGAACACCUUUUUCUUUUAAUAAAAAAAGGCCAUAACGAAACAUUAAAUCUCACUGUUACACCUAUCUUCAAUGGAAACAUGAGGAUGUGAAUGGUGGCGGUGAUAUUCUUUGCUUGAAGCUCAUAAACAAAUAUUCCUUACUAAGCCUAUGCCAUUUAGUAUUUCAAUAGUGGACCCCCCCCCCCCCCCCCCCCCCCUCCUUGCAUUUCAGAUUUAGCAAACUUAGAACCAAAUAACAAAGUGCAUUUGAACCCAUAAAGAAGUAAUGAGACUCUCCUAUAUUGGCAAUAGAAGAAAUUUUUGGAGGUAUAGGAGAUUCACGGAUGAAGAAGUUGGGCCCCAAUUGAGAUAAGACCCAAGAAAAGAUGGGGUAGAGAGGGAUGGUUGGAAAUUGUAAAGUAAGAUUUUCAAAAUGUAGUUGAUGACUAAGAUUUUGACAAUUUAAAAAAGGUUUAAAAAUGUAGUUAGCAAUCGGGGUUUUGUAACAUUUAAAAAAUAAAAUAAAAUCUCAGGCCACAUGGUAGCCCAUGUGAUUCAGAAGCUUGAGAAUUAUUUUAUAAGAAGACUUAAUUUGUGAUUUUUUUAUAACUAUAUUAUUUUUUUUCUUAACACACGAAAAAAAUUAUGAAAUAAGACAAUUUUCCUAAGAAAGCAUGUAAGUGACUCUUGGUUAUUUUAUUUAACUUCUUCUAGUUUGGAGAGGAUUAAUACCUUUGCUUUUACUCACUUGCUUGGAUAUGUACACGUUGUUCAUGUCACUUUUCAUUUAAUUUUCUGAUUAAGGGAAUUGGAACCGUACGUAACUGUCUUUAUUCCCUCUGAAACUUGGACUUGGAGUUGGACUUUCAAUCUCAUCAGUCGUGUUUCCAUAAAAAAGAAGAUGGAUUAACCAAUUUUCCUAUGCCUACUAAUCAUACACAAAACUCCACUUCCAAAUAAAAAGGAAUGGGAUAUCACUUGUUAAUAGUGGCUAAAGACUAUUAAUAACCAUGCAAAGAAAUGUCACAUUUUUUGUUCUACGCAAAUUUUAUUCAUCAACUACUAGAACCAUUUCAUACAAUAGUAGCUUUUCGAUCCUUUGAUAAAUGGACACUUGAUGUGAUAACACCAACUACACCUAUAUAUUCAAGCAAUCAUGCGUAUAUAAUAGUGGAUAUGGAUUACUUCUCUAAAUGGGCAAAAGUUUUGUCAUUCAAGGAAAGUGAACGAGGAAACACAAGUUUACUUUCAUCGGAACUAAUAUUAUAUAUUGAUAUGACUUCCCAUUAUUACUUACGAUGGAAUAUGCUUCCAUAAAAUGGCCUAGAUGAACAAACUAUCCAAGAAGUUUGGGAUCAAAUAAUAUAUAUAUAGUUCAUGUGUGAUUCUUUGGUUGACAACCUUGUUAAGGGGUGAGUGAAGCACUUUGGGCAUACCACAUACUACAUGCUAGACUUCCACCCAAGCUACCCUAUAUUCCUUAUGAACAAAGUAGAAGUUGUCAUCUCUCUUGAAUACCAAAUCCUUUCACCUAAUAAUGCUAUCUAAAAAGGUCUUAAAAAGGAUAAAAAUGCGCAUAUUUGAAUUUUUGAAUUAGGAGUGCUACUUAAAAAGAAGCUAGAUAUACAAUAAUAGAAUGUUAUCAAGCAUAUCUCUUCAAAGUUUUUGACCAAAAAAUAUAUGAUUUCUCAUUUUAGGUAGGAGACUUAGUACUCACUAUUCAAAAACCAAUUAUCAUUACUCAUAAAAACUAAUAGAAAGUUUGGGCCAAAGUAGGAUGGACCUUAUAUUAUGCAACAAUUAUGCCUAUAAAAUUGUUGCAAAAGAGGUUUUAGAAUCAAAUCAAUGAAUGAAAAAUUAUUAAAGCAUUACUAUGCUUGAAGGCUAGUCAUUUUCCCUUAAAGUGCAAUAUUAAGUUGCAUAGUACUAUGUGGAUCCGCAUUUUUCACAUGCGUUCCCACUCAUUGUCGAGACUCACUUUUUAGAAGUGAAAAAUUAGUUUUAUUAAAGUCGAAGUUGCCACUGGGGAUUUGAACCCUAACAAAAGGUUCAAUUUAAGGAUAAAAAUAUCGAUAAUCACAUAUAUAUAUAUUGGUACUUUGAUUUUAUGAAUAUAUUGAAGAAAUAUGGACAAAUAUUUUGACACAAAAUAUGUACAAAAUAAAAAUUAUAUAAAAAGUAAAAAUAAAUAUUUUAAAAUUAUUUUUUUAAAUAUAUAUAUAUAUAAUUUGACAUAUUUGAUAAUAAUAUAUAAGGGUCUCCAAAAAGCCCGUGGCCCGCUUUAGGCCCGGUCCGACCCGACAGGCUAAAGCCCGGCCCAAGCCCGCCGGGCCCAAGCUCGGCCCGAGCCCGUUUAUGGGUGGGCCGGGCCGCGAGCCCGUAGGCCUGCUCCUUUAAAAAAAAACUACAAAAAUAAAAAGUAUUAAAAAAAAUAUUCAUUUCAAAAUUUUAUUCAUUGAAUGUAUAAUUACAUUUGAAAAUGUGGGAAAAGUUUACAUCACUACAAAAUAAAUACAUCCCAACUAGGUUGGCACCUAUUUAUUUGUCAAUCAUCUGUAUUUUUCAACCACAAAAAAUAAAAAUAAAAAUAUAAUAUACAUUUAGUCAUUAUUUUCUGGCGGUGAUGGCGAACUAUCAUGCAUCCAUGAAGAUCUUGAUAAUUUUAAAGAUUCCAUAUCGGUAAGCAUCUUUGUUUCUCGAAUGGAAUCAUACAUCCUUUUAUCUGCUAUUUCCCAAUCUUUCACACAUAUCCCUGCUUUAAUAACAUCUGACGCUAAGUUGCAUCGUUUUUUACUAACUACUCUUCCACCUGCACUAAAAGCAGCUUCUGAUGCAACUGUACUCACAGGAACUGUUAGUACAUCACGAGCAAUUAUAGAAAGCACAGGAUAUUUGUGUUGAUGUGAUUUCCACCAUAUUAAAAUAUUAAAAUCUUCUUGAUCUUCAAAUGAAAUUAUAUCAGUAUUAAGAUAUUUAUCUAAAUCAGAUGUAUUAUUUGGAGAAUUAUUUGUUGUCUUUUUUCGACUUUUCAACAUUUCUAGAGCUCCUUUAUAAAAAGAUGAGGAGUUUGUAGAUGUAGGUGGUAAUUUAAUAGUAUUAAUAUCAUUACCAUAUUUUUCUUUAUAAUAGUUAUAUAAAUUAUAUAAUAAUGAAUUUAUUUCAUUUUUAAUUUCUUCAAUUUUUAUUUGGUCAUUAAAAUAAAUAAUUGUUAACCAUUCAUCCAAAGCUUCAAAUUUCAAUCUAGGGUCCACAAUUAAAGCAAUAUAAAAAAUUAAAGGUAUUUCUCCCCAAUAUUUUCUAAAUUUUUAUAUCAUUACAAAUAUUGUAUCAUUAAAUAUUUCAAAACUUAAAUAUUUUUGAAGUACAAUAAAAAUAUUAGUUAUUUGCGUAAUAACUCGAUUUGAAGUUGGAUAAUAUACACCACAAAAAAUGUUUGUUGAAGUAUCAAAAAUUUCAAAAAGAUCUCUUAAAACAUCCGCAAUAUGCCAAUCAUAAUCAUUUAAUGCAUAAAUAUCUGCUUCAUAAUCAUUGUUAAUUAAUUGUAUUUCAUAUAAUUCGACUACUUUUCUAUAUUUUGUAAUAUUUUCUAAAAGUUUAUAUGUGGAAUUCCAUCUAAUAGCCAUAUCCAAAUUUAUAUUUUUUCUUUUCAUAUUUAACAUUUUGCAACAAUCAAAAAAUAAUUCAUGUUUUGCUUGAAAACUAUUAAUACUAUAUGCAAUGCCUCUAAUUUUUUUCCAAUGUACUAUCAACAUUUUUUAAUCCAUCCUUUACAAUUAAAUUUAAAAUAUGUGCACAACAACGCACAUGAAAUAUUUUAGCAUGAUCUUCUUUUACUUGCCAAUAUCGUUUUAGUCUAUGUAUUGCUGCAUCAUUAUUAGCAGCAUUAUCUAAUGUUAUUGUCAAUAUUUUAUCACGAAUGCCUAAAUCUAUAAUUUCAUCAUUUAUUAAAGAUGCUAUAUUUUUACCACUAUGUGGAGUAUUUAUUAAUUUAAAUAAAAUUAUUCUUUUAUUUAAUUUCCAUUCAUUAUCAAUGUAGUGAACAAUUAUAUAUAAAAAACCAGUAUGAGUUAAAGAUGUCCAAAUGUCAGAUGUUAAACGAAUAUUUCCUUCAAAAUUUGCAAAAUUUUUUUUUAAAAUUUCUUUUUGUGUAUAAAUUUUUUUCAUAAUAUCUCUUUUAACUGUAUUUCCAGAUCAACCUUUAAAUUGAGGAUUAAUACCUCGUUGAAUUGUUCUUGCAAAAUCAUGAGUUUCCAUCAUGUUGAAAGGUUGUUCUGCUCUUAUUAUAUAAUCAAUCAUUUCUUCACAACAGUUAGAUUCAUCAUAAGAAAAUGUUUUUAAAUUUCCACUUUCAUUUUUACUUAAUUGCAUAUAAUUUCUAAUAUCUACAUUAUUUUUAGUUUUACAAUUUUCAUGAUGUCUUUUUAAAUGACUUGUAUCUGCAUUUGAGCCACCAGUAAGAAAUUUAUUACAAAUUUUACAUUUUGCUUUUAUUUUUUUUUUAUUAUUUUCUAAAAUUAUUUCUAUUCUAUCAAAAAAAUUCCAUAUAUUUAAAGUAAAUUUUUUGUUUGAUGAUAUUUCAUCACAUGGACUAGACGAAGAAGCACUUGUCAUAUUAUAAUUAUUGAUAAAAUAUUAUGCCAAAAAUAAUAAAGUAAUAAAUAUAAAAAAAAAUGUAACAAAAAAAAUAAAGUAGUAGGGGUGAAGUAUGUUACUCAAUUAGAGAACCUAUGCAGAAAUUCCUAGCAAAUUUGAACUCUUGGAGCCACCAAUGCUUGUUUUGCACCAUCAACAAUAUUGUAUAAUUUGAGGGAAAAAUAAAAGAAUUUAAAAUAUUGUAGAAUGUGAGAGAAAUAGAGAGAAUUUGAUGAAAAAAUGAAAAGGAAGAAAAUGUAUUUAUAGGAAGGUUAAAAAUAAUAAUAAUAAUAAUAAUAAUAAUAAUAAUAAUAAUAAUAAUAAUAAUAAUAAUAAUAAUUGGCCAUGUGACCGUUGGAGGCUUAGCUCCAACGGUCACAUGGGCUGGAGCUAGGCUCCAACAGUCACAUGACCGUUGGAGCCUUUAAUUUUUUUUUUUAAAAUAAUAUACUUUAUUUUUAUAUAUAUAUAACUAACUCAAUUAAUAAACAUAAAAAGAAUAUAGUUCAGUUGGUUAGAACCUUGAAGUUUAAACAUGAGGGGAGGGGUUUGAAUCCCUCCCUCUCCCUUAGGGGCUUUUUUAAAAGCCAUUUUGGCUUAUUUCAAAAAGCCUGUCGGCCCGACCCGCCCUGCAGCCCGCGGGCCUAGCAUUUUAGCAUGGCCUGGUCUGUUGACUAGUCAAAUGGCUCAUAGGCUCGGCCCGAACUGGGCCGCGGGCCUCUUAUUUACGGACCGGCCCGACCCGGCCCGCCCGUUGGAGACCCUUGAUAAUAUCUUCUAUAUUAAGUUACAUUAUAGUUUAUUUUACAAUAUUAUUAUGAUAAUAUGUCUAAUUUUAAAAUAUAUUUAAUAUUAAAAUUAUGAUCUAUUUUAAUUUAAAUGUAUUCAAUGAUAUCAAAUAAAUAAUAAUAUAUGUAUAAUUCUUUUAUUAUUUAUAUUUAUUAUUUUUAAUAAAUAUAUAGAUUAUAUAAAAAAGACCGGAUAUAUCUUUUCAAAUUUUGUAUCGCUCUCCAAGGAUAUUAGAUGUAUGGGAAUUUGUAUUGCUAUCUACGGAUACGUUGAUAUAUGGGUGAUUUAUCAGGAUAAUUAGAAAUUCUAAUUAUGUAAGCAGGUACGGAGUUCUGUGUCGGUGCGAUCUUGUCGACAACAGCUCCAAAUUGUGCAUCUUGCUCAUAGAGAGUAGCGGAAUGCACCAAUCGUAGGCUCAGAGUACCACUGAGUCGUCUGGCAGAGACCCAACUGAAGGUGCCUGUGUUGUUCCUGAUCUGAUCAGGCUUCAAACUACAAGGUGGAAUACUGGUUCCCCUAUAUCAGAAGCUGGAGAUACCCACCCCAUAUGCUCGUCUGGAUGUGCUCCUACCCUUUGAAGCCUUCUUCCGAGUCAAGUCCGAAUUGAUAAGGCUAGUGAGUUCCCAACCAACUGUACUCAGCAUGCUGCCAGGUGGAGACCCUCCAUAUUUGAUGGCUUCCUAAUAUUAAAAUGCUGACCACUGGUCUUCAUGUUCCACAGGCUUAAUUGUGUCCUUUGCUGAAAGAAUGGAUAGUGAUCCAUUUUAACACAUGAUUCACGCCGUCUUUGCCAUUCUUCAUGGUCUAGCCCUUUUAUAUAUAUGCUUCCUGAACUGUUGCUAUUAAUAAAAUGUGGUAUCUAUCCCGUACACCUUCCUGAUGGCCAGCGAAUGCAGAAGCUACAGAAACGGUUCCAUCUUUUGCUUCCGCCACUUUGGCAUCCUCCAUGAUGAGAUCGAAGGUGAAUAAUCAUAUUCUGGGGAUUUAUGUCCUGGAUAUUCUCAGUAAUGCCCAAUUUCCUGGUGCCGGCCUCAUUUCCAUGGGAACUGAUGGAUAACUUAAGGCUUCUACCAUCUGCGUGGUUCGCUUCUAACACAGGAAACUUCACGGCUAAAAGCAAGAUACCAAGAACAUCAAGGCUGUGACAAAAAUUAGUAUUUUUAACUUGUAGGAAUUUGAAAGGCAACCAACCAUCUAGCUCUGUUCUUAAAGCUCCCAUAGGAGGAUCAGAGGCUGGAUUGCUCAAGAUGAACUCAUCCAUUGUUGCACUUAAAAAGAAUUGGCAUGAAUUGUGGCCGCUCUAAUAGGUUCCCUAAACCAUCAUCCAAGUGGGCUUGCGGAAGGUAGCGAGUUUAAAACACCUAGGGCGAUGAACAGUGGACUGUGAUGCUCACAAAAGAGAAAAGGAAGAAUUCAAUAAUUCCUAAGAAUCCAUUUGCCUGUCAUCCAAAUUUUUAUAUUCUCUUCAGUCUGACGCGUUAUGCCAUAUAUUAAAAAUAGCGGCUUCUUCCAAGCCGAGACAGACUGUGCAAAGUUCGCAAGGCCAAUCAUCACCAUAAUCUGAAGUUGGCCUCCUCAAUCGCAGCUUGUAUCCGAAUGCUCACUUCACGGGAUGGAUUGUAAUGAAAACUAAUCUCAGUCCCAGCUAUGGCAGCAUCCUCACUUGACAGCAUUUUCUGCAUAUUCUAGAACAAAGCAAUAAACCCUCAAAGGCUCCUUCGGAUCAGAGUUAGAAGACUGUCCCUCAGGAACGUGAACACUAUGGUGGUUCUGAUAAGCAGUGAUAUUGCAUUAGAGCCUUUUGGAACAAGAGGAUCUUUUCAGGUGGAAACUGUAAACUGCUUCAUGUUGGGCUGCAACCUUUUCUUCAAGCAAUACUUUCUUUCUGUAUCACGACUUAUGUUGCUUCCGGAGCCAUCCCGUGUGGACUGCCCUUCAGUGAAAGAAUAUGUGUGUUGACAUGUUGGAUUGUAAUCUUUGUUCCACUCUAAUGGCUUUUGGUCCUCCUCUUUCUCUUUAUGACAGAGAACCAUUUAGUGAUCCAUCUCUAUAUUGUAGCAUUGCUGGUGCUUUGCAAUACUACACUCUCACCAAGCAUAACAUCUAUUUUUCCGUGACCAAAGUAUGUCGGUUUAUGCAUGCGCAAACUCUUAUUCAUUGGCAAGUUGUCAAGCGUAUCUCAUGAUUUCCCAAAGCCACAAGUUCUUAUGGUCUUUCUGUUCAAGCUUACAAUGAUCUAUCUUUUCUUGGUUAUACUGAUGUCGAUUGGGCUAGUUGCCCUGAUAACAAGCACAAUACUAGUGGGUACAACACUUUUCCUGGUCCUAAUCUCAUUUCAUGGGCAUUUUCAAAGCAGAAGGUUGUGUCUCACUCCAAUAACGAAUCUGAAUAUAGGGGACUCACUAAUUAAUGUUGUUGCCAAGGUCACUUGGAUUGAAUCUGUCUUACGUGAGUUGCGUGUUUCUCUACCCCAACCACCAAUUUUGUUGUGUGACAACAUUAGUGCUACACACUUGGACAAACCAUGUUGAAAUACACUAUCAUUUUAUCCAUGAAAGGCUUAUGCAUCACACACUCAAAAUUCAAUACACCUCUUCUAUAGACCAACUAGUCAAUGCUAUGACCAAAGCUCUUCCUUCAUCUCACUUGUACAAUCUUCAGUGCAAGCUGAUUGUUCUUCCCAAACCACUCAACUUGAGGGGAGAUGUUAAGCCAAUUUAAUAAAUUGAUUUCUUUUGGUUAAUUUGUUAGAAUCAUUUUUAUUAGAGGUUUGUUUGUACAAUUACAUCCAUUUAUCAGGAGAGUACACGUGUACAACUCCUCUUUUAAUCUCACCAUUGUAUAUAUAUGAUACACGACCUUACUCAGAAUUGCAUAACAUUUCCUCUGCUCAUUCCUUUUCUUCUUUGAAUUUUCCCUUACCUCACUGAUUUUGAUUUAUACCUGGUGUUUUCACCUUUGGUCUCUACCUUUCUAGCCAGUUUUCUAAUUAAUCCGUAUAUGGUAUACCUGUCAACUAAUGAGGAGAAAGAGAAAAGGGGAUUGCUGUUCCACCAGCUACAUAUAAUAAUUAAUUACAAUCAUGGUAAUGGAUCCUGAAAUCCAUCCUUUGUGGAUUUUGUACGGAAUAUUGUUGUUAUGUAUGUGGGCUCACUUAGAUGUAUAUUGCUAGCCUGUCUGGGAAAUGUGAUUGCAGGUCCAGAUUAUGAUGUUGAUAUUAGUGGGAUAAGCAAGAGAUGCAGUUAACACGUAUGUGAUGGACUUGAGUAACUUUUCCAUUUCAGUCCAUUUUUUAAGAUUAUGCUUAGUCUUAUUACAAGGAAAGACCAUAAGAAUCAUGAGUCAUUGGCAAGGUAAUAUCAUUCCCUCUUUACAGGCUUCUUCACCUUUUGGUUUUUUUAAUAUCCAUCAAGAUCUUUUAAUUGGAGGACAAUUACAAGUAUAUAUAUAUGUAUUAAAAGGGGAAAAUAUUAAAACAGGAAAUUUUAGGGAAAAUAUAAUAAUUAUUUCUUCCUUCUUUCCCAUAUAGAACUACACAAAAUAAAACUUUAAUAAUUUUUUCUUAUCUUUUUUAUUAUUAUUUUUUCUUAGAAACAUCCGUGGUCUCACAAGCUUGUAAUCCUAGAUUGUUAGGCUCCUUUAACAGUGCCCCAACAUCGUGGUCCAAUGACAAGCUUCCACGCCUUAAAAUCAGAAAAUGCCAUUAAACUUUAUCAGACAUUACAGUUCAAGACAAAGCUUUCAUUUGCUUAAUGUGAUAAUGAAAUUGUUAAUUUCAUUUCGUGGGCAUCUAAAUUUGGACGAGCAAGACCUCUGAAUUCCCUGUUUUUAUCACCAGCAGAGGAGAUAAAAUCUUAAUGGUGAGAAUCUCCACGUGAAAUUUAUGUGUACUGUCAACAUAUUUUUGUUUAUAUAGUCCAGUAGCUGCAGGAAGUCUAGAUUAUAUAGGUAGCAGUAGCACUAUUUAUAGCACUCGAUAUUCGCUGUAUGAAUACAUUAAACCUUGUUUUCAAUACGCAUCACAAGCAAGUACUAGAUACUACAAGGAGUGACAGUCGCAUCAACAUUUCUUGAUAAUAGCAGUGACUGAUUUAUACACAGAACAGUACUGUACACGUACCAGUCACCAGAGAUAGGAUCUUAUUCCUACAUACGACUCUUAUUGAUCGAAGUCACUCAGUUGGGGUAGCCUGGAGUUGGAGGUUUGUGUGGUGGCUUCUUCUUUGGAGGAGGCUUUAUCUUUGGAGGCAUCAUCUUUGGAGGCAUCUUGUGUGAGUCUUCUUCAGCAUUCUCUACAGGAGGAUGGCCAGGCUUAUGACCCUUAGGUGGUUUGCCAACUGGGAUUGGUGGCUUGUGUCCUGAGAGUGGCUCCUCUUCUUCGGGAGGUUUGCCAACUGACGUUGGUGGCCCGUGUCCUGGGGGUGGCUUGUGUUUUGGGGGUGGUUUCACUCCACCGGGAGGUUUACCAAUUGGUGUUGGUGGUUUGUGCUCAAUCGGUGGCCUCUCAACUGGGGGGCGCUUGGGGUAAUCAGCGAGUGAAGAAGUGGUGAGAACCACCACUCCAAGCAACAACACUAGCAAGUAUGUGGAAGACAUCUUUGAGUUUGGCUCAGAUGGUGUAGAACUAGAAUCCUGGGUGGCCUUUUAUAUUAGUUGGGCCCUAUGCCCGAACGACAAGUGUCAUGGUGACACAUAAAGUGAUGGGGUCGAUUUGGGCCUACCGGAUUUGAAAACUUGGACAAUUCGAGAAGCGUCUCCUGACUCCGGGUUGUAAAGUGAAAGAUUAGGUAUCGACCAUUGAAGUAUGAUCACAACUUUUGGCCUUUGGCUCUCUCUACUGCCGUAUAGCUUUUUUCCUUUGGAUAUUUUUCUUAGCUAGACACAAUUAUUGAGCAGUCUAAUCUCGAAAUGGGAUUAGUAUAGCUUUAAGCAAAUUUAUUAUAGUUAGUGGAGGACUUUUAAGAGUGCAGACGACAUUUAACACAUGCAUGCAGUAGUAUAGGGGACAUAACACUAUUCUUUUUCCAAAGAUUCACAUGAUUUUUAUAUUAUAGUAUUGGCACAUUGUAUGUAGCUGGUUUUGUGGUUAAAAUUCCAUAUGUAGACACUGGCGUUUCUCCAUUUCUCACAAUUGAUGUUUACCUCCACGAUUACUAGAUUAGAUAUACCAAACAAUAACACAUUGUAUAAUCUAUCCGCCCUUCAAAAUCUACUGUAUGAUGAAAUGUUUCAUGUGUGUGUGAAGUGUUAGAAAUGCACUAUAGGCAACAUCAUCUUCUUUUGUCUAGGCUUGGGCCUCAAAUUAUACUCCCAUGCCAUGAUAAAUUUUCAUGUGCAUUCUCUAAAGAAGAGUGUCUUGAAUGUGCCAAAUCAUUUUGAUUGAUUUUAUGAUGUUAAUUGCUCCGCAUAUGGAUGGGUAUGUGCUUUAUUUGCUUAUUCAAUCCACAAUUACCUUGAACUGAAGUCCUAUUGGAGCUCUAUUAUUUUAGCAACGUCCUGUCAAAUAGGCUGCUAACUUGGGGUGGUAUGGACCCAAUGAUCCAUCUUAAUCUUGGGUUGAUUUUGUCUGACUCUAUCUAUCUCAGAGAGAACCAGGAUCACCAGUGCUGGUCUGCUUAAAGAAGACUCAGUACUGGAUUAAUAUUGGUUUGGGUCAAUAGCUUAUAAUGCAUUGAAUGCAGAAUAAACAAGAUCAAUGAAACCCAAAACACACUGCCCACACAACUUCACUCUGGUGUCUGUUAUUCAUCAAUUCUAUUCCCACAUGAACUGGUUCAAGUUUAAGAAAAUGACAACGGAUCCACUGUAUUAACUUGGUUUUGCUUGGUUUUGAGCUAGUUGCCAAACCAGCCAUGAGUUUUACCUCUAAUGUCAAUGAACAAACCCCAAAUGAACAACUGCAACAGCUUAAAGAGAAGGAAUGGAGAUGAAAAUCCCUGUUUCUUCUCAUUCUGGGGACAAAUUAGAACAUAACUACAAAGGUUCUAUUAAUUGACUUACUCUACCAUGAAUUAUGGUUCUUUGGUUUUCCAAAUUUAAAUUGUACAUGAGAUUAUUUUUUUCCUUUAUAUAUAAACAUAUUAAGGUUUUCUUAUUUCGUGGGCAAAUGCGCUAAGGAUGAAAGUCAUUUCAUUUGGCUGCAACAGCAUCUUAUAAUCAACAUGCAUAAGCAGCAGUUUUAAUUGAUCGAUUGAACACCGACUCACAAGAAUAGAUAGAAUGGUACAAGACAGCUCUUAUUAAUUUAUACUCGUUACUCAUUUUAUGUAGCCCCAUUAAGAUGGCUGGCUGGACCACCGAGGUCUGGGGGUGGU
rnacentral:lncRNA from 1 species